rnacentral:lncRNA from 1 species
GGAAAAUAAUUGUUUUUAUUUGUAUUUUCAGAUUAUCUGAUAAUUAAACCAUGAUAUAUAUAGAAGCACCAGCAAUGGUGAAAGCUCAGAAGUUGUGCGAAAAGCCAAGUGGGACAUGGUCAGGACUCAGGAGUUUGUGGAAACAGUAAUGCUUGCAAGAACAAGUGCAUCAACCUUGAGGGAGCUCGACAUGGAUCUUGCAAUUAUGUUUUCCCAGCUCACAAAUGUAUCUGCUACGUCCCAUGUUAAUAUACCAAAACUGCAUCUGUGCUUGUGUGUUUAUUACGUUUUCUUGUGUGUUUAUCUACACUCAAUAUGUCUGUGUCUGCUUGUGUGCUUAUAACGUUUUCUUGUGUGUUUAUCUAUAUUCAAUAAGUCUGUGUCACUCUUUGAGUGACCUAAUGACAUGUACUAGUUACGUAUGUUUAUGUUGUAAUAAUAUAAACUUUUAUGUACUACGUAAUACUGUUUCUUCUUGCGAAAUAAGCAAGCUGGUGCAUGUCGUUUUAGCUUAGUGUCGGUUUUCAUAAAAUUGGGUAACAGAAACAAAGUUAAUUCGCUCACAGCAUCAUCAUCAAAAAAUUAUAUUAAAGGUAUUUAUAAUAUAAAAAACUUAGGUUCUAAUUUAGAUACAUAUAUUGAAAAUUUUCUUAAUAUUUUUUUUUUGAAUCGAGAUCCUGUUAAAUUGGUUCACUUGCACAUGUUAAGUAACGACCUUGAUUAUAGUAUCUAGUUUGGGUAAGUAGAUUAUACCCUAGUAUCGAGACUCAAGCAAAUGGCCAAUCAAAUUUAGUAUCCUUUUUUGUUUGGUAAUUCAAUUAUAGUAUCCUUGACGUCCUAAUUUCCACUUCUAGCUGCAUACUCAUGCAACGAACUUCGAAAAACUCUCCGACAGAUCACCAAAACUUGUGUAAGUCUGACUUGGUCAAGAUAUUUUCUUCUUGAGUCUUGACAAAGUAAAAUUAACCCGCCGCCCAUGUGAACGAAGUAGAACUAGCCAUAAGCCAAAGGAGCCUCUUAGGUUACAUUAGAUAGAGUGGCAGCCUUCCAGAGGUAAAAAAGAUAUGUGGUGGAGAAACCAGCCAUCAAGUAUGAAUAGGCCUAGAUCUUAUCUUCCAUAUUCAAUUUGUGGAACUACCUUGUUAUUGUGCAAUGCACAACAGCACAACAGCACAAGUAAGUGUAAAUCACCAGCAUAUAUUUCACUAUAAAUAGAGGUUGAUCUUAGGCUUAUUUUCUCACACUUCACAUUUCACACACAUACAGUUAAAAGGUAGUAAUAACUCAUACCAAACAAUAAAAAAAAGAUAGUAAUAACUAAUAGUCAUGGCUAAGUUGGCUUCCAUCAUCGCUCUUCUCUUCAUUGCUCUUGUUCUCUUUUCUGCUUUUGGUGAGUAAUGAUCUUAUCAUAUGCAUGGCAAAUGAAUUUUUAUUAUCUGAUCAUUAACCAUGAUAUAUAAAAAGAGAAGCACCAGCAAUGGUGAAAGCGCAGAAGUUGUGUGAGAAGCCAAGUGGAACAUGGUGAUAGUUCUUCUUAAACAAUGUGGUGCUCUGGGCCUCUGGCGAUAAGGGUGAUCAUUUGGUAGGAAUUUUCUGUGAUAAUCAAACCAAGAUGUUUUCCAUAUGUGCUUUAAUUGGAACACAUCUGUGUUAUCUUGACAGUAUGGGCAUGAUAAUUAUCUAUGUGUUGUUCAUCCGGAUAACAUCCCAUAAGCUGGAAAUCGUUAAUGGUCCACAUAAUUACCUACCGCAUCAUGAAAUUCUUCUCAUAAGAAACAUCAUACCCCUGAACACCAUGUUCCCAUAGUAUUUGUAGCUCUUAAAGCAAAUGCUGCAAAAACACAUUGAGUGAUCUCUUCGGAUGCUCUGGACUAGAAAAGAGAAUGCUAAGGAACAAGAACUCUCGUCUCAUGCACAAUGAUGGGGGAAAAUUGUAAAGAGUUACAAUAACUGGCCACAAAGAAUAUUAUCUAUAAUGCUUCCCAAAAUGGUUGAAGCCAUCUGUACAUAAUCCAAUGUAUACGUUCCUAGCCUCAUACGCAAAACUGGGAUACAUAGAUUGAAAAUGUUUCCAUGCUCCUGCAUAUGAAGGGAUGAGCUAUUUCUCCAUCCGUGCUCUACAUGCCAUCUCAUUGCUUCCGCUGUGCGCUCUGAUUGAUAUAACCUCUUCAAUCUCUCUAUUAACUGAAAAAAACCACAUCCAUUUAUAUGGGACUGGCAGUCUUCCACUUGUUUUCUUAUACUGAGGUUUCUGACAAAAAAAAACAUGCCGUACAGUCCUCAUCCUCUCUCUCCAGUAGAUCAUACAUUUGUCGAUGCAUAUAUCUAUCAUCUUAUACGGUAACCCUAGACCAGCAACAAGAUUUUGUAUCUCAUAGUAUGAUGCUGGUGCAAGAAUUUUUUUUCUAGCAAUUUCACAAAAUCAGCUAUUGCAUCUACACAUUCUUUGCUCAAAAUAAAAUCUGUCUUUAUACCCAUCAUCCUAGUUGCAGCUGAUAAAAGGGAAUGUGAACCUCUAUAACCAUCAUAUACCGGGUUUUAGCAGUGUCUAACAUAUCAAAGAACCUCUGCACUUCUAAGUUAGAUUCUUCACCUUUAUGGUCAUAUGCAGGAAUCGAUGAUAUACUUUCACAACAUGACUUACAGUCUACUUCCAUUGCAGAUUCUUCUAAGCUAUCUCCAAUAGGUUGUUGACUAGUACUAGUAUAAUUUACCAUUGUAUCAUUUUCACCAUGAUAAUACCAAAUUUUGUAACCCGACACAAACCCAUUACAAUACAGAUGUGACAAUACUUUAUUUAUCACCAUGAAUCUACGAUUCUGACAUUUAGUACAUGGACAAAGGAUUUUACCGAAAUUUUUUACUUUCUUAUGUGAAGUCGCAAAUGCCAUGAAAUGCUAGAGAUCUUCUUUGUACUCUUCUGUAAUUAGGUCCGUCUAAAGAAUUUGAUGAGUCUUAUUCAUCCAUUAUAGAAAACUAGUAGAGAAUCCGCGCUACGCCGCAGGAUUAUAAACUAUCAACUUUUAAUUUCUUAUAUUAUUUUAUAAUUUUAUUGAUAAUCUUAAUAAGCUCAUCCAUCCAUUGUUUUUUUUUUUGAGUUUUUUCAUCCGAAUCAUGAUUUAGUCUUAAUUUAAUAACUUUCUCAAAUUAUGAAUUUUAGGUUUUUUUCGCACAUACACACACAUAUAUAUAUAUAUAUUUAUCACUAAUUCCAUUUUUUACUUACAUCUUUAAUAUUUUGUAUAUUUAUUUGUUGUUGUGUUAUUUUUCUUUUCUCUUUGUCAUUUUUUCUAUAUUUUUAUAAUUGUUUAUCUUUUCAAUUGUUUAUUGAACGUUACUUUUGGUACUGUAGUUUUCUUCUUAUUUUUAUUUUUUUAGAUAUUUAAAACUUGCUUAGCCUAUUAUUUUAAUUUUGUCUCAUAUGUUUUCUUCUUCUUUGCACUGAGAUUAAAUUAUCUUUAUUAGUUCCAAAAUAAAGAUUAAAUCACACUUAUAAUAUGUAUUAUUUUUUAUUCAUAUGUUUAUGAUGUUUUAAUCUAAAUUUAAAUUUGAUUUAACUUAUGCUAAUAAUAUUUUAAAUUAGAUUUUAAUUUGAUUUAAGUUAUACUUAUGAUUUAAUGUUUGUAACACAGUUGAAUUUAAAUUAAAUAGUUUAUAUAAGAAUUAAUAGUUGGGACGGAUUUUAAGUUAAGCUUCUAAUAUUUUAGUUCAACUUUUGAUUUCUCUUGUGAUUUAUUUUAUAUUUUUUUUCUUGAUGAUUGUAGCUGAUAAUUUUUUCAAUCCAUUGUUUUUUACUUUUUUUACAUUGAAAUCUCCAUCUAGUGAUUAUAUAUAUAUAUACUUUUUUCAAUUUACUAUUUUCAUGUUUUGUUUUCACAUUUUUUCAAUUGGUUCUAUCUAUGUUCCUUAUGCCUCUAUAAAUUUUAUAUUUAUUUGUUACCAUAUUCUUUUUCUCAUUUUUUCAAAGAAUCAGAUCCUAAAUGCCCCUGAAGUUGACAAAUUAAAACAAAUCAAAACAAAUAAUAUGAAUUUAAACAACUAAUAUGAGGUUAAACAAAUAAUAUGAAGUUAUGUUCAAAUAAUAUAAAACAAAUAAAAAAUUAAUUAAACUACGAGGUUGAACAAUAUGAAUUGUUUUCACGUUUUUCUGGUUUGAAAAUAUGAUUUUGUAGAGUAUACACUGUUUAUAGUGAUAAGAACAGAAUGAUAAUAAUAAAAUUUAACAAAUUAUUUUCAAUCCAUCUCGCAAAUUUUAAAUUUUAAAAUAAUUUUAAAAAUAGUAUUUUAGAGUUUUAAGUUUAUUUAGUUUUAAGUUUUAUCAACCAAUUGAUUAUAUGUAUGUUUUUUAUUCAACUAUUUUUCUAUUCAGCUAUGAUAUACCAGAUAAACCCUAACUCUCUAAAUUUUGAUGUAUUGAAAUAAUCAAAAAUAAAAAGUCAUGUAUAUUAAUGAAUCAAAAAAAGUUAAAUGUACACAUUAAUGAAUGAUAAAUGUGAUAUUAUAUUUAAUUUUUUUGAGAAAAGGUUAAUGUGAUAUUAUCUUUCCAAAAGAGAGAGUAUGUAGUCUACUUAUGGUAAUUGAAAAUAUGGAAGGUAUCUAACAAGUACUAGUCAAAAUUUAAACAUUUAUUAUAAUUGAACUUGCCUCUAAACAUACAAAUUCAAAAUGUAUAUAAAUGCUUAAAAACCAAGACUAUUUUCCUCAUCACAGGCAUCAGUCACAUUUUCAAGAUAUUCGAGGUAUAAUAGUCUCGAUCUAGGCCCUUUUUUAAAAAAAAAAAAAAAACAGUCUCAGUCUUUCUUUCAAUUCAUUUAGCAUAUUCAUUUGAUUUUGGUUUUGUGAUCUUUGAGUCAAGUAUCAAUACUUUGUUCUUUUUUUCUGUAUAUUAUAUUAUACCCGUAGAAUUUUUUUUUCCGAAAAAGCCACUAGGAGUUUUAGAAAAAAAAUUUCAAUAUCUCACAGUUUAACCACAAACAUAUAUAUGUAGUCUAUAAUUAAAUUUGGAGUCAUAUUAUAUAUAAAGAUUCAAGAGUUAUUUCUUCUCAUUUCAUCCACUUGUGUCUUUUAGGGUUAAAAGAGAUAAUACAAAGAAGAAGAAUGACUUCCAACCCUUGCUCUGCAUGCAAAGUCCUCAAAUCUGUGUGUACAGGUGAAUGCGUUUUUGCGCCAUAUUUUCCAUCGACGGAGCCUGAAAAAUUUGACCGUGUGCAUAGAAUUUUUGGAGCCGAAAAUGUUUACAAAAUACUGAGCAAUGAGACUUUCUCACCUUUACAACAUGAACAUGCUGUUAACGCUCUCAGCUAUGAAGCUGAAGCCCGCAUACAGGAUCCCGUAACCGGUUGUGUUGGUAUGUCUUUGGCUUACGAAAAAAUUCUCAACAAUUUAAAAGAGCAAAUCGUCUCAGCAAAGAAUGAGAUCGUGGCCACCAUGGGACCCGAUAAAGUACGGGAAUAUAAUGAUAUUCCUAUGCCUGAUGAUUUCCUCAUGACACAAAACCAACAGAUGGGUGAUAAUCAUGGAGCUGAUGAGGCAUCAACAUCUGCAACGCCACCUGCAUCUUCAGGAGGCACCAAUGAUACUCAACAGAUACUUUAAUUGCGUUAAAACCAGAACAAACCAUAAUGAAAUGCCUGUUGUGUUUAUUUGAUAUUUGCAUGCACCUCAAUUCCCGUGAUAACUUGUUGUCCUCCUUUCUUAAUUUUUAUUUCAUCAUAAAUUCAUGUAGUUUCAUUAUAUAAAAAAUAAUUCAUGUUGUUUGAUCUAAAUCGAUUUUCAAAUUUAUGUUUUGUUUUUUUUGUUUACUAGAGAAAAACUUAAAUACAUAAAGAUUGAAACAAAUUUGAAUCUAGAUCUUUUGGAUGAUCAUAUAAUUUAAUAACAUAAAAAAUUACAUGAAAAAAAUUUUACAUGCGUAAUAUAUGUUAAAUAUAUGAGUAAAUGAAAUAUGGUUAUAAUGGUAGGAUUUGUAUAAAUACUUAUUCUGCAUGUAAUGAUAUGCGAUUGAAAAUGUCGGUGGUCUAUAUAAAGGGCAUGGAGGAGAGAUGUCAAUGAAUACUAGUUUGUCUUAUUAGUUUGCCUUCUAAAGAGUUCGGUCUCUUAUGUCGUUGUGGGUGUUCCCAAUUAAAAAAAACUAGUUAGAUAUACAUAAAAAUAAAGUUAAUAAACAAAUCAUUCAGUAAAAUUAUAUUCAUGGAAAGUCCUAACUGACUUCUACAUUCUAUUCUCAACAAGAAAGCCCCUUUUAAACUCUAGUUGUCAUUAUAUCUCUGAUCGCUUUUGGGUAAGGAGGAGAAUGGUCAAGCGAUAUUUAGAAUCUAAAAUUAGGAGAUAAUUAUUUGGUUCCUGAAAAUAAUGUUGUAACUUGUAUGAACAGUAAAAAAACAAGAUUUCAUCUUGAGUUGGGACUUGGGUCAAAAAAUUUGUUGUCGAGGAAUGGUGAUGUUGUUACUCAUGCCAAUAUCACUUUGGCGCAAGUUGAACAUGGCUAUAAGCCUAUAACCCAAUAUUAAUAUUGAGAUGAGUCCGAUUUUUUUUUAUGAAAUGGUAGUUUAAUUUUUAUGUUGGCUCGAAAAAAUGAAUAUUAGUUGGUGAUGAUUCAGCACAGGUCUCUAGAGUUUUAGUUGGUGAUUAUCAGAUCCUAGAAGGGAACCCGCACUACGCUGCGGGAUUAUAGACUAUCAACUUUGAAUUUCUUAUAUUAUUUUAUAAUUUUUUUGAUAUAUCUUAAUGAGCUUAUUCAUCCAUUGUUUUUAUCGAGUUUUUUUUAAUCCAAAUCAUGAUUUAGUGUUAAUUUAUUAACUUUCUCAAAUUAUGAAUUUUAGGUUUUUUCACACAUACACAUAUAUAUAUAUAUAAAUUUAUCACUAAUUCCAUUUUUGUUUUACGUAUAUCUUUAAUAUUUUGUAUAUUUAUUUGUUGUUGUAUUAUUAUUUUUUCCUCUUUGUCAUUUUUUCUAUAUUUUUAUAAUUUUUUAUUUUUUCAAUUAUUUAUUGAACGUUAAUUUUGGUACUGUAGUUUUCUUCUUAUUUUUUAUUCUUUAGAUAUUUAAAAUUUGCUUAGCUUGUUAUUUUUAAUUUUGACUCAUAUUUUUUUUUCUUCUUUUGCACUGAGAUUAAAUUAUAUUUAUUAGUUCAAAAAUAAAGAUUAAAAUCACACUUAUAAUCUGUAUUAUUUUUUAUUCAUAUAUUGAUGAUUUUUUAAUUUAAAUUUUAAUUUGAUUUAACUUAUGCUUAUGAUGUUUUAAAUUAGAUUUAAAUUUGAUUUAAGUUAUGCUUAUGAUUUAAUGUUUGUUACACAGUUGAAUUUAAAUUAAAUAGUUUAUAUAAGAAUUAAUAGUUGGGACAGAUUUUAAGUUAAGCUUCUAAUAUUUUAGUUCAAUUUUUGAUUUCUCUUGUGAUUUAUUUUAUAUUUUUUUCCUUGAUGAUUGUAGCUGAUAAUUUUUUCAAUCCAUUGUUUUUUACUUUUUUACAUUGAAAUCUCCAUCUAGUGAUUAUAUAUGCUUUUUUCAAUUUACUAUUUUCAAUUUUUUUUUUCAAAAUUUUUCAAUUGGUUCUAUCUAUGUUCCUUAUGCCUCUAUAAAUUUUAUAUUUAUUUAUUACCAUAUUCUUUUUCUCAUUUUUUUCAAAGAAUCAGAUCCUAAAUGCCCCUGAAGUUGAGAAAUUAAAACAAAUCAAAACACAAAAUAUGAAUUUAAACAACUAAUAUGAGGUUAAACGAAUAAUAUGAAGUUAUGUUCAAAUCUUAUAAAACAAAUAAAAAAUUAAUUAAACUACGAGGUUGAACAAUAUGAUUUUUUUUUUUCACGUUUUUCUUGUUUGAAAAUAUGAUUUUGUAGAGUAUAUAUUGUUUAUAGUGAUAAGAACAGAGUGAUAAUAAUAAAAUUUAACAAAUUAUUUUCAAUCCAUCUCGCAAAUUUUAAAUUUUGAAAAUAAUUUUAACAAUAGUAUUUUAGAGAUUUAAGUUUAUUAAGUUUUAAGUUUUCUCGUCCAAUUGAUUAUAUGUAUGUUUUUUAUUCAACUAUUUUGCUAUUCAGCUAUGAUAUACCAGAUAAACCCUAACUCUCUAAAUUUUGAUGUAUUGAAAUAAUCAAAAUAAAAAGUCAUAUAUAUUAUGAAUAAAAAAAAGUUAAAUGUACACAUUAAUGAAUGAUAAAUGUGAUAUUAUCAUCUUAUUUUUUUGAGAAAAGUUUGAUGUGAUAUUAUCUUUCCAAAAAAGAGAGUAUGUAGUCUACUCUAUGACAUUAUGGUAAUUGAAAAUAUGGAAGGUAUCUAACAAGUACUAGUCAAAAUUUAAACAUUUAUUAUAAUUGAACUUGCCUCUAAACAUACAAAUUCAAAGUGUAUAUAACUGCUUAAAAACCAAGACUAUUUUCCUCACUACAGGCAUCAGUCACAUUUUCAAGAUAUUCGAGGUAUAAUAGUCUCGAUCUAGGCCCUUUUUUUUUUAAAAAAAAAAACAGUCUCAGUCUUUCUUUCAAUUCAUUUAGCAUAUUCAUUUGAUUUUGGUUUUGUGAUCUUUGAGUCAAGUAUCAAUAUUUUGAUCUUUUUUUCUGUAUAUUAUAUUAAAGCCGUAGAAUUUUUUUUCCCUAAAAGCUAGUAGGAGUUUUAGAAAAAAAAUUUCAAUAUCUCACAGUUUAACCACAAACAUAUAUUUGUAGUCUAUAACUAAAUUUGAAGUCUUAUUAUAUAUAAAGAUUCAAGAGUUAUUUCUUCUCAUUUCAUCCAUCUGUGUCUUUUAGGGUUAAAAGAGAUAAUACAAAGAAGAAGAAUGGCUUCCAAUCCUUGCUCUGCAUGCAAAGUCCUCAAAUCUGUGUGUACAGGUGAAUGCGUUUUUGCGCCAUAUUUUCCAUCGACGGAGCCUGAAAAAUUUGACCGUAUGCAUAGAAUUUUUGGAGCCGAAAAUGUUUACAAAAUACUGAGCAAUGAGACUUUCUCACCUUUACAACGUGAAUAUGCUGUUAAGGCUCUCAGCUAUGAAGCUGAAGCCCGCAUACAGGAUCCCGUAACCGGUUGUGUUGGUAUGUCUUUGGCUUACGAAAAAAAUUCUCAACAAUUUAAAAGAGCAAAUCAUCUCAGCAAAGAAUGAGAUCGUGGCCACCAUGGGAUCCGAUAAAGUACGGGAAUAUAAUGAUAUUCCUAUGCCUGAUGAUUUCCUCAUGACACAAAACCAACAGAUGGGUGAUAAUCAUGGAGCUGAUGAGGCAUCAACAUCUGCAACGCCACCUGCAUCUUCAGGAGGCACCAAUGAUACUCAACAGAUACUUUAAUUGCGUUAAAACCAGAACAAACCAUAAUGAAAUGCUUGUUGUGUUUAUUUGAUAUUUGCAUGCACCUCAAUUCUCGUGAUAAUUUGUUGUCCUCCUUUCUUUAUUUUUAUUUCAUCAUAAAUUCAUGUAGUUUUAUUAUAUUAAAAAUAAUUCAUGUUGUUUGAUCUAAAUCGAUUUUCAAAUUUGUUUUUUGUUUUUUUUGUUUACUAGAGAAAAAAUUAAAUACAUUUAAAGAUUGAAACAAAUUUGAAUCUAGAUCUUUUGGAUGAUCAUAUAAUUUAAUAACAUAAAAAAUUACAUGAAAAAAAUUUACAUGCGUAAUAUAUGUUAAAUAUAUGAGUAAAUAAAAUAUGGGUAUAAUGGUAGGAUUUGUAGAAAUACUUAUUCUGCAUGUAAUGAUAUGCGAUUGAAAAUGUCGGUGGUCUAUAUAAAGGUCAUGGAGGAGAGAUGUCAAUGAAUACUAGUUUGUCUUAUUAGUUUGCCUUCCAAAGACUUUGAUCUCUUAUGUCGUUGUGGGUGUUCCCAAUUAAAAAAAACUAGUUAGAUAUACAUAAAAAUAAAGUUAAUAAACAAAUCAUUCAGUAAAAUUAUAUUCAUGGAAAGUCCUAACUGACUUCUACAUUCAAUUCUCAACAAGAAAGCCCCUUUUAAACUCUAGUUGUCAUUAUAUCUCUGAUCGCUUUUGGGUAAGGAGGAGAAUGGUCAAGCGAUAUUUAGAAUCUAAAAUUUGGAGAUAAUUAUUUGGUUCCUGAAAAUAAUGUUGUAACUUGUAUGAACAGUAAAAAAACAAGAUUUCAUCUUGAGUUGGGACUUGGGUCAAAAAAUUUGUUGUCGAGGAAUGGUGAUGUUGUUACUCAUGCCAAUAUCACUUUGGCGCAAGUUGAACAUGGCUAUAAGCCUAUAACCCAAUAUUAAUAUUGAGAUGAGUCCGAUUUUUUUUUGUGAAAUGGUAGUUUAAUUUUUAUGUUGGCUUGAAAAAAUGAAUAUUAGUUGGUGAUGAUUCAGCACAAGUCUCUAGAGUUUUAGUUGGUGAUUAUCAGAUCCUAGAAGGGAACCCGCACUACGCUGCGGGAUUAUAGACUAUCAACUUUGAAUUUCUUAUAUUAUUUUAUAAUUUUUUUGAUAUAUCUUAAUGAGCUUAUUCAUCCAUUGUUUUUAUCGAGUUUUUUUUAAUCCAAAUCAUGAUUUAGUGUUAAUUUAUUAACUUUUUCAAAUUAUGAAUUUUAGGUUUUUUCACACAUACACAUAUAUAUAUAUAUAUAUUUAUCACUAAUUCCAUUUUUGUUUUACGUAUAUCUUUAAUAUUUUGUAUAUUUAUUUGUUGUUGUAUUAUUAUUUUUUCCUCUUUGUCAUUUUUUCUAUAUUUUUAUAAUUUUUUAUUUUUUCAAUUAUUUAUUGAACGUUAAUUUUGGUACUGUAGUUUUCUUCUUAUUUUUUAUUCUUUAGAUAUUUAAAAUUUGCUUAGCUUGUUAUUUUUAAUUUUGACUCAUAUUUUUUUUUCUUCUUUUGCACUGAGAUUAAAUUAUAUUUAUUAGUUCAAAAAUAAAGAUUAAAAUCACACUUAUAAUCUGUAUUAUUUUUUAUUCAUAUAUUGAUGAUUUUUUAAUUUAAAUUUUAAUUUGAUUUAACUUAUGCUUAUGAUGUUUUAAAUUAGAUUUAAAUUUGAUUUAAGUUAUGCUUAUGAUUUAAUGUUUGUUACACAGUUGAAUUUAAAUUAAAUAGUUUAUAUAAGAAUUAAUAGUUGGGACAGAUUUUAAGUUAAGCUUCUAAUAUUUUAGUUCAACUUUUGAUUUCUCUUGUGAUUUAUUUUAUAUUUUUUUCCUUGAUGAUUGUAGCUGAUAAUUUUUUCAAUCCAUUGUUUUUUACUUUUUUACAUUGAAAUCUCCAUCUAGUGAUUAUAUAUGCUUUUUUCAAUUUACUAUUUUCAAUUUUUUUUUUCAAAAUUUUUCAAUUGGUUCUAUCUAUGUUCCUUAUGCCUCUAUAAAUUUUAUAUUUAUUUAUUACCAUAUUCUUUUUCUCAUUUUUUUCAAAGAAUCAGAUCCUAAAUGCCCCUGAAGUUGAGAAAUUAAAACAAAUCAAAACACAAAAUAUGAAUUUAAACAACUAAUAUGAGGUUAAACGAAUAAUAUGAAGUUAUGUUCAAAUCUUAUAAAACAAAUAAAAAAUUAAUUAAACUACGAGGUUGAACAAUAUGAUUUUUUUUUUCACGUUUUUCUUGUUUGAAAAUAUGAUUUUGUAGAGUAUAUACUGUUUAUAGUGAUAAGAACAGAAUGAUAAUAAUAAAAUUUAACAAAUUAUUUUCAAUCCAUCUCGCAAAUUUUAAAUUUUGAAAAUAAUUUUAACAAUAGUAUUUUAGAGAUUUAAGUUUAUUAAGUUUUAAGUUUUCUCGUCCAAUUGAUUAUAUGUAUGUUUUUUAUUCAACUAUUUUGCUAUUCAGCUAUGAUAUACCAGAUAAACCCUAACUCUCUAAAUUUUGAUGUAUUGAAAUAAUCAAAAUAAAAAGUCAUAUAUAUUAUGAAUAAAAAAAAGUUAAAUGUACACAUUAAUGAAUGAUAAAUGUGAUAUUAUCAUCUUAUUUUUUUGAGAAAAGUUUGAUGUGAUAUUAUCUUUCCAAAAACGAGAGUAUGUAGUCUACUCUAUGGCAUUAUGGUAAUUGAAAAUAUGGAAGGUAUCUAACAAGUACUAGUCAAAAUUUAAACAUUUAUUAUAAUUGAACUUGCCUCUAAACAUACAAAUUCAAAGUGUAUAUAAUUGCUUAAAAACCAAGACUAUUUUCCUCACUACAGGCAUCAGUCACAUUUUCAAGAUAUUCGAGGUAUAAUAGUCUCGAUCUAGGCCCUUUUUUUUUAAAAAAAAAAAACAGUCUCAGUCUUUCAUUCAAUUCAUUUAGCAUAUUCAUUUGAUUUUGGUUUUGUGAUCUUUGAGUCAAGUAUCAAUACUUUGAUCUUUUUUUCUGUACAUUAUAUUAAAGCCGUAGAAUUUUUUUUCCCUAAAAGCUAGUAGGAGUUUUAGAAAAAAAAUUUCAAUAUCUCACAGUUUAACCACAAACAUAUAUAUGUAGUCUAUAACUAAAUCUGAAGUCUUAUUAUAUAUAAAGAUUCAAGAGUUAUUUCUUCUCAUUUCAUCCAUCUGUGUCUUUUAGGGUUAAAAGAGAUAAUACAAAGAAGAAGAAUGGCUUCCAAUCCUUGCUCUGCAUGCAAAGUCCUCAAAUCCGUGUGUACAGGUGAAUGCGUUUUUGCGCCAUAUUUUCCAUCAACGGAGCCUGAAAAAUUUGACCGUGUGCAUAGAAUUUUUGGAGCCGAAAAUGUUUACAAAAUACUGAGCAAUGAGACUUUCUCACCUUUACAACUUGAAUAUGCUGUUAAGGCUCUCAGCUAUGAAGCUGAAGCCCGCAUACAGGAUCUCGUAACCGGUUGUGUUGGUAUGUCUUUGGCUUACGAAAAAAAUUCUCAACAAUUUAAAAGAGCAAAUCGUCUCAGCAAAGAAUGAGAUCGUGGCCACCAUGGGAUCUGAUAAAGUACCGGAAUAUAAUGAUAUUCCUAUGCCUGAUGAUUUCCUCACGACACAAAACCAACAGAUGGGUGAUAAUCAUCGAGCUGAUGAGGCAUCAACAUCUGCAACGCCACCGGCAUCUUCAGGAGGCACCAAUGAUACUCAACAGACACCUUAAUUGCGAUAAAACCAGAACAAACCAUAAUGAAAUGCCUGUUGUGUUUAUUUGAUAUUUGCAUGCACCUCAAUUCUCGUGAUAAUUUGUUGGCCUCCUUUCUUUAUUUUUAUUUCAUCAUAAAUUCAUGUAGUUUUAUUAUAUUAAAAAUAAUUCAUGUUGUUUGAUCUAAAUCGAUUUUCAAAUUUGUUUUUUGUUUUUUUUGUUUACUAGAGAAAAAAUUAAAUACAUUUAAAGAUUGAAACAAAUUUGAAUCUAGAUCUUUUGGAUGAUCAUAUAAUUUAAUAACAUAAAAAAUUACAUGAAAAAAAUUUACAUGCGUAAUAUAUGUUAAAUAUAUGAGUAAAUAAAAUAUGGGUAUAAUGGUAGGAUUUGUAGAAAUACUUAUUCUGCAUGUAAUGAUAUGCGAUUGAAAAUGUCGGUGGUCUAUAUAAAGGUCAUGGAGGAGAGAUGUCAAUGAAUACUAGUUUGUCUUAUUAGUUUGCCUUCCAAAGACUUUGAUCUCUUAUGUCGUUGUGGGUGUUCCCAAUUAAAAAAAACUAGUUAGAUAUACAUAAAAAUAAAGUUAAUAAACAAAUCAUUCAGUAAAAUUAUAUUCAUGGAAAGUCCUAACUGACUUCUACAUUCUAUUCUCAACAAGAAAGCCCCUUUUAAACUCUAGUUGUCAUUAUAUCUCUGAUCGCUUUUGGGUAAGGAGGAGAAUGGUCAAGCGAUAUUUAGAAUCUAAAAUUUGGAGAUAAUUAUUUGGUUCCUGAAAAUAAUGUUGUAACUUGUACGAACAGUAAAAAAACAAGAUUUCAUCUUGAGUUGGGACUUGGGUCAAAAAAUUUGUUGUCGAGGAAUGGUGAUGUUGUUACUCAUGCCAAUAUCACUUUGGCGCAAGUUGAACAUGGCUAUAAGCCUAUAACCCAAUAUUAAUAUUGAGAUGAGUCCGAUUUUUUUUUGUGAAAUGGUAGUUUAAUUUUUAUGUUGGCUUGAAAAAAUGAAUAUNNNNNNNNNNNNNNNNNNNNNNNNNNNNNNNNNNNNNNNNNNNNNNNNNNNNNNNNNNNNNNNNNNNNNNNNNNNNNNNNNNNNNNNNNNNNNNNNNNNNUAGAGUUUUAGUUGGUGAUUAUCAGAUCCUAGAAGGGAACCCGCACUACGCUGCGGGAUUAUAGACUAUCAACUUUGAAUUUCUUAUAUUAUUUUAUAAUUUUUUUGAUAUAUCUUAAUGAGCUUAUUCAUCCAUUGUUUUUAUCGAGUUUUUUUUAAUCCAAAUCAUGAUUUAGUGUUAAUUUAUUAACUUUUUCAAAUUAUGAAUUUUAGGUUUUUUCACACAUACACAUAUAUAUAUAUAUAUAUUUAUCACUAAUUCCAUUUUUGUUUUACGUAUAUCUUUAAUAUUUUGUAUAUUUAUUUGUUGUUGUAUUAUUAUUUUUUCCUCUUUGUCAUUUUUUCUAUAUUUUUAUAAUUUUUUAUUUUUUCAAUUAUUUAUUGAACGUUAAUUUUGGUACUGUAGUUUUCUUCUUAUUUUUUAUUCUUUAGAUAUUUAAAAUUUGCUUAGCUUGUUAUUUUUAAUUUUGACUCAUAUUUUUUUUUCUUCUUUUGCACUGAGAUUAAAUUAUAUUUAUUAGUUCAAAAAUAAAGAUUAAAAUCACACUUAUAAUCUGUAUUAUUUUUUAUUCAUAUAUUGAUGAUUUUUUAAUUUAAAUUUUAAUUUGAUUUAACUUAUGCUUAUGAUGUUUUAAAUUAGAUUUAAAUUUGAUUUAAGUUAUGCUUAUGAUUUAAUGUUUGUUACACAGUUGAAUUUAAAUUAAAUAGUUUAUAUAAGAAUUAAUAGUUGGGACAGAUUUUAAGUUAAGCUUCUAAUAUUUUAGUUCAACUUUUGAUUUCUCUUGUGAUUUAUUUUAUAUUUUUUUCCUUGAUGAUUGUAGCUGAUAAUUUUUUCAAUCCAUUGUUUUUUACUUUUUUACAUUGAAAUCUCCAUCUAGUGAUUAUAUAUGCUUUUUUCAAUUUACUAUUUUCAAUUUUUUUUUUCAAAAUUUUUCAAUUGGUUCUAUCUAUGUUCCUUAUGCCUCUAUAAAUUUUAUAUUUAUUUAUUACCAUAUUCUUUUUCUCAUUUUUUUCAAAGAAUCAGAUCCUAAAUGCCCCUGAAGUUGAGAAAUUAAAACAAAUCAAAACACAAAAUAUGAAUUUAAACAACUAAUAUGAGGUUAAACGAAUAAUAUGAAGUUAUGUUCAAAUCUUAUAAAACAAAUAAAAAAUUAAUUAAACUACGAGGUUGAACAAUAUGAUUUUUUUUUUCACGUUUUUCUUGUUUGAAAAUAUGAUUUUGUAGAGUAUAUACUGUUUAUAGUGAUAAGAACAGAAUGAUAAUAAUAAAAUUUAACAAAUUAUUUUCAAUCCAUCUCGCAAAUUUUAAAUUUUGAAAAUAAUUUUAACAAUAGUAUUUUAGAGAUUUAAGUUUAUUAAGUUUUAAGUUUUCUCGUCCAAUUGAUUAUAUGUACGUUUUUUAUUCAACUAUUUUGCUAUUCAGCUAUGAUAUACCAGAUAAACCCUAACUCUCUAAAUUUUGAUGUAUUGAAAUAAUCAAAAUAAAAAGUCAUAUAUAUUAUGAAUAAAAAAAAGUUAAAUGUACACAUUAAUGAAUGAUAAAUGUGAUAUUAUCAUCUUAUUUUUUUGAGAAAAGUUUGAUGUGAUAUUAUCUUUCCAAAAAAGAGAGUAUGUAGUCUACUCUAUGACAUUAUGGUAAUUAAAAAUAUGGAAGGUAUCUAACAAGUACUAGUCAAAAUUUAAACAUUUAUUAUAAUUGAACUUGCCUCUAAACAUACAAAUUCAAAGUGUAUAUAACUGCUUAAAAACCAAGACUAUUUUCCUCACUACAGGCAUCAGUCACAUUUUCAAGAUAUUCGAGGUAUAAUAGUCUCGAUCUAGGCCCUUUUUUUUUAAAAAAAAAACAGUCUCAGUCUUUCAUUCAAUUCAUUUAGCAUAUUCAUUUGAUUUUGGUUUUGUGAUCUUUGAGUCAAGUAUCAAUACUUUGAUCUUUUUUUCUGUACAUUAUAUUAAAGCCGUAGAAUUUUUUUUCCCUAAAAGCUAGUAGGAGUUUUAGAAAAAAAAUUUCAAUAUCUCACAGUUUAACCACAAACAUAUAUAUGUAGUCUAUAACUAAAUCUGAAGUCUUAUUAUAUAUAAAGAUUCAAGAGUUAUUUCUUCUCAUUUCAUCCAUCUGUGUCUUUUAGGGUUAAAAGAGAUAAUACAAAGAAGAAGAAUGGCUUCCAAUCCUUGCUCUGCAUGCAAAGUCCUCAAAUCCGUGUGUACAGGUGAAUGCGUUUUUGCGCCAUAUUUUCCAUCAACGGAGCCUGAAAAAUUUGACCGUGUGCAUAGAAUUUUUGGAGCCGAAAAUGUUUACAAAAUACUGAGCAAUGAGACUUUCUCACCUUUACAACUUGAAUAUGCUGUUAAGGCUCUCAGCUAUGAAGCUGAAGCCCGCAUACAGGAUCUCGUAACCGGUUGUGUUGGUAUGUCUUUGGCUUACGAAAAAAUUCUCAACAAUUUAAAAGAGCAAAUCGUCUCAGCAAAGAAUGAGAUCGUAGCCACCAUGGGAUCCGAUAAAGUACGGGAAUAUAAUGAUAUUCCUAUGCCUGAUGAUUUCCUCAUGACACAAAACCAACAGAUGGGUGAUAAUCAUGGAGCUGAUGAGGCAUCAACAUCUGCAACGCCACCUGCAUCUUCAGGAGGCACCAAUGAUACUCAACAGAUACUUUAAUUGCGUUAAAACCAGAACAAACCAUAAUGAAAUGCCUGUUGUGUUUAUUUGAUAUUUGCAUGCACCUCAAUUCCCGUGAUAACUUGUUGUCCUCCUUUCUUUAUUUUUAUUUCAUCAUAAAUUCAUGUAGUUUCAUUAUAUAAAAAAUAAUUCAUGUUGUUUGAUCUAAAUCGAUUUUCAAAUUUAUUUUUUGUUUUUUUUGUUUACUAGAGAAAAACUUAAAUACAUAAAGAUUGAAACAAAUUUGAAUCUAGAUCUUUUGGGUGAUCAUAUAAUUUAAUAACAUAAAAAAUUACAUGAAAACAAUUUUACAUGCGUAAUAUAUUAAAUAUAUGAGUAAAUGAAAUAUGGUUAUAAUGGUAGGAUUUGUAUAAAUACUUAUUCUGCAUGUAAUGAUAUGCGAUUGAAAAUGUCGGUGGUCUAUAUAAAGGGCAUGGAGGAGAGAUGUCAAUGAAUACUAGUUUGUCUUAUUAGUUUGCCUUCUAAAGAGUUCGGUCUCUUAUGUCGUUGUGGGUGUUCCCAAUUAAAAAAAAACUAGUUAGAUAUACAUAAAAAUAAAGUUAAUAAACAAAUCAUUCAGUAAAAUUAUAUUCAUGGAAAGUCCUAACUGACUUCUACAUUCAAUUCUCAACAAGAAAGCCCCUUUUAAACUCUAGUUGUCAUUAUAUCUCUGAUCGCUUUUGGGUAAGGAGGAGAAUGGUCAAGCGAUAUUUAGAAUCUAAAAUUUGGAGAUAAUUAUUUGGUUCCUGAAAAUAAUGUUGUAACUUGUAUGAACAGUAAAAAAACAAGAUUUCAUCUUGAGUUGGGACUUGGGUCAAAAAAUUUGUUGUCGAGGAAUGGUGAUGUUGUUACUCAUGCCAAUAUCACUUUGGCGCAAGUUGAACAUGGCUAUAAGCCUAUAACCCAAUAUUAAUAUUGAGAUGAGUCCGAUUUUUUUUUGUGAAAUGGUAGUUUAAUUUUUAUGUUGGCUCGAAAAAAAUGAAUAUUAGUUGGUGAUGAUUCAGCACAGGUCUCUAGAGUUUUAGUUGGUGAUUAUCAGAUCCUAGAAGGGAACCCGCACUACGCUGCGGGAUUAUAGACUAUCAACUUUGAAUUUCUUAUAUUAUUUUAUAAUUUUUUUGAUAUAUCUUAAUGAGCUUAUUCAUCCAUUGUUUUUAUCGAGUUUUUUUAAUCCAAAUCAUGACUUAAUGUUAAUUUAUUAACUUUCUCAAAUUAUGAAUUUUAGGUUUUUUCACACAUACAUAUAUAUAUAUAUAUAUUAUUUAUCACUAAUAUCAUUUUUGUUUUACUUAUAUCUUUAAUAUUUUGUAUAUUUAUUUGUUGUUGUAUUAUUAUUUUUUCCUCUUUGUCAUUUUUUCUAUAUUUUUAUAAUUUUUUAUUUUUUCAAUUAUUUAUUGAACGUUAAUUUUUGUACUGUAAAUUUCUUCUUAUUUUUUAUUCUUUAGAUAUUUAAAAUUUACUUAGCUUGUUAUUUUUAAUUUUGACUCAUUUUUUUUUCUUCUUCUUUUGCACUGAGAUUAAAUUAUAUUUAUUAGUUCAAAAAUAAAGAUUAAAAUCACAAUUAUAAUCUGUACUUUUUGUUAUUCAUAUAUUGAUGAUUUUUUAAUUUAAAUUUUAAUUUGAUUUAACUUAUGCUUAUGAUGUUUUAAAUUAGAUUUAAAUUUGAUUUAAUUUAUGCUUAUGAAUUAAUGUUUGUAACACAGUUGAAUUUAAAUUAAAUAGUUUAUAUAAGAAUUAAUAGUUGGGACAGAUUUUAAGUUAAGCUUCUAAUAUUUUAGUUCAACUUUUGAUUUCUCUUGUGAUUUAUUUUAUAUUUUUUUUCCUUGAUGAUUGUAGCUGAUAAUUUUUUCAAUCCAUGGUUUUUACAUUUUUACAUUGAAAUCUCCAUCUAGUGAUUAUAUAUGCUUUUUUCAAUUUACUAUUUUCAAUUUUUUUUUUCAAAUUUUUUCAAUUGGUUCUAUCUAUGUUCCUUAUGCCUCUAUAAAUUUUAUAUUUAUUUGUUACCAUAUUCUUUUUCUCAUUUUUUUCAAAGAAUCAGAUCCUAAAUGCCCCUGAAGUUGAGAAAUUAAAACAAAUCAAAACACAUAAUAUGAAUUUAAACAACUAAUAUGAGGUUAAACGAAUAAUAUGAAGUUAUGUUCAAAUAUUAUAAAACAAAUAAAAAAUUAAUUAAACUACGAGGUUGAACAAUAUGAUUUUUUUUUUCACGUUUUUCUUGUUUGAAAAUAUGAUUUUGUAGAGUAUAUACUGUUUAUAGUGAUAAGAACAGAAUGAUAAUAAUAAAAUUUAACAAAUUAUUUUCAAUCCAUCUCGCAAAUUUUAAAUUUUGAAAAUAAUUUUAACAAUAGUAUUUUAGAGAUUUAAGUUUAUUAAGUUUUAAGUUUUCUCGUCCAAUUGAUUAUAUGUACGUUUUUUAUUCAACUAUUUUGCUAUUCAGCUAUGAUAUACCAGAUAAACCCUAACUCUCUAAAUUUUGAUGUAUUGAAAUAAUCAAAAUAAAAAGUCAUAUAUAUUAUGAAUAAAAAAAAGUUAAAUGUACACAUUAAUGAAUGAUAAAUGUGAUAUUAUCUUUUAUUUUUUUGAGAAAAGUUUAAUGUGAUAUUAUCUUUCCAAAAGAGAGAGUAUGUAGUCUACUCUAUCACAUUAUGGUAAUUGAAAAUAUGGAAGGUAUCUAACAAGUACUAGUCAAAAUAUAAACAUUUAUUAUAAUUGAACUUGCCUCUAAACAUACAAAUUCAAAGUGUAUAUAACUGCUUAAAAACCAAGAUUAUUUUCCUCACUACAGGCAUCAGUCACAUUUUCAAGAUAUUCGAGGUAUAAUAGUCUCGAUCUAGGCCCUUUUUUUUUAAAAAAAAAAACAGUCUCAGUCUUUCUUUCAAUUCAUUUAGCAUAUUCAUUUGAUUUUGGUUUUGUGAUCUUUGAGUCAAGUAUCAAUAUUUUGAUCUUUUUUUCUGUAUAUUAUAUUAAAGCCGUAGAAUUUUUUUUUCCCUAAAAGCUAGUAGGAGUUUUAGAAAAAAAAUUUCAAUAUCUCACAGUUUAACCACAAACAUAUAUAUGUAGUCUAUAACUAAAUUUAAAGUCUUAUUAUAUAUAAAGAUUCAAGAGUUAUUUCUUCUCAUUUCAUCCAUCUGUGUCUUUUAGGGUUAAAAGAGAUAAUACAAAGAAGAAGAAUGGCUUCCAAUCCUUGCUCUGCAUGCAAAGUCCUCAAAUCUGUGUGUACAGGUGAAUGCGUUUUUGCGCCAUAUUUUCCAUCGACGGAGCCUGAAAAAUUUGACCUAUGCAUAGAAUUUUUGGAGCCGAAAUGUUUACAAAAUACUGAGCAAUGAGACUUUCUCACCUUUACAACGUGAAUAUGCUGUUAAGGCUCUCAGCUAUGAAGCUGAAGCCCGCAUACAGGAUCCCGUAACCGGUUGUGUUGGUAUGUCUUUGGCUUACGAAAAAAUUCUCAACAAUUUAAAAGAGCAAAUCGUCUCAGCAAAGAAUGAGAUCGUGGCCACCAUGGGAUCUGAUAAAGUACCGGAAUAUAAUGAUAUUCCUAUGCCUGAUGAUUUCCUCAUGACACAAAACCAACAGAUGGGUGAUAAUCAUCGAGCUGAUGAGGCAUCAACAUCUGCAACGCCACCGGCAUCUUCAGGAGGCACCAAUGAUACUCAACAGACACCUUAAUUGCGAUAAAACCAGAACAAACCAUAAUGAAAUGCCUGUUGUGUUUAUUUGAUAUUUGCAUGCACCUCAAUUCUCGUGAUAAUUUGUUGUCCUCCUUUCUUUAUUUUUAUUUCAUCAUAAAUUCAUGUAAUUUUAUUAUAUUAAAAAUAAUUCAUGUUGGUUGAUCUAAAUCGAUUUUCAAAUUUCUUUUUUUGUUUUUUUUGUUUACUAGAGAAAAACUUAAAUACAUUUAAAGAUUGAAACAAAUUUGAAUCUAGAUCUUUUGGAUGAUCAUAUAAUUUAAUAACAUAAAAAAUUACAUGAAAAAAAUUUACAUGCGUAAUAUAUGUUAAAUAUAUGAGUAAAUAAAAUAUGGGUAUAAUGGUAGGAUUUGUAGAAAUACUUAUUCUGCAUGUAAUGAUAUGCGAUUGAAAAUGUCGGUGGUCUAUAUAAAGGUCAUGGAGGAGAGAUGUCAAUGAAUACUAGUUUGUCUUAUUAGUUUGCCUUCCAAAGACUUUGGUCUCUUAUGUCGUUGUGGGUGUUCCCAAUUAAAAAAAAACUAGUUAGAUAUACAUAAAAAUAAAGUUAAUAAACAAAUCAUUCAGUAAAAUUAUAUUCAUGGAAAGUCCUAAUUGACUUCUACAUUCUAUUCUCAACAAGAAAGCCCAUUUUAAACUCUAGUUGUCAUUAUAUCUCUGAUCGCUUUUGGGUAAGGAGGAGAAUUGUCAAGCGAUAUUUAGAAUCUAAAAUUUGGGAAUAAUUAUUUGGUUCCUGAAAAUAAUGUUGUAACUUGUAUGAACAGUAAAAAAAAAACAAGAUUUCAUCUUGAGUUGGGACUUGGGUCAAAAAAAUUGUUGUCGAGGAAUGGUGAUGUUGUAACUCAUGCCAACAUCACUUUGGCGCAAGUUGAACAUGGCUAUAAACCUAUAACCCAAUAUUAAGUUUUCUCGUCCAAUUGAUUAUAUGUAUGUUUUUUAUUCAACUAUUUUGCUAUUCAGCUAUGAUAUACCAGAUAAACCCUAACUCUCCAAAUUUUGAUGUAUUGAAAUAAUCAAAAUAAAAAGUCAUAUAUAUUAUGAAUAAAAAAAAGUUAAAUGUACACAUUAAUGAAUGAUAAAUGUGAUAUUAUCAUCUUAUUUUUUUGAGAAAAGUUUGAUGUGAUAUUAUCUUUCCAAAAACGAGAGUAUGUAGUCUACUCUAUGGCAUUAUGGUAAUUGAAAAUAUGGAAGGUAUCUAACAAGUACUAGUCAAAAUUUAAACAUUUAUUAUAAUUGAACUUGCCUCUAAACAUACAAAUUCAAAGUGUAUAUAACUGCUUAAAAACCAAGACUAUUUUCCUCACUACAGGCAUCAGUCACAUUUUCAAGAUAUUCGAGGUAUAAUAGUCUCGAUCUAGGUCCUUUUUUUAAAAAAAAAAAAAAAGUCUCAGUCUUUCUUUCAAUUCAUUUAGCAUAUUCAUUUGAUUUUGGUUUUGUGAUCUUGAGUCAAGUAUCAAUAUUUUGAUCUUUUUUUCUGUAUAUUAUAUUAAAGCCGUAGAAUUUUUUUUCCCUAAAAGCUAGUAGGAGUUUUAGAAAAAAAAUUUCAAUAUCUCACAGUUUAACCACAAACAUAUAUUUGUAGUCUAUAACUAAAUUUGAAGUCUUAUUAUAUAUAAAGAUUCAAGAGUUAUUUCUUCUCAUUUCAUCCAUCUGUGUCUUUUAGGGUUAAAAGAGAUAAUACAAAGAAGAAGAAUGGCUUCCAAUCCUUGCUCUGCAUGCAAAGUCCUCAAAUCCGUGUGUACAGGUGAAUGCGUUUUUGCGCUAUAUUUUCCAUCGACGGAGCCUGAAAAAUUUGACCGUGUGCAUAGAAUUUUUGGAGCCGAAAAUGUUUACAAAAUACUGAGCAAUGAGACUUUCUCACCUUUACAACGUGAAUAUGCUGUUAAGGCUCUCAGCUAUGAAGCUGAAGCCCGCAUACAGGAUCCCGUAACCGGUUGUGUUGGUAUGUCUUUGGCUUACGAAAAAAUUCUCAACAAUUUAAAAGAGCAAAUCGUCUCAGCAAAGAAUGAGAUCGUGGCCACCAUGGGAUCCGAUAAAGUACCGGAAUAUAAUGAUAUUCCUAUGCCUGAUGAUUUCCUCAUGACACAAAACCAACAGAUGGGUGAUAAUCAUCGAGCUGAUGAGGCAUCAACAUCUGCAACGCCACCGGCAUCUUCAGGAGGCACCAAUGAUACUCAACAGACACCUUAAUUGCGUUAAAACCAGAACAAACCAUAAUGAAAUUCCUGUUAUGUUUAUUUGAUAUUUGCAUGCACCUCAAUUCCCGUGAUAAUUUGUUGUCCUCCUUUCUUUAUUUUUAUUUCAUCAUAAAUUCAUGUAGUUUUAUUAUAUUAAAAAUAAUUCAUGUUGUUUGAUCUAAAUCGAUUUUCAAAUUUUUUUUUUGUUUUUUUGUUUACUAGUGAAAAACUUAAAUACAUUUAAAGAUUGAAACAAAUUUGAAUCUAGAUCUUUUGGAUGAUCAUAUAAUUUAAUAACAUAAAAAAUUACAUGAAAAAGAAUUUACAUGCGUAAUAUAUGUUAAAUAUAUGAGUAAAUGAAAUAUGGGUAUAAUGGUAGGAUUUGUAUAAAUACUUAUUCUGCAUGUAAUGAUAUGCGAUUGAAAAUGUCGGUGGUCUAUAUAAAGGUCAUGGAGGAGAGAUGUCAAUGAAUACUAGUUUGUCUUAUUAGUUUGCCUUCCAAAGACUUCGGUCUCUUAUGUCGUUGUGGGUGUUCCCAAUUAAAAAAAAACUAGUUAGAUAUACAUAAAAAUAAAGUUAAUAAACAAAUCAUUCAGUAAAAUUAUAUUCAUGGAAAAUCUUAACUGACUUCUACAUUCUAUUCUCAACCAGAAAGCCCCUUUUAAACUCUAGUUGUCAUUAUAUCUCUGAUCGCUUUUGGGUAAGGAGGAGAAUGAUCAAGCAAUAUUUAGAAUCUAAAAUUUGGGGAUAAUUAGUUGGUUCCUGAAAAUAAUGUUGUAACUUGUAUGAACAGUAAAAAAAAAAACAAGAUUUCAUCUUGAGUUGGGACUUGGGUCAAAAAAAUUGUUGUCGAGGAAUGGUGAUGUUGUAACUCAUGCCAACAUCACUUUGGCGCAAGUUGAACAUGGCUAUAAACCUAUAACCCAAUAUUGAUUUUGAGAUGAGUCCGAUUUUUUUUUUUUUGUGAAAUGGUAGUUUAGUUUUUAUGUUGGCUCGAAAAAAAUGAAUAUUAGUUGGUGAUGAUUCAGCACAGGUCUCUAGAGUUUUAGCUGGUGAUUAUCAGAUCUCAGAAGGGAACCCGCGCUACGCUGCGGGAUUAUAGACUAUCAACUUUGAAUUUCUUAUAUUAUUUUAUAAUUUUUUUGAUAUAUCUUAAUGAGCUUAUUCAUCCAUUGUUUUUUCGAGUUUUUUUUAUCCAAAUCAUGAUUUAGUGUUAAUUUAUUAACUUUCUCAAAUUAUGAAUUUUAGGUUUUUUCACACAUACACACAUAUAUAUAUAUAUAUAUUUAUCACUAAUUCCAUUUUUGUUUUACUUAUAUCUUUAAAAUUUUGUAUAUUUAUUUGUUGUUGUAUUAUUAUUUUUUCCUCUUUGUCAUUUUUUCUAUAUUUUUAUAAUUUUUUAUUUUUUCAAUUGUUUAUUGAACGUUGCUUUUGGUACUGUAGUUUCUUUCUUAUUUUUUAUUCUUUAGAUAUUUAAAACUUGCUUAGCUUAUUAUUUUUAAUUUUGACUCAUAUUUUUUCUUCUUUUUUUGCACUGAGAUUAAAUUAUCUUUAUUAAUUCAAAAAUAAAGAUUAAAAUCACACUUAUAAUCUGUAUUAUUUUUUAUUCAUAUAUUGAUGAUUUUGUAAUUGAAAUUUAAAUUUGAUUAAACUUAUGCUUAUGAUGUUUUAAAUUAGAUUUAAAUUAGAUUUAAAUUAUGCUUGUGAUUUAAUGUUUGUAACACAGUUGAAUUUAAAUUAAAUAGUUUAUAUAAGAAUUAAUAGUUGGGACAGAUUUUAAGUAACGCUUCUAAUAUUUUAGUUCAACUUUUGAUUUCUCUUGUGAUUUAUUAUUAUUUUUUUCUUGAUGAUUGUAGCUGAUAGUUUUUUCAAUCCAUGGUUUUUACAUUUUUACAUUGAAAUCUCCAUCUAGUGAUUAUAUAUGUUUUUUUCAAUUUACUAUUUUCAUGUUUUGUUUUCACAUUUUUUCAAUUGGUUCUAUCUGUGUUCCUUAUGCUUCUAUAAAUUUUAUAUUUAUUUGUUACCAUAUUCUUUUUCUCAUUUUUUCAAAGAAUCAGAUCCUAAAUGCCCCUGAAGUUGACAAAUUAAAACAAAUCAAAACAAAUAAUAUGAAUUUAAACAACUAAUAUGAGGUUAAACGAAUAAUAUGAAGUUAUGUUCAAAUAAUAUAAAACAGAUAAAAACUUAAUUAAACUAUGAGGUUGAACAAUAUGAAUUUUUUUCACGUUUUUCUUGUUUGAAAAUAUGAUUUUGUAGAGUAUAUACUGUUUAUAGUGAUAAGAACAGAAUGAUAAUAAUAAAAUUUAACAAAUUAUUUUCAAUCCAUCUCGCAAAUUUUAAAUUUUAAAAUAAUUUUAACAAUAGUAUUUUAGAGAUUUAAGUUUAUUAGGUUUUAAGUUUUUUCGUCCAAUUGAUUAUAUGUAUGUUUUUUUAUUCAACUAUUUUGCUAUUCAGCUAUGAUAUACCAGAUAAACCCUAACUCUCUAAAUUUUGAUGUAUUGAAAUAAUCAAAUAUAAAAAGUCAUGUAUAUUAUGAAUAAAAAAAAUUUAAAUGUACACAUUAAUGAAUGAUAAAUGUGAUAUUAUCUUUUAUUUUUUUGAGAAAAGUUUAAUGUGAUAUUAUCUUUCCAAAAGAGAGAGUAUGUAGUCUACUCUAUCACAUUAUGGUAAUUGAAAAUAUGGAAGGUAUCUAACAAGUACUAGUCAAAAUUUAAACAUUUAUUAUAAUUGAACUUGCCUCGAAACAUACAAAUUCAAAGUGUAUAUAACUACUUAAAAACCAAGCCUAUUUUCCUCACUACAGGCAUCAUUCACAUUUUCAAGAUAUUCGAGGUAUAAUGGUCUCGAUCUAGGCCCUUUUUUUUUAAAAAAAAAAAACAGUCUCAGUCUUUCUUUCAAUUCAUUUAGCAUAUUCAUUUGAUUUUGGUUUUGUGAUCUUUGAGUCAAGUAUCAAUACUUUGAUCUUUUUUCUGUAUAUUAUAUUAAAGCUGUAGAAUUUUUUUUCCCUAAAAGCUAGUAGGAGUUUUAGAAAAAAAAUUUCAAUAUCUCACAGUUUAACCACAAACAUAUAUAUGUAGUCUAUAACUAAAUUUGAAGUCUUAUUAUAUAUAAAGAUUCAAGAGUUAUUUCUUCUCAUUUCAUCCAUCUGUGUCUUUUAGGGUUAAAAGAGAUAAUACAAAGAAGAAGAAUGGCUUCCAAUCCUUGCUCUGCAUGCAAAGUCCUCAAAUCCGUGUGUACAGGUGAAUGCGUUUUUGCGCCAUAUUUUCCAUCGACGGAGCCUGAAAAAUUUGACCGUGUGCAUAGAAUUUUUGGAGCCGAAAAUGUUUACAAAAUACUGAGCAAUGAGACUUUCUCACCUUUACAACGUGAAUAUGCUGUUAAGGCUCUCAGCUAUGAAGCUGAAGCCCGCAUACAGGAUCCCGUAACCGGUUGUGUUGGUAUGUCUUUGGCUUACGAAAAAAUUCUCAACAAUUUAAAAGAGCAAAUCGUCUCAGCAAAGAAUGAGAUCGUGGCCACCAUGGGAUCUGAUAAAGUACCGGAAUAUAAUGAUAUUCCUAUGCCUGAUGAUUUCCUCAUGACACAAAACCAAUAGAUGGGUGAUAAUCAUCGAGCUGAUGAGGCAUCAACAUCUGCAACGCCACCGGCAUCUUCAGUAGGCACCAAUGAUACUCAACAGACACCUUAGUUGCGUUAAAACCAGAACAAACCAUAAUGAAAUGCCUGUUGUGUUUAUUUGAUAUUUGCAUGCACCUCAAUUCUCGUGAUAAUUUGUUGUCCUCCUUUCUUUAUUUUUAUUUCAUCAUAAAUUCAUGUAGUUUUAUUAUAUUAAAAAUAAUUCAUGUUGUUUGAUCUAAAUCGAUUUUCAAAUUUGUUUUUUGUUUUUUUUGUUUACUAGAGAAAAACUUAAAUACAUUUAAAGAUUGAAACAAAUUUGAAUCUAGAUCUUUUGGAUGAUCAUAUAAUUUAAUAAAAUAAAAAAUUACAUGAAAAAGAAUUUACAUGCGUAAUAUAUGUUAAAUAUAUGAGUAAAUGAAAUAUGGGUAUAAUGGUAGGAUUUGUAUAAAUACUUAUUCUGCAUGUAAUGAUAUGCGAUUGAAAAUGUCAGUGAUCUAUAUAAAGGUCAUGGAGGAGAGAUGUCAAUGAAUACUAGUUUGUCUUAUUAGUUUGCCUUCCAAAGACUUCGGUCUCUUAUGUCGUUGUGGGUGUUCCCAAUUAAAAAGAAACUAGUUAGAUAUACAUAAAAAUAAAGUUAAUAAACAAAUCAUUCAGUAAAAUUAUAUUCAUGGAAAGUCCUAACUGACUUCUACAUUCUAUUCUCAACAAGAAAGCCCUUUUUAAACUCUAGUUGUCAUUAUAUCUCUGAUCGCUUUUGGGUAAGGAGGAGAAUGAUCAAGCAAUAUUUAGAAUCUAAAAUUUGUGGAUAAUUAUUUGGUUCCUGAAAAUAAUGUUGUAACUUGUAUGAACAGAAAAAAACAAGAUUUCAUCUUGAGUUGGGACUUGGGUCAAAAAAUUGUUGUCGAGGAAUGGUGAUGUUGUAACUCAUGCCAACAUCACUUUGGCGCAAGUUGAACAUGGCUAUAAACCUAUAACCCAAUAUUGAUAUUGAGAUGAGUCCGAUUUUUUUUUUGUGAAAUGGUAGUUAAGUUUUUAUGUUGGCUCGAAAAAAAUGAAUAUUAGUUGGUGAUGAUUCAGCACAGGUCUCUAGAGUUUUAGCUGGUGAUUAUCAGAUCUCAGAAGGGAACCCGCGCUACGCUGCGGGAUUAUAGACUAUCAACUUUGAAUUUCUUAUAUUAUUUUAUAAUUUUUUUGAUAUAUCUUAAUGAGCUUAUUCAUCCAUUGUUUUUUCGAGUUUUUUUUAUCCAAAUCAUGAUUUAGUGUUAAUUUAUUAACUUUCUCAAAUUAUGAAUUUUAGGUUUUUUCACACAUACACACACAUAUAUAUAUAUAUAUUUAUCACUAAUUCCAUUUUUGUUUUACUUAUAUCUUUAAAAUUUUGUAUAUUUAUUUGUUGUUGUAUUAUUAUUUUUUCCUCUUUGUCAUUUUUUCUAUAUUUUUAUAAUUUUUUAUUUUUUCAAUUGUUUAUUGAACGUUGCUUUUAGUACUGUAGUUUUUUUCUUAUUUUUUAUUCUUUAGAUAUUUAAAACUUGCUUAGCUUAUUAUUUUUAAUUUUGACUCAUAUUUUUUCUUCUUCUUUUGCACUGAGAUUAAAUUAUCUUUAUUAAUUCAAAAAUAAAGAUUAAAAUCAUACUUAUAAUCUGUAUUAUUUUUUAUUCAUAUAUUGAUGAUUUUUUAAUUUAAAUUUAAAUUUGAUUAAACUUAUGCUUAUGAUGUUUUAUAUUAGAUUUAAAUUAGAUUUAAAUUAUGCUUGUGAUUUAAUGUUUGUAACACAGUUGAAUUUAAAUUAAAUAGUUUAUAUAAGAAUUAAUAGUUGGGACAGAUUUUAAGUUACGCUUCUAAUAUUUUAGUUCAACUUUUGAUUUCUCUUGUGAUUUAUUAUUUUUUUUUUCUUGAUGAUUGUAGCUGAUAGUUUUUUCAAUCCAUUGUUUUUUACAUUUUUACAUUGAAAUCUCCAUCUAGUGAUUAUAUAUGUUUUUUUCAAUUUACUAUUUUCAUGUUUUGUUUUCACAUUUUUUCAAUUGGUUCUAUCUGUGUUCCUUAUGCUUCUAUAAAUUUUAUAUUUAUUUGUUACCAUAUUCUUUUUCUCAUUUUUUCAAAGAAUCAGAUCCUAAAUGCCCCUGAAGUUGACAAAUUAAAACAAAUCAAAACAAAUAAUAUGAAUUUAAACAACUAAUAUGAUGUUAAACGAAUAAUAUGAAGUUAUGUUCAAAUAAUAUAAAACAAAUAAAAACUUAAUUAAACUACGAGGUUGAACAAUAUGAAUUUUUUCACGUUUUUCUUGUUUGAAAAUAUGAUUUUGUAGAGUAUAUACUGUUUAUAGUGAUAAGAACAGAAUGAUAAUAAUAAAAUUUAACAAAUUAUUUUCAAUCCAUCUCGCAAAUUUUAAAAUUUAAAAUAAUUUUAACAAUAGUAUUUUAGAGAUUUAAGUUUAUUAAGUUUUAAGUUUUUUCGUCCAAUUGAUUAUAUGUAUGUUUUUUAUUCAACUAUUUUGCUAUUCAGCUAUGAUAUACCAGAUAAACCCUAACUCUCUAAAUUUUGAUGUAUUGAAAUAAUCAAAAAUAAAAAGUCAUGUAUAUUAUGAAUAAAAAAAAGUUAAAUGUACACAUUAAUGAAUGAUAAAUGUGAUAUUAUCUUUUAUUUUUUUGAGAAAAGUUUAAUGUGAUAUUAUCUUUCCAAAAGAGAGAGUAUGUAGUCUACUCUAUCACAUUAUGGUAAUUGAAAAUAUGGAAGGUAUCUAACAAGUACUAGUCAAAAUUUAAACAUUUAUUAUAAUUCACUACAAGAAAUAUGCUUAUUGAUAGCACAUUUUAAUAGCGUAAUAUUUGUAACUGCUAUUAAAUGUCAUUUUUGGAAUUGGGUACUCUAAUAUAGCACUUAAAAAAUGCUAAAGAGUAAAUAAUGUGAGCGGGAACAAAAAAAAGGCUUUGGCUCGCAUAAAACACUUAUGCCCGCCAACACUUAGUAAAAAUUUCAUGUUAUAGACAAAACAUAACAACAUUCUGUCGACUAAAAAAAACCAUUUUCUCGGGUGAGCAAAAAAUAGAAAGUUCUAGGGUUUAUGAGAGAAGAGAGUGAUCUCAAAUUCAUCAAGCCGAUUAACAAUCUGACGUCUCUGAAACCCUCAUCGUCGGAAAUCUCUUUCACCAGUGUCGAUUUUGGGUUUAGAUCAGGUCAUCUUGAUUCCUGUUGGAGUUAAGCUCUCGAUUAUGGAGAUUUCUGGGUUUAGCAGGAAAUUUUCGGCGAUUGAGGCAGAGUUGUUUGUCAAGUUCAGCGGAAACUAGACGACGCACAUGCAAAGGUAACUCCAAUUUCACUCUUCAUAAACCCUAAAUGUAAUUCCAUCAUUCGAUUCAUUGAAUUCUUAUACUUGUUUUACUCACUACACUUUCAUUCUCAUUUCUUCCCUCUUGAGGUUUCGAAGCUGAAGAGAAACUAAAAGACAGCGAGAAGACAUCAAAUACAUAGGCGAACAAAGCUCAAUCGUGUCUGAUUUCAUCGAUAAUCAAGGUAAAUGUAACUCGUUAAUCGGUUUAGGGUUUACACAGAAUUGAUACGAAACUCGUUUAUAUUGAACUCUACUUUGUCUUCCGGAGUACUUUUAGGGUGUUUGUUUAGGGUUGAGUCGUUUAGCUAACAAUUGUUAUUAAGGUUGGAGUAUACAAUGGUGGACAAGGCAUGGGUUCACCUAUGCAGGUAUCACUUAAUAAACAUGUGUUCAGGGUAGAUGUGCUUCUAUAUAGUUUACCUGUAUAGUUUUGACUUUUUUUAUUCAUCGACAUGCAUAUGUUGAAGAGCGGAUCCUGCAUAUGAGAUUGGUGCUAGGAAUUUUGUGAACUCAGUUGCCUCUGCCUUAGGAGAUUGUGAUUUGGUUAUAUGCCCGUGCAUUGAUUGUCGAAACGUAGACCGUCAUUCUAAAAAUGAUGUAGUGGAUCACUUGGUCACAAGAGGAAUGGAUGAGACGUACAAGCUAAGGACUGAUUGGUAUCAUCAUGGGGAAGUAAACUGUGGGUCUGACGAAGCAAAGAAAGUGAUAAGAGAGUGGAACGAGGAGAUUGUAGGGUUGUAUCAAGCUGCCGAAUACUUGGAUGAAGAGUUAGCUAACAAGACGGACUUAUGCGAUGUUGCUGAAGGUUUAGACAAGAGAGAAGACGAGUUUCUAGCUAAACUUGCUGAUGCCGAAACGCCAUUGUAUCCAAGUUGUGCCAGCCAUAGCAAGCUAUCAGAAAUUGUAUCGUUUUUUACGGACAAGAGCUUCAACGAGCUGUUAGAGACACUGCCGAGUAUGUUGCCGGAGGAUAAUGUGCUUCACACCUCGUUGUAUGACGUGAAGAAGUUCCUCAAGUCUUUCCAUAUGGGGUACGAGAAGAUCCAUGCCUGUGUUAAUGAUUGUUGUCUUUUCAGAAAAGGGUUGAAGAAGUUAGACAACUGUCCCAAGUGCAAGACAUCAAGAUGGAAGACUAACUUCCAAACCGGUGAACUUAAAAAAGGUGUCCCUCAGAAAGUUUUGAGGUACUUUCCCAUCAUUCCGAGGCUGAAGAGGAUGUUUAGGUCAGAGCAUACUGCUAAGGAGCUACGGUGGCAUUUUACUAACAAAAGUAAUGAUGGAAAGCUGCGUCAUCCCGUAGACUCCGUAACAUGGGACCAGAUGAAUUCCAAGUACCCGUUGUUUGCCGCAGAAUCAAGAAACAUUCGGCUAGGUCUAUCUACCGACGGUUUCAAUCCAUUCAGCAUGAAAAAUACAAGGUAUUCUUGUUGUCCUGUAUUGUUGGUGAAUUAUAAUAUGGCUCCAGACUUGUGUAUGAAGAAGGAGAAUAUCAUGCUUUCCUUGUUGAUUCCUGGACCGUAUCAACCUGGCAACAGUAUAGAUGUGUACUUGGAGCCACUGAUCGAUGACCUCCAAUGAUUGUGGGACAUUGGAGAGCAAACGUAUGAUGCAUUCAGUAAAACCACAUUCACAAUGAAGGCAAUGCUAUUGUGGACUAUUAGUGACCUACCUGCAUAUGGAAAUCUGGCUGGCUGCAGAGUAAAAGGUAAGAUGGGAUGUCCAUAAUGUGGAAAGCAUACUGAUAGUUUAUGGUUACCUAAUAGCAGGAAGCAUGUUUACAUGUUUCAUAGAAAGAGAUUAUCACCCACGCAUAGUUACCGUGGGAAGAAGGCAUGGUUCGAUGGAAAAGUUGAAUAUGGAAGGAAGGGUAGGAUUCUAACGGGUCAUAACAUAUCUGUGUUGCUGAAGAAUUACAAAAACGAGUUUGGAAAUGUUAGACAAGCUGGAAGGAAAAGAAAAAGGGUUAUUCCUGCGGAGUCAUUAGCUGAUAGUGAAGACGAAGAAUCCGAAUCAGAGGAGGAAGAGGAAGUAGAUGAAGAAGAAUUAUCUAGAUGGAAGAAACGAUCUAUCUUUUUCAAUCUUCCUUACUGGGAGGUAUGUUAUCGUUUUACAACUUCAUUUAUAUUUGUUAAAUACACUAUACAUAAUUUAAAGACUUUCAGUUAACAUGUCUAAAUGCAAUCCAUAGGAACUCCCGGUCAGACAUAACUUAGACGUUAUGCACGUAGAAAGAAAUGUUGCAGCGAGCAUCAUUUCCACCUUGCUGCAUUGUGGAAAUUCAAAAGACGGUCUUAAUGCUCGUAAAGAUCUACAAGUCCUUGGUAUUAGGAAAGAGUUGCAUCCUAAAGGCAGAGGCAAACGAACUUACUUACCUGCAGCACCGUGGACUUUGUCAAAGGAAGAGAAGAGACUAUUCUGCAAGCGUCUACAUGAGUUCAAAGGACCGGAUGGUUAUUGCUCCAAUAUAUCCAGGUGCGUAUCAUUAGAAGAGUCUAAGACAAUGGGAUUGAAGUCACACGAUUACCAUGUGCUCAUGCAACAACUUUUACCAGUUGCACUUAGAGGUCUUUUACCGAAAGGGCCUAGAAUAGCCAUUACACGAUUAUGUGCAUUCUUCAACAAUCUAUGUCAAUGUGUUGUUGAUAGGGAGAAAAUAUCAGGAAUGGAAAACAAAAUCGUUGAGACUAUUUGUAUGUUUGAGAGAUUUUUCCCACCUAGUUUCUUUGAUAUAAUGGUUCACUUGUGUAUACAUCUUGGGAGGAAAGCUAGAUUAGGUGGACCUGUACACUUUCGAUGGAUGUAUCCUUUCGAGAGGUAAGUUGUCUAUACAAUUUUUUUGAUAAGUUUGCUUGCCGCAUAUUUCAUCUUCCAUUAUCGUUAUUCUUAUCUUCGUAAUUCCUACCAGACACAUGAAACUGUUGAAAGACUACGUCAGGAAUCCUGCAAGACCGGAAGGAUGUAUUGCUGAAUCAUAUCUAGCAGAGGAAUGUAUGCAGUUCUGCAGAGAUUUCUUGAGGAAGACCACAAGUGUCGAAGGUAGACAAGAAUGAAAUACUGAAUACGAAAGCACUUCUAUACUCGAAGGGCGACCUAUUUCUGCUGGGAGGUCUAUCACACUUUCUGAAGUGGAAAAGAAAACAGCACACCUAGCUGUCAUUCAGAAUACCGCACUGGUAGAUCCUUAUGUAGAGUAAGCUCUAAUUUCUUUAUUAUGCUGCAUUCAUAUUCGGAAUUCAGUCUUGAUACUAAUAUAUUUCAUUGUUGUCUAAUGUCACUUUGUAAGCAUGCAUCUGCAAUACCUGCAAGACACAAACCCACGGUGUAGACAAGAUGCUACUUUCCUAUGGAGUACUCACACUAAAAACUUUUCAGAGUGGCUUAAAAAAAGUGUAAGUAAGCUGUUUCAGUUCCGUAUUAAUACAAGGUACAUUUUAAACUUAUUGUUGAUUUACUUACUACAUUAUUUUUUGUCAGAUACCACUUGACUCUACGGAACAUGAUGACACACUUAAGUGGAUUUCAUAUGGUCCACGUAAUAUGGCUAGAUCAUACACUGGUUACGUUGUUAAUGGUCUGCGGUUUCACACAACAUCAGUUCAGAGACAAACGCACAACAGUGGAGUAUAUUAUAAAGCAACUGCAAUGUGUCGAGCCAGUGCAAGAGACACUUCCCAAAUCUAGGAUUUGGUUUCUUAUUAUGGCAGAGUGGUGGACAUUAUCUUAUUAGACUACAACGUAUUCUACAUACCUCUAUUCCGAUGUCAAUGGGCGGUCAGAGGCAACGGUGUGAAGGUGAACGAAGGUUUUACGUUGGUCAACUUGAACCAAAGUCAAGUCUCUUUCGCAAGGGAUCCAUUCAUUCUGGCAUCUCAAGCUAAGCAAAUAUUAUAUUCCAGAGAGGACGAGUCUUCAAAUUGGUAUGUGGUUAUGAGAGGCCCUUCAAGGAGAUACACUGAGGCAGACAGUGAUGAGGCAGAUGGUGGGCCAUUACCAUUGAGUGUUGACAUGAACGUAGAAGAUGUUGACGCUGAAGACCAACCUGCAAGGGUUGAUUGUGAAGGAAUAUACGUUUAGGACAUAUACGUAUUACCUAUUGCGUAGUUAGAGUCGUUGCUUUCGGUUUAGUGUCUAUGCUUGACUAUAUGGAAUAUGGUGGUCUAAAUUUUUCACUGAUGGGUUGUAUUGAGUGUUUCAGGUGAUAAAGUAUGGGUCGACCAAAGGGAAAGAAUAGAAAAAGGAAGAAUUUAUCUGAGGAGCCAGAAUUUAUUGGGACAGUAUAUCCGGAAAGUAUGCAUGAUGGAGGAGAAGACAAUGCAGCCGGAAAUGAUCAACCUGAUGAAGUCAUGAACGAGGCUGUGCAGACACAGAUUAAUGAUGAGACGCAGAGUCCAGAACAUAGAGUGUGCUCUUAGGAACCAGAUCUGAAUGAUGGAUUACCGAAUGUUGAUGAGGAUGCAUUCAAUGAACAUGCAUUCAUGAAUGAUGAAACGCCGGCGCCUGAAUCAGAAGGGACUACAGCUCCAAACAAGCCUAAGCGAUCUAGAGGUCCAACAAGGAUGAAAGACAUCGCAAGAGAUCCUAACAGUCGCAUAAAGGUUGAAUUCAAUAGCAUGGGAGAACCGUAUGGAUCAGGAUCGGUUAAGCUGUCAUCUUACCUUGGGCCCUUGGUGCGUGAACACGUCCCUGUCAUUAUUGAAGAUUGGAGGAAGAUUGGUGAAGAACGUAGAACAGUUCUAUGGAAAUCUGUACAGGUAGACCCAUUUUAAUUUAGAAUAAGGUAAGUAUUAUGGACUUGUAUUUUAUUGUUUGAUUUGGAAUUUAUUGUAGGCAAGGUUCGAAUUAGAUGAGGAGUAUCACAAGAUGGCUGUCAUCAAGCAAAUGGGUUGUAUAUGGAGGGCCUCAAAGUCGAGGCUAGUCAGCCAGAUCAAGAGUUGUAAGAAUAACGCAGAAAGAUUGAAGCUUCGCCCAAAGAAUAUUCCACCGGCAGAAUGGCGCAAAUUUGUGAAGGCUAAAACUAGUGCAGCAUUUAAGGUAAUCACGUAGCCCUCACUUUACUUCCAUAUACAGAUAACUGAAUUUUUGUUUUCAGGAACUAAGUGACACAUAUAAAGAAAGAAGGCGAAACCAGAUUCCUCAUACUUGCAGUCGAAAGGGGAUGGUCAGACUGGCUGAAGAGAUGGUAAUAUUCCGUAUGUGUAAUACUGAUGCAACUAUAUGCAAAUAACUAACAUUGCCACCUAUUUUCAGAAAAAAGAGAUCUCUGAACCGUCUGAAGUAACUAGACUACAGGUAUGGGUUAAGUCUUGAACAAAGAAGGAUGGCACUGCAGUCAAUACAAAUGCAGCCGAGAAGAUCGUAAGUAGUUAACAAUAACUAGUUGGUUUAUUUUUAAAAGUUGAUGAAUACUGGCGUAUCUUGGCUGAUGUCGAAAGUGUGUGUACAGAAAAAGGCAGCUGAACUUGUUGAAACGGUUUCUCCCUCUUCGACGUCCACAAAUCCCAAAGAAGAUCUCCUUUCUCAGCUACUUGGGCCUGAUAAUCCCGGCCGUUUGAGAGCGAUGGGUAGAGGGAUGAGUCAAACCAAGUUAGCAUGCUUCCAGAUGAAAAGCAAGUUUAUGGAUGAUAUGAAACGAGACCAACUAAGAUUGAUUCAGCAGGUCCAUGAUUUAGAGGAAGCACUGUCAAAAAUACAGAACCAGGUAAGCGAGUAUUUCAUGUCUGGUGAUAGUAACUCUGAAUUUUACAUUGUUAUUAUAUUAACUUAGGUUGUUAUUUCAAAUUACAUUUUUCAGAAACAAGAAGCUGAAGUCGGAGAGAAUUCUGCGCCAAGAGUAAACUCUUGUUUUGUCUUAUUUAGCAUUUAAAAUAUAUGUCAUAUGUUUACAUCUGUUUUUACAAUUCACCAUUAACGUUUGCAGAGUGUCAACAUGAAAUUACAAAUGAAGUGUCUGUUAUUCGACUGGGCUGGAACGGAUGAAAAAGUUGGUGAAGGACGUAUUUUGUCUGAAGAGCCUGAGGAAUUUGUCAACAGUAUACCCUUAGGCCCAAACUCGUACAAAGUUUUGGUGGAAGCAGCAAUUAAGCCAGAAGCUUAUCUUUGGAGACCUGCUCGCAACGUCUUUAAUAUGGAGCAAGCAGUUGGAGAGAUGAUUGCAUGGCCUCAAAAUUUUGUGGUUCCCUUUAGCAGCGGAUGUGAACCAGAAGACAUUACGCCUCUGGUAAAAUUCUUUCAGUACGGAAUAUAAUAGUUGAGUUUAUAGUAAAAGUAAAACUGUGCAAUGCUUGACAAUGGUUUCAUUUGUUUACUGCUUCACAGAGUCCUAAUACUAGCUCUCGGAACUUCUGCAAGUUGCUUGACUGGGCUAGAACUAACGAGGAAGUUGUUGCAGAGGGUCGUUGGCAUUCUCGAGAGCCAAAAGCAUUAGUCAACGGACUACCUCUCGGACCUAAUGCAGUGAAGGUAUUCGUCGAUGUGGUUUUAUGCCCAAAUACCUUCCUCUGGAGGCCAACGACUGAGUUCUUAGAUUUGGAGGAUUCAGUCAACACCUUUGUCGCUUGGCCUGCUAAUAGAGUAAUCUCUGAGGCAAGUCCUGAAACGAGUUCUCCUAUUGCUAACUCUGAAUCAACUCCACCAGCUCCAAUAAAAAAACCAAUGAAAGCAAUGUCAGAAAGUUCUACUCCUAUAACUCAGGUAGGUUUUCUUACUAACCUUUCAUUUGUUUGGUUUGUUUGGAUUUGUUGAUUUCGUGUAUAGCUAUAUAUUCAAAAUUUCUUUGCUACAGGAAUCCAACCAAAUGGAAACGGGGAAUGAAAAUAAGAAGUGCUUGGUGAUGGCUAUUACUGGAAAGAAGCGAGUGAUUGCUGAAGGACGUUGGUCCACAAACGAUCCACUUCAAACAGUACAUUUUGUUCCCUUGGGUCCAAAUGCAGUUAAGGUGUGGAUUGAUGUUGUCAAAGUUAAAGAUGCUUGCGUAUGGAGGCCUUCGUCUGAGAUCGAGUGCAUGGAAGAUGCAAUAGGAACAGCUAUUGCUUGGCCAGAGGAUAAAGUGGUACUCGUCUAAAUGCAGUAGUCAUCUGAUACUUUAGUUUUUAUCUUCUCUGAACUUAAGGAUGGUUUCGUUGAAGACAUAACCUGAUAUGUGUUUAUGGUUUUCUUUGUUGGAAAUGCUUGUAUGUUGCUGAAACAUUAACCAGUACUCAGUUCUUCUAUAUGGAAAAGCAGAUGCAUUUCAAUUUUUGUUUACCAGGUUAUGAUAUUUAGUAAGUGUAUUUUUUGAGGUUUUGGAUAUAUCGUAUUUGGUUAAAAAAAACCUACAUCGCCAAAUUCAAUAGCACGUAAGAACAGCUCCAACACUAAACAAUACAGCGUGAAAAAAUAGCUACAGUAUAUGAUGUUGGAGCUAAAAUAUAAUGCUACGACUCAACUAACAACAGCAAUGAAUUUCUCUUAUAGUAAACUAGAAUGUAGCUAUAAAACCACGCUACUAUAAAGGUGUCAAUAACACAAAAAUAAAGCUACAACAUUUAAUAAUAUAGCGUCUAAUUUGUGCUACCGUAUCAUUUAUAAUAACAUCAUAACAAUGCUAUUAUAUAUAUGAAUAUAAUAACACUUUCCAUAAACGCUAUAUUAAGGGGUGUACUCUAUUAUAACUCCGGCAGAUACAGCGUUUAUGAAAACGCUAUGAAAGUACUUUCAUAGCGUUAUUCGUAUGCUAUGAAUGUACAUAUUUCUUGUAGUGAUUGAACUUGCCUCUAAACAUACAAAUUCAAAGUGUAUAUAACUGCUUAAAAACCAAGACAAUUUUCCUCACUACAGGCAUCAGUCACAUUUUCAAGAUAUUCGAGGUAUAAUAGUCUCGAUCUAGGCCCUUUUUUUAAAAAAAAAAAACAGUCUCAGUCUUUCUUUCAAUUCAUUUAGCAUAUUCAUUUGAUUUUGGUUUUGUGAUCUUUGAGUCAAGUAUCAAUACUUUGAUCUUUUUUUCUGUAUAUUAUAUUAAAGCCGUAGAAUUUUUUUUCCCUAAACGCUAGUAGGAGUUUUAGAAAAAAAAUUUCAAUAUCUCACAGUUUAACCACAAACAUAUAUAUGUAGUCUAUAACUAAAUUUGAAGUCUUAUUAUAUAUAAAGAUUCAAGAGUUAUUUCUUCUCAUUUCAUCCAUCUGUGUCUUUUAGGGUUAAAAGAGAUAAUAUAAAGAAGAAGAAUGGCUUCCAAUCCUUGCUCUGCAUGCAAAGUCCUCAAAUCCGUGUGUACAGGUGAAUGCGUUUUUGCGCCAUAUUUUCCAUCGACGGAGCCUGAAAAAUUUGACCGUGUGCAUAGAAUUUUUGGAGCCGAAAAUGUUUACAAAAUACUGAGCAAUGAGACUUUCUCACCUUUACAACGUGAAUAUGCUGUUAAGGCUCUCAGCUAUGAAGCUGAAGCCCACAUACAGGAUCCCAUAACCGGUUGUGUUGGUAUGUCUUUGGCUUACGAAAAAAUUCUCAACAAUUUAAAAGAGCAAAUCGUCUCAGCAAAGAAUGAGAUCGUGGCCACCAUGGGAUCUGAUAAAGUACCGGAAUAUAAUGAUAUUCCGAUGCCUAAUGAUUUCCUCAUGACACAAAACCAACAGAUGGGUGAUAAUCAUCGAGCUGAUGAGGCAUCAACAUCUGCAACGCCACCGGCAUCUUCAGGAGGCACCAAUGAUACUCAACAGACACCUUAAUUGCGUUAAAACCAGAACAAACCAUAAUGAAAUGCCUGUUGUGUUUAUUUGAUAUUUGCAUGCACCUCAAUUCUCGUGAUAAUUUGUUGUCCUCCUUUCUUUAUUUUUAUUUCAUCAUAAAUUCAUGUAGUUUUAUUAUAUUAAAAAUAAUUCAUGUUGUUUGAUCUAAAUCGAUUUUCAAAUUGGUUUUUUGUUUUUUUUGUUUACUAGAGAAAAACUUAAAUACAUUUAAAGAUUGAAACAAAUUUGAAUCUAGAUCUUUUGGAUGAUCAUAUAAUUUAAUAACAUAAAAAAUUACAUGAAAAAGAAUUUACAUGCGUAAUAUAUGUUAAAUAUAUGAGUAAAUGAAAUAUGGGUAUAAUGGUAGGAUUUGUAUAAAUACUUAUUCUGCAUGUAAUGAUAUGCGAUUGAAAAUGUCGGUGGUCUAUAUAAAGGUCAUGGAGGAGAGAUGUCAAUGAAUACUAGUUUGUCUUAUUAGUUUGCCUUCCAAAGACUUCGGUCUCUUAUGUCGUUGUGGGUGUUCCCAAUUAAAAAAAACUAGUUAGAUAUACAUAAAAAUAAAGUUAAUAAACAAAUCAUUCAGUAAAAUUAUAUUCAUGGAAAGUCCUAACUGACUUCUACAUUCUAUUCUCAACAAGAAAGCCCCUUUUAAACUCUAGUUGUCAUUAUAUCUCUGAUCUCUUUUGGGUAAGGAGGAGAAUGAUCAAGCAAUAUUUAGAAUCUAAAAUUUGGGGAUAAUUAUUUGGUUCCUGAAAAUAAUGUUGUAACUUGUAUGAACAGUAAAAAAAAAAACAAGAUUUCAUCUUGAGUUGGGACUUGGGUCAAAAAAAUUGUUGUCGAGGAAUGGUGAUGUUGUAACUCAUGCCAACAUCACUUUGGCGCAAGUUGAACAUGGCUAUAAACCUAUAACCCAAUAUUGAUUUUGAGAUGAGUCCGAUUUUUUUUUUUUGUGAAAUGGUAGUUUAGUUUUUAUGUUGGCUCGAAAAAAAUGAAUAUUAGUUGGUGAUGAUUCAGCACAGGUCUCCAGAGUUUUAGCUGGUGAUUAUCAGAUCUCAGAAGGGAAUCCGCGCUACGCUGCGGGAUUAUAGACUAUUAACUUUGAAUUUCUUAUAUUAUUUUAUAAUUUUUUUGAUAUGAGCUUAUUCAUCCAUUGUUUUUUCGAGUUUUUUUUAUCCAAAUCAUGAUUUAGUGUUAAUUUAUUAACUUUCUCAAAUUAUGAAUUUUAGGUUUUUUCACACAUACACACAUAUAUAUAUAUAUUUAUCACUAAUUCCAUUUUUGUUUUACUUAUAUCUUUAAUAUUUUGUAUAUUUAUUUGUUGUUGUAUUAUUAUUUUUUCCUCUUUGUCAUUUUUUCUAUAUUUUUAUAAUUUUUUAUUUUUUCAAUUGUGUAUUGAACAUUGCUUUUGGUACUGUAGUUUUUUUCUUAUUUUUUUUUCUUUAGAUAUUUAAAACUUGCUUAGCUUAUUAUUUUUAAUUUUGACUCAUAUUUUUUCUUCUUCUUUUGCACUGAGAUUAAAUUAUCUUUAUUAAUUCAAAAAUAAAGAUUAAAAUCACACUUAUAAUCUUUUAUUAUUUUUUAUUCAUAUAUUGAUGAUUUUUUAAUUUAAAUUUAAAUUUGAUUAAACUUAUGCUUAUGAUGUUUUAAAUUAGAUUUAAAUUUGAUUUAAAUUAUGCUUGUGAUUUAAUGUUUUAAAACAGUUGAAUUUAAAUUAAAUAGUUUACAUAAGAAUUAAUAGUUGGGACAGAUUUUAAGUUACGCUUCUAAUAUUUUAGUUCAACUUUUGAUUUCUCUUGUGAUUUUUUUUUUCUUGAUGAUUGUAGCUGAUAGUUUUUUAAAUCCAUUGUUUUUUACAUUUUUACAUUGAAAUCUCCAUCUAGUGAUUAUAUAUGUUUUUUUCAAUUUACUAUUUUCAUAUUUUGUUUUCACAUUUUUUCAAUUGGUUCUAUCUGUGUUCCUUAUGCUUCUAUAAAUUUUAUAUUUAUUUGUUACCAUAUUCUUUUUCUCAUUUUUUCAAAGAAUCAGAUCCUCAAUGCCCCUGAAGUUGACAAAUUAAAACAAAUCAAAACAAAUAAUAUGAAUUUAAACAACUAAUAAUGAGGUUAAACGAAUAAUAUGAAGUUAUGUUCAAAUAAUAUAAACAGAUAAAAACUUAAUUAAACUAUGAGGUUGAACAAUAUGAAUUUUUUUCACGUUUUUCUUGUUUGAAAAUAUGAUUUUGUAGAGUAUAUACUGUUUAUAGUGAUAAGAACAGAAUGAUAAUAAUAAAAUUUAACAAAUUAUUUUCAAUCCAUCUCGCAAAUUUUAAAUUUUAAAAUAAUUUUAACAAUAGUAUUUUAGAGAUUUAAGUUUAUUAAGUUUUAAGUUUUCUCGUCCAAUUGAUUAUAUGUAUGUUUUUUUAUUCAACUAUUUUGCUAUUCAGCUAUGAUAUACCAGAUAAACCCUAACUCUCUAAAUUUUGAUGUAUUGAAAUAAUCAAAAGUAAAAAGUCAUGUAUAUUAUGAAUAAAAAAAAAAGUUAAAUGUACACAUUAAUGAAUGAUAAAUGUGAUAUCAUCUUAUUUUUUUGAGAAAAGUUUAUCCUGAUAUUAUCUUUCCAAAAGAGAGAGUAUGUAGUCUACUCUAUCACAUUAUGGUAAUUGAAAAUAUGGAAGGUAUCUAACAAGUACUAGUCAAAAUUUAAACAUUUUUUAUAAUUGAACUUACCUCUAAACAUACAAAUUCAAAGUGUAUAUAACUGCUUAAAAACCAACAGUAUUUUCCUCACUACAGGCAUCAGUCACAUUUUCAAGAUAUUCGAGGUAUAAUAUUCUCUAUUUAGGCCCUUUUUUGUAAAAAAAAAAAACAGUCUCAGUCUUUCAUUCAUUUAGCAUAUUCAUUUGAUUUUGGUUUUGUGAUCUUUGAGUCAAGUAUCAAUACUUUGAUCUUUUUUUCUGUAUAUUAUAUUAAAGCUGUAGAAUUGUUUUUCCCUAAAAGCUAGUAGGAGUUUUAGAAAAAAAAUUUCAAUAUCUCACAGUUUAACCACAAACAUAUAUAUAUGUAGUCUAUAACUAAAUUUGAAGUCUUAAUAUAUAUAAAGAUUCAAGAGUUAUUUCUUCUCAUUUCAUCCAUCUGUGUCUUUUAGGGUUAAAAGAGAUAAUAUAAAGAAGAAGAAUGGUUUCCAAUCCUUGCUCUGCAUGCAAAGUCCUCAAAUCCGUGUGUACAGGUGAAUGCGUUUUUGCGCCAUAUUUUCCAUCGACGGAGCCUGAAAAAUUUGACCGUGUGCAUAGAAUUUUUGGAGCCGAAAAUGUUUACAAAAUACUGAGCAAUGAGACUUUCUCACCUUUACAACGUGAAUAUGCUGUUAAGGCUCUCAGCUAUGAAGCUGAAGCCCGCAUACAGGAUCCCGUAACCGGUUGUGUUGGUAUGUCUUUGGCUUACGAAAAAAUUCUCAACAAUUUAAAAGAGCAAAUCGUCUCAGCAAAGAAUGAGAUCGUGGCCACCAUGGGAUCUGAUUAAGUACCGGAAUAUAAUGAUAUUCCUAUGCCUGAUGAUUUCCUCAUGACACAAAACCAACAGAUGGGUGAUAAUCAUCGAGCUGAUGAGGCAUCAACAUCUGCAACGCCACCGGCAUCUUCAGGAGGCACCAAUGAUACUCAACAGACACCUUAAUUGCGUUAAAACCAGAACAAACCAUGGAAAGUCCUAACUGACUUCUACAUUCUUUUCUCAACAAGAAAGCCCCUUUUAAACUCUAGUUGUCAUUAUAUCUCUGAUCGCUUUUGGGUAAGGAGGAGAAUGAUCAAGCAAUAUUUAGAAUCUAAAAUUUGGGGAUGAUUAUUUGGUUCCUGAAAAUAAUGUUGUAACUUGUAUGAAUAGUAAAAAAAACAAGAUUUCAUCUUGAGUUGGGACUUGGGUCAAAAAAAAUUGUUGUCGAGGAAUGGUGAUGUUGUAACUCAUGCCAACAUCACUUUGGCGCAAGUUGAACAUGGCUAUAAACCUAUAAUCCAAUAUUGAUAUUGAGAUGAGUCCGAUUUUUUUUUUGUGAUUUUAGUUUUUAUGUUGGCUCGAAAAAAAUGAAUAUUAGUUGGUGAUGAUUCAGCACAGGUCUCUAGAGUUUUAGCUGGUGAUUAUCAGAUCUCAGAAGGGAACCCGCGCUACGCUGCGGGAUUAUAGACUAUCAACUUUGAAUUUCUUAUAUUAUUUUAUAAUUUUUUUGAUAUAUCUUAAUGAGCUUAUUCAUCCAUUGUUUUUUUGAGUUUUUUUUAUCCAAAUCAUGAUUUAGUGUUAAUUUAUUAACUUUUUCAAAUUAUGAAUUUUAGGUUUUUUCACACAUACACAUACACACACACAUAUAUAUAUAUAUAUAUUUAUCACUAAUUCCAUUUUUGUUUUACUUAUAUCUUUAAAAUUUUGUAUAUUUAUUUGUUGUUGUAUUAUUAUUUUUUCCUCUUUGUCAUUUUUUCUAUAUUUUUAUAAUUUUUUAUUUUUUCAAUUGUUUAUUGAACGUUGCUUUUGGUACUGUAGUUUUUUCGUAUUUUUAUUCUUUAGAUAUUUAAAACUUGCUUAGCUUAUUAUUUUUAAUUUUAACUCAUAUUUUUUUUUUCUUCUUUUGCACUGAGAUUAAAUUAUCUUUAUUAAUUCAAAAAUAAAGAUUAAAAUCACACUUAUAAUCUGUAUUAUUUUUUAUUCAUAUAUUGAUGAUUUUUUAAUUUAAAUUUAAAUUUGAUUAAACUUAUGCUUAUGAUGUUUUAAAUUAGAUUUAAAUUUGAUUUAAAUUAUGCUUGUGAUUUAAUGUUUGUAACACAGUUGAAUUUAAAUUAAAUAGUUUAUAUAAGACUUAAUAGUUGGGACAGAUUUUAAGUUACGCUUCUAAUAUUUUAGUUCAACUUUUGAUUUCUCUUGUGAUUUAUUUUAUAUUUUUUUUUUCUUGAUGAUUGUAGCUGUUAGUUUUUUCAAUCCAUUGUUUUUUACAUUUUUACACUGAAAUCUCCAUCUAGUGAUUAUAUAUGUUUUUUUCAAUUUACUAUUUUCAUGUUUUGUUUUCACAUUUUUUCAAUUGGUUCUAUCUGUGUUCCUUAUGCUUCUAUAAAUUUUAUAUUUAGUUGUUACCAUAUUCUUUUUCUCAUUUUUUCAAAGAAUCAGAUCCUAAAUGCCCCUGAAGUUGACAAAUUAAAACAAAUCAAAACAAAUAAUAUGAAUUUAAACAACUAAUAUGAGGUUAAAUGAAUAAUAUGAAGUUAUGUUCAAAUAAUAUAAAACAAAUAAAAACUUAAUUAAACUACGAGGUUGAACAAUAUGAAUUUUUUCACGUUUUUUUCUUGUUUGAAAAUAUGAUUUUGUAGAGUAUAUACUGUUUAUAGUGAUAAGAACAGAAUGAUAAUAAUAAAAUUUAACAAAUUAUUUUCAAUCCAUCUCGCAAAUUUUAAAUUUUAAAAUAAUUUUAACAAUAGUAUUUUAGAGAUUUAAGUUUAUUAAGUUUUAAGUUUUCAUGUCCAAUUGAUUAUAUGUAUGUUUUUUUAUUCAACUAUUUUGCUAUUCAGCUAUGAUAUACCAGAUAAACCCUAACUCUCUAAAUUUUGAUGUAUUGAAAUAAUCAAAAAUAAAAAGUCAUGUAUAUUAUGAAUAAAAAAAAAGUUAAAUGUACACAUUAAUGAAUGAUAAAUGUGAUAUCAUCUUAUUUUUUUGAGAAAAGUUUAAUGUGAUAUUAUCUUUCCAAAAGAGAGAGUAUGUAGUCUACUCUAUCACAUUAUGGUAAUUGAAAAUAUGGAAGGUAUCUAACAAGUACUAGUCAAAAUUUAAACAUUUAUUAUAAUUGAACUUGCCUCUAAACAUACAAAUUCAAAGUGUAUAUAACUGCUUAAAAACCAAGACUAUUUUCCUCAUUACAGGCAUCAGUCACAUUUUCAAGAUAUUCGAGGUAUAAUAGUCUCGAUUUAGGCCCUUUAAAAAAAAAAAAAAAACAGUCUCAGUCUUUCUUUCAAUUCAUUUAGCAUAUUCUUUUUUUUUUUUUUUGUCAACAGCCUCAUUACCUAGUACGGUUGGGUUAACCAAACUGGUGGUAUUGAGUUUACAUACAUAACAUUUUGAGGGUAGAUUCGAGCACUCCUUGCUAGGUUAUCCGCCUUCGAAUUCUUUGCGAGUGGGAUAUGGGAUAUACAAAAGAAACUGAACCUCUCUUUCAUCUUCAUUAUCUCCUCCAAGUGUAGAGCAAAAGCCGGCCAGUCUUCGGGUGUAGACACCAUCUUCACCAACUCUGAACAGUCCGUAGCAAAAGCGACUUCCAUCUUCUGAUUCUCCAACAUACAGUGCAUAGCCCAUAUAAGGGCUUCCAUUUCUGCGUGUAGAGGCGUAAGACUUCGUCUUACAUUUUGUGCUCCCAUUAUUUUCUCUGGAACACCUUCCUUAAAAUAAAACCAUCCUAGACCCGUUACUGGCUCCGUAACUUUCCACGAUCCAUCAAUAUAGCACCACCAGCCUUCAUAGACUAUAGGUAUAGACAGGCUUGUAGUAUGACCAAGAUCUACAUGUGUUACUUCCUGUUCCGGAUUUUGAGCCUCUUGCCAUAAAUUCGCUUCUGUUUCCACUAUUUUUAGCGUAACUCGUGGAUCAAUAUCGUUAUUUGAGUACACUUUCUCGUUUCGAGCUUUCCAAAUAUACCAUGCGAUCCAUGGAAAUUGUAUGUUUUUCUCCUCCUUUGGAAGUCUCCAAAACAGAUGAUCAAAAUUCGAAAAAACUGAUGGCCCUGGAAAAACCCCUGGGGGUGUUGGAAUUCGUGAUAAUGCCCACGUUUGUAACGCAGGAGGGCAUUCAAACAGAACAUGAUUAAUUGUCUCUUCUGCUGCUCCACACCGUGCACAUUGUGUGUCACAUUGUAUUCCCCGAGUACGUAACCUAGCCGACACUGAUAGGCAACCAGAGAUUGCUUGCCAUAUGAAAUGUUGUAGUUUCGGCGCACACUUCAAUUUCCAAGUAUAUGCUUGUAGAACUUUGAUAUCUGGACCAAAUGAGGCCUCUGAGAUCCUCUCUGAGAAAUAUCGCUCAGUUUUGUAUCCCGACUUUACCGUAUACCAUCCAGAUUUUGUGAAAUGCCAGCCCAAUGAGUCUGGCCUAAAAGAUCUACUAAUGGAAAUUCCACGAAUAAUUUCCACAUCCUCGGGGUUGAUAAUGGCCUUUAUCAGUCCCAGAUUCCAUGCAUUUGUCACUGGGUCAAUCAGAUGAUUAACCAUAAGAUUCGGGUAAUAAUUAAACCCCUUACAAGUGGCUGAUCUUGGGCGAGAAGAAGGUAUCCAAGGAUCAUUCCAUACAGAGAUUGAGCAUCCUGAACCAACUCUUUUGAUUAGCCCUUUUUUAACCAAAGAUCUAGCCGAGAUUAUGCUUCGCCAUCCAUACGACGGCGAGUAGGAUUUCGCUGUGUCCAAAGGACUUGAGUUCCGAAAAUAUCGUCCUUUGAAUACCUGUGUAAACAUGGAGGUUGGCCUGUCAAUCAUCCUCCAUAAUUGUUUUGCCAGUAAAGCCAUAUUAAAAUCCUCUACAUUUCUGAAACCGAUACCUCCUUCUGAUUUGUCUCUGCACAUUUUUCCCCACGCUACCCAGUGCAUACCUUGAUGAUGUCCAUCAGAGCUCCACCAAUAUCUUGCUGCUGCACUAUCUAGUUUUGCCGCAGUAGAUUUAGGUAAUCGAAAGCAUGACAUGACGAAGGUGGGCAUUGCGGAUGCCACUGAUUUAAUCAGAACCUCUUUACCGCCUUUCGACAAUAAUCGUGAUGUCCAGCUAUUGAUCCGAUCAUGUUGUUUCUCAGCUACAAAAUUAAAGAUUUUUGUUUUGGCUCCACCUAGGCUUUCGGGGAUACCUAAAUAGGAACCCGUCCCUCCAUCACAAGAAAUUCCUAAAAUAUGUUUCAUAUCAUUUCUAAUGUCUUCCGAAACCAAAUGCCCAAAUUGAACUGAAGAUUUAUCAAAAUUAAUUUGUUGUCCCGAAACCCUUUCAUACUGUUUCAGAAUAUCCAUAAUCUUCUGACAUUCAUCUCUAUUUGCUUUACAAAAAAAUAAGCUGUCAUCCGCAAAAAGUAGAUGUGAGAUCGAUGGACUUGCUCGUGCAAUUUUUAGACCGGUCAAUAAUUUUUCCUCUUCAGCUUUCUUAAUAUUGGAAAUUAGAACCUCCGUACAUAGUAUAAACAAAUAUGGAGAUAGGGGAUCCCCUUGACGGAGUCCCCUCCCUGGGAUUAUUUGUCCCUUUGGUUGUCCGUUUAAUAGAACUUUGUAUUUUACUGAGGUAACACAUCGCAUUAUCCAUGUUAUCCAUUUCUCCGCAAAACCAAGUCGUUUCAAAAGAUCUUCAAUAAAAGCCCAUUCCACGCGAUCAUAGGCUUUGCUCAUAUCCGUCUUUAUCGCCAUAUAUUUAUUUUUGCAUGACUUAUUAGUUCAGAGGCCAUGAAACAUCUCUUGUGCUAUUAGGAUAUUAUCUGAAAUCAACCGGCCUGCCACAAAAGCUGAUUGUGUUUCCGAGAUCAGAUCCGGUAAUAACCUUUUAAGUCUUUGACAGAGUACUUUAGAUAUAAUUUUGUAACCUACAUUACACAGGCUAAUAGGCCGUAGUUCAGUCAUUCACGUUGGCCUUUCUGUUUUUGGAAUUAAACAGAUAUUUGUCAUAUUUAGACGUUCAUCAAAAACCCCUGUCUCCAAGAAACCGUUAACUAAACGUACAAGAUCCGCCUUGAUGAUAUGCCAUGAGCGUUGGUAGAAAAGUGCUGUCAUUCCGUCGGGUCCCGGAGCUUUUUCCGGAUGCAUCAUGAAAAGUGCUUUUUUAAUUUCCUCUUCGGAUGCCAUAGCCGUGAGCAUUGCAUUACUUAUCUCCGAUAUUGAUGGUUUAAUAUUUCCCAAUGCCUCAUCAAAUUCCGUAGGCGAAGUCGAGGUGAAUAACUCAUCAAAAUAUUUAACAGCCACCUGCUCAACCUCUUUUUCUGAAGUAACCCAUGUUCCUGCCGCAUUAUUCAAACCAGUAAUUCGAUUCCGUGCUCUUCUUUGUUUAACCAAUGCAUGAUAAAAUUUGGUAUUUUUAUCUCCUGCCUUCGCCCAAUGAGAGCGGCUUUUUUGUUGCCAAUAUAAUUCUUCAUCUCUAUAAGCUUCCUUCAACUUUUUUGUGACCGCCAUCACUUCCUCCUCUGUCCUUGUAUCAUCAUUCUGGAUGUCUUCUAUUAUCUUUUUUAAUUCGUUAAUUCUUUCCUGCCCAUAUGGCUUAAAGGUCUUUCUCCACUUAGAUAUUUCUCUUCUGCAAUUUCGUACUUUGUCCAUGAACUUUACUUCCCCAUCACCCGGAUCGAGGUCCCAACCUUUGGAGAUAGAUUCCAUUAAACCCUCUUUUCCUAUCCACCUCUUAUCAAAACGGAAUUGGGUUUUUUUCCGUGUCAUUUUAUCCUCAAUUGUAGCCACUAUUGGCCUGUGAUCAGAUCCAAUCAUUGCGAGAUACUCAACAAAGGAGUGUGAGAAAACCUCAUGCCAAUCUUCAUUCGCUAGUGCCCGAUCUAAACGACAUCUAACGACUUUUGAAUUUCGUCGUCCCCUCCAUGACAUCUUAUUUCCUAAACAUGGGAAUUCUAAAAAACCACAGUCCCUUAUCAUUAAAUUAAAGGACACAAAGGUAGAAGCAUGUCUUAACGGGCCUCCUUGUUUUUCAUUAUUACCCGUUAUCUCGUUUAGAUCUCCAAUAAUGAACCAUGGAUCCGACCGUGUAAGACUCAUACGUGUUAAUCUUUCCCAGACUCUAUCCCGAUUUUUUGCCACUGGAUCCCCAUAAAUAAACGAGAGGUACAUUUUUUUCCGAGAAUAGUCGCUUCAAUAUCUAUAAUCCGAUUAUUUGAAAAUAAAAUUGUGACAUCAAAAGAAUCAUUAUAAAAAAGGGCAAGUCCACCACUUGCACCGCACGGCUCAACCGUGUACUGAAAUUUUUGGUUUCUGAGAGAAACAUAAACUCUGGUCUGUGUUUCUUCCAAACCUCCCGAAGAUAGCUUAUUGUCCAGCGACUCCUGAUUCCUUGGCAGUUCCAGCUGAGAAUUCUCAUUUAUUAAUGCUUGUUUCCAAUUUCCGCCCCUCUCUCGGGUUUGAUGAACCCUUUGGAGCACCUUGAGAGCUACCGUCUCCGUUACGGUUUAUGACCUUUGCCACUUGUUUCUUACGUGGGGAAAUUAGUGCUUGCAACAUUCUCUUCUUUGAGCCACCGCCUAAAAAUUUUGAAUUUGUCUUCGUGGCUUUCUUCUUUGUACCCUGUUUGGAACCUUUGUCAAAACCCUCAUUCUCCUCCGCCAUUUGGAUAUCGCCUUCAUUGAUGUACCCUUGUUCUGAUCCAUUUUGUACCAUCGGUAUAGCCCCAUUUUCAUUUCCCACAAACUCUCCCUCUUCCUGAUCCAUGCCUCCAAACUCAACAUCCAAAUUUAGUUGGAGCUCCCCUGUUUCCAAACCGCUGUUAACCUGUUGUAAAAACUCUUGUAUAGCAUCGUGAUUCUCUGGUUUUCCUUCUGGUUCUUUGUUUACUGUUUCUAAAACCCGUGCCUCCCCUUCCGUUCUUAACAGUGCGUCCACAUCUCCAGUGGUCUCUUCCUCCGUGGUGUCAAAAUCAAGAAAGUCAUCACCCUCAAAAUCCAGACUCUUCCUUGCUGAUUUUUCGCAAAGAGGCUCCACCGAAACCAAAUGUUCCUCUUGUUUAUCUUCCUGCACCGGACGUUCCUCACUUGGUUUUUCUUUUGACACCUGACCGUUGCUCCCCAACGACCUGUUACCGUGUGAUUCAAAGACCAAACUCUUUGACCUUAAUGACCUCUUCUGAAAAUCCUUUGGAGGAAUGUAACCAUGUGUUCGAAAGAUCCUCGACGAGCCCUCACCAGACCUCCUUUCCGUUUUUUCUUUGUGUUGUCUUCCCUCCUCCACCACCGUAUGUGACUUGCCAUUCCGUUUAAAGUUUCCACCGAGCUCCUUGUUGACACCGUAUGUGACUUGCCAUUCCAUUUAGCAUACUCAUUUGAUUUUGGUUUUGUGAUCUUUGAGUCAAGUAUCAAUACUUUGAUCUUUUUUUCUGUAUAUUAUAUUAAAGCCGUAGAAUUUUUUUUCCCUAAAAGCUAGUAGGAGUUUUAGAUAAAAAAUUUCAAUAUCUCACAGUUUAACCACAAACAUAUAUAUGUAGUCAAUAACUAAAUUUGAAGUCUUAUUAUAUAUAGAGAUUCAAGAGUUAUUUCUUCUCAAUUCAUCCAUCUGUGUCUUUUAGGGUUAAAAGAGAUAAUACAAAGAAGAAGAAUGGCUUCCAAUCCUUGCUCUGCAUGCAAAGUCCUCAAAUCCGUGUGUACAGGUGAAUGCGUUUUUGCGCCAUAUCUUCCAUCGACGGAGCCUGAAAAAUUUGACCGUGUGCAUAGAAUUUUUGGAGCCAAAAAUGUUUACAAAAUACUGAGCAAUGAGACUUUUUCACCUUUAAAACGUGAAUAUGCUGUUAAGGCUCUCAGCUAUGAAGCUGAAGCCCGCAUACAGGAUCCCGUAACCGGUUGUGUUGGUAUGUCUUUGGCUUACGAAAAAAUUCUCAACAAUUUAAAAGAGCAAAUCGUCUCAGCAAAGAAUGAGAUCGUGGCCACCAUGGGAUCCGAUAAAGUACGGGAAUAUAAUGAUAUUCCUAUGCCUGAUGAUUUCCUCAUGACACAAAACCAACAGAUGGGUGAUAAUCAUGGAGCUGAUGAGGCAUCAACAUCUGCAACGCCACCGGCAUCUUCAGGAGGCACCAAUGAUACUCAACAGACACCUUAAUUGCGUUAAAACCAGAACAAACCAUAAUGAAAUGCCUGUUGUGUUUAUUUGAUAUUUGUAUGCACCUCAAAUUCCCGUGAUAAUUUGUUGUCCUCCUUUCUUUAUUUUUAUUUCAUCAUAAAUUCAUGUAGUUUUAUUAUAUUAAAAAUAAUUCAUGUUGUUUGAUCUAAAUCGAUUUUCAAAUUUGUUUUUUGUUUUUUUGGUUUACUAGAGAAAAACUUAAAUACAUUUAAAGAUUGAAAAAAAUUUGAAUCUAGAUCUUUUGGAUGAUUAUAUAAUUUAAUAACAUAAAAAAUUACAUGAAAAAGAAUUUACAUGUGUAAUAUAUGUUAAAUAUAUGAGUAAAUGAAAUAUGGGUAUAAUGGUAGGAUUUGUAUAAAUACUUAUUCUGCAUGUAAUGAUAUGCGAUUGAAAAUGUCGGUGGUCUAUAUAAAGGUCAUCGAGGAGAGAUGUCAAUGAAUACUAGUUUGUCUUAUUAGUUUGCCUUCCAAAGACUUCGAUCUCUUAUGUCGUUGUGGGUGUUCCCAAUUAAAAAAAAACUAGUUAGAUAUACAUAGAAAUAAAGUUAAUAAACAAAUCAUUCAGUAAAAUUAUAUUCAUGGAAAGUCCUAACUGACUUCUACAUUCUAUUCUCAACAAGAAAGCCCCUUUUAAACUCUAGUUGUCAUUAUAUCUCUGAUCGCUUUUGGGUAAGGAGGAGAAUGAUCAAGCAAUAUUUAGAAUCUAAAAUUUGGGGAUAAUUAUUUGGUUCCUGAAAAUAAUGUUGUAACUUGUAUGAAUAGUAAAAAAAAAACAAGAUUUCAUCUUGAGUUGGGACUUGGGUCAAAAAAAUUGUUGUCGAGGAAUGGUGAUGUUGUAACUCAUGCCAACAUCACUUUGGCGCAAGUUGAACAUGGCUAUAAACCUAUAACCCAAUAUUGAUAUUGAGAUGAGUCCGAUUUUUUUUUUGUGAAAUGGUAGUUUAGUUUUUAUGUUGGCUCGAAUAAAAUGAAUAUUAGUUGGUGAUGAUUCAGCACAGGUCUCUAGAGUUUUAGCUGGUGAUUAUCAGAUCUCAGAAGGGAACCCACACUACGCUGCGGGAUUAUAGACUAUCAACUUUGAAUUUCUUAUAUUAUUUUAUAAUUUUUUUGAUAUAUCUUAAUGAGCUUAUUCAUCCAUUGUUUUUUCGAGUUUUUUUUAUCCAAAUCAUGAUUUAGUGUUUAUUAACUUUCUCAUAUUAUGAAUUUUAGGUUUUUUCACACAUACACAUAUAUAUAUAUAUAUAUAUAUAUAUAUAUUUAUCACUAAUUCCAUUUUUGUUUUACUUAUAUCUUUAAAAUUUUGUAUAUUUAUUUGUUGUUGUAUUAUUAUUUUUUCCUCUUUGUCAUUUUUUCUAUAUUUUUAUAAUUUUUUAUUUUUUCAAUUGUUUAUUGAACGUUGCUUUUGGUACUGUAGUUUCUUUCUUAUUUUUUAUUCUUUAGAUAUUUAAAACUUGCUUAGCUUAUUAUUUUUAAUUUUGACUCAUAUUUUUUCUUUUUCUUUUGCACUGAAAUUAAAUUAUCUUUAUUAAUUCAAAAAUAAAGAUUAAAAUCACACUUAUAAUCUGUAUUAAUUUUUAUUCAUAUAUUGAUGAUUUUUUAAUUUAAAUUUGAUUAAACUUAUGCUUAUGAUGUUUUAAAUUAGAUUUAAAUUUGAUUUAAAUUAUGCUUGUGAUUUAAUGUUUGUAACACAGCUGAAUUUAAAUUAAAUAGUUUAUAUAAGAAUUACUAGUUGGGACAGAUUUUAAGUUACGCUUCUAAUAUUUUAGUUCAACUUUUGAUUUCUCUUGUGAUUUUUUUUUUCUUGAUGAUUGUAGCUGAUAGUUUUUUCAAUCCAUUGUUUUUUACAUUUUUACAUUGAAAUCUCCAUCUAGUGAUUAUAUAUGUUUUUUUCAAUUUACUAUUUUCAUGUUUUGUUUUCACAUUUUUUCAAUUGGUUCUAUCUGUGUUCCUUAUGCUUCUAUAAAUUUUAUAUUUAUUUGUUACCAUAUUCUUUUUCUCAUUUUUUCAAAGAAUCAGAUCCUAAAUGCCCCUGAAGUUGACAAAUUAAAACAAAUCAAAACAAAUAAUAUGAAUUUAAACAACUAAUAUGAGGUUAAACGAAUAAUAUGAAGUUAUGUUCAAAUAAUAUAAAACAAAUAAAAACUUAAUUAAACUACGAGGUUGAACAAUAUGAAUUUUUUUCAUGUUUUUCUUGUUUGAAAAUAUGAUUUUGUAGAGUAUAUACUGUUUAUAGUGAUAAGAACAGAAUGAUAAUAAUAAAAUCUAACAAAUUAUUUUCAAUCCAUCUCGCAAAUUUUAAAUUUUAAAAUAAUUUUAACAAUAGUAUUUUAGAGAUUUAAGUUUAUUCAGUUUUAAGUUUUCUCGUCCAAUUGAUUAUAUGUAUGUUUUUUUAUUCAACUAUUUUGUUAUUCAGCUAUGAUAUACCAGAUAAACCCUAACUCUCUAAAUUUUGAUGUAUUGAAAUAAUCAAAAAUAAAUAGUCAUGUAUAUUAUGAAUAAAAAAAAGAGUUAAAUGUACACAUUAAUGAAUGAUAAAUGUGAUAUUAUCUUUUAUUUUUUUGAGAAAGUUUAAUGUGAUAUUAUCUUUCCAAAAGAGAGAGUAUGUACUCUAUCACAUUAUGGUAAUUGAAAAUAUGGAAGGUAUCUAACAAGUACUAGUCAAAAUUUAAACAUUUAUUAUAAUUGAACUUGCCUCUAACCAUACAAAUUCAAAGUGUAUAUAACUGCUUAAAAACCAAGACUAUUUUCCUCACUACAGGCAUCAGUCACAUUUUCAAGAUAUUCGAGGUAUAAUAGUCUCGAUCUAGGCCCUUUUUUUUUAAAAAAAAAAAGUCUUUCUUUCAAUUCAUUUAGCAUAUUCAUUUGAUUUUGGUUUUGUUAUCUUUGAGUCAAGUAUCAAUACUUUGACCUUUUUUUCUGUAUAUUAUAUUAAAGCCGUAUAAUUUUUUUUUCCCUAAAAGAUAGUAGGAGUUUUAGAAAAAAAAUUUCAAUAUCUCACAGUUUAACCACAAACAUAUAUAUGUAGUCUAUAACUAAAUUUGAAGUCUUAUUAUAUAUAGAGAUUCAAGAGUUAUUUCUUCUCAUUUCAUCCAUCUGUGUCUUUUAGGGUUAAAAGAGAUAAUACAAAGAAGAAGAAUGGCUUCCAAUCCUUGCUCUGCAUGCAAAGUCCUCAAAUCCGUGUGUACAGGUGAAUGCGUUUUUGCGCCAUAUUUUCCAUCGACGGAGCCUGAAAAAUUUGACCGUGUGCAUAGAAUUUUUGGAGCCGAAAAUGUUUACAAAAUACUGAGCAAUGAGGCUUUCUCACCUUUACAACGUGAAUAUGCUGUUAAGGCUCUCAGCUAUGAAGCUGAAGCCCGCAUACAGGAUCCCGUAACCGGUUGUGUUGGUAUGUCUUUGGCUUACGAAAAAAUUCUCAACAAUUUAAAAGAGCAAAUCGUCUCAGCAAAGAAUGAGAUCGUGGCCACCAUGGGAUCCGAUAAAGUACCGGAAUAUAAUGAUAUUCCUAUGCCUGAUGAUUUCCUCAUGACACAGAACCAACAGAUGGGUGAUAAUCAUCGAGCUGAUGAGGCAUCAACAUCUGCAACGCCACCGGCAUCUUCAGGAGGCACCAAUGAUACUCAACAGACACCUUAAUUGCGUUAAAACCAGAACAAACCAUAAUGAAAUGCCUGUUGUGUUUAUUUGAUAUUUGCAUGCACCUCAAUUCUCGUGAUAAUUUGUUGUCCUCCUUUCUUUAUUUUUAUUUCAUCAUAAAUUCAUGUAGUUUUAUUAUAUUAAAAAUAAUUCAUGUUGUUUGAUCUAAAUCGAUUUUCAAAUUUGUUUUUUGUUUUUUUUUGUUUACUAGAGAAAAACUUAAAUACAUUUAAAGAUUGAAACAAAUUUGAAUCUAGAUCUUUUGGAUGAUCAUAUAAUUUAAUAACAUAAAAAAUUACAUGAAAAAGAAUUUACAUGCGUAAUAUAUGUUAAAUAUAUGAGUAAAUGAAAUAUGGGUAUAAUGGUAGGAUUUGUAUAAAUACUUAUUCUGCAUGUAAUGAUAUGCGAUUGAAAAUGUCGGUGGUCUAUAUAAAGGUCAUGGAGGAGAGAUGUCACUGAAUACUAGUUUGUCUUAUUAGUUUGCCUUCCAAAGACUUCGGUCUCUUAUGUCGUUGUGGGUGUUCCCAAUUAAAAAAAAAACUAGUUAGAUAUACAUAAAAAUAAAGUUAAUAAACAAAUCAUUCAGUAAAAUUAUAUUCAUGGAAAGUCCUAACUGACUUCUACAUUCUAUUCUCAACAAGAAAGCCCCUUUUAAACUCUAGUUGUCAUUAUAUCUCUGAUCGCUUUUGGGUAAGGAGGAGAAUGAUCAAGCAAUAUUUAGAAUCUAAAAUUUGGGGAUAAUUAUUUGGUUCCUGAAAAUAAUGUUGUAACUUGUAUGAAUAGUAAAAAAAAACAAGAUUUCAUCUUGAGUUGGGACUUGGGUCAAAAAAAUUGUUGUCGAGGAAUGGUGAUGUUGUAACUCAUGCCAACAUCACUUUGGCGCAAGUUGAACAUGGCUAUAAACCUAUAACCCAAUAUUGAUAUUGAGAUGAGUCCGACUUUUUUUUGUGAAAUGGUAGUUUAGUUUUUAUGUUGGCUCGAAAAGAAUGAAUAUUAGUUGGUGAUGAUUCAGCACAGGUCUCUAGAGUUUUAGCUGGUGAUUAUCAGAUCUCAGAAGGGAACCCGCACUGCGCUGCAGGAUUAUAGACUAUCAACUUUAAAUUUCUUAUAUUAUUUUAUAUUUUUUUUGAUAUAUCUUAAUGAGCUUAUUCAUCCAUUGUUUUUUCGAGUUUUUUUUAUCCAAAUCAUGAUUUAGUGUUAAUUUAUUAACUUUCUCAAAUUAUGAAUUUUAGGUUUUUUCACACAUACACAUAUAUAUAUAUAUAUUUAUCACUAAUUCCAUUUUUGUUUUACUUAUAUCUUUAAAAUUUUGUAUAUUUAUUUGUUGUUGUAUUAUGAUUUUUUCCUCUUUGUCAUUUUUUCUAUAUUUUUAUAUUUUUUUAUUUUUUCAAUUGUUUAUUGAACGUUGCUUUUGGUACUGUAGUUUCUUUCUUAUUUUUUAUUCUUUAGAUAUUUAAAACUUGCUUAGCUUAUUAUUUUUAAUUUUGACUCAUAUUUUUUCUUCUUCUUUUGCACUGAGAUUAAAUUAUCUUUAUUAAUUCAAAAAUAAAGAUUAAAAUCUCACUUAUAAUCUGUAUUAAUUUUUAUUCAUAUAUUGAUGAUUUUUUAAUUUAAAUUUAAAUUUGAUUAAACUUAUGCUUAUGAUGUUUGAAAUUAGAUUUAAAUUUGAUUUAAAUUAUGCUUGUGAUUUAAUGUUUGUAACACCGAUGAAUUUAAAUUAAAUAGUUGGGACAGAUUUUAAGUUACGCUUCUAAUAUUUUAGUUCAACUUUUGAUUUCUCUUGUGAUUUUUCUUUUUUCUUGAUGAUUGUAGCUGAUAAUUUUUUCAAUCCAUUGUUUUUUUACUUUUUUACAUUGAAAUCUCCAUCUAGUGAUUAUAUAUGCUUUUUUCAAUUUACUAUUUUCAUGUUUUGUUUUCAAAUGUUUUCAAUUGGUUCUAUCUAUGUUCCUUAUGCCUCUAUAAAUUUUAUAUUUAUUUGUUACCACAUUCUUUUCCACAUUUUUUCAAAGAAUCAGAUCCUAAAUGCCCAGAAGUUGACAAAUUAAAACAAAUCAAAACAAAUAAUAUGAAUUUAAACAACUAAUAUGAGGUUAAAAAAAUAAUAUGAAGUUAUGUUCAAAUAAUAUAAAACAAAUAAAAACUUAAUUAAACUACAAGGUUGAACAAUAUGAUUUUUUUUCACGUUUUUCUUGUUAUAAAAUAUGAUUUUGUAGAUUAUAUACUGUUUAUCGUGAUAAGAACAGAAUGAUAAUAAUAAAAUUUAACAAAUUAUAUUCAAUCCAUCUCGCAAAUUUUAAAUUUUAAAAUAAUUGUAACAAUAGUAUUUUAGAUUUUUAAGUUUAUUAAGUUUUAAGUUUUCUCGUCCAAUUGAUUAUAUGUUUGUUUUUUUAUUCAACUAUUUUGCUAUUCAGCUAUGAUAUACCAGAUAAAACCUAAUUCUCAAAAUUUUGAGGUAUUGAAAUAAUCAAAAAUAAAAAGUCAUAUAUAUUAAUGAAUCAAAAAAAGUUAAAUGCACACAUUAAUGAUUGAUAAAUGUGAUAUUAUCUUUUAUUUUUUGAGAAAAGGUUAAUGUGAUAUUAUCUUUCCAAAAGAGAGAGUAUCUAGUCUACUCUAUCACGUUAUGGUAAUUGAAAAUAUGGAAGGUAUCUAACAAGUACGAGUCAAAAUUUAAACAUUUAUUAUAAUUGAACUUGCCUCUAAACAUACAAAUUCAAAGUGUAUAUAAAUGCUUAAAAACCAAGACUAUUUUCCUCAUUACAGGCAUCAGUCACAUUUUCAAGAUAUUCGAGGUAUAAUAGUCUCGAUCUAGGCCCUUUUAAAAAAAAAAAAAACAGUCUCAGUCUUUCUUUCAAUUCAUUUAGCAUAUUCAUUUGAUUUUGGUUUUGUUAUCUUUGAGUCAAGUAUCAAUACUUUGAUCUUUUUUUCUGUAUAUUAUAUUAAAGCCGUAAAAUUUUUUUUCCCUAAAAGCUAGUAGGAGUUUUAGAAAACAAAUUUCAAUAUCUCACAGUUUAACCACAAACAUAUAUAUGUAGUCUAUAACUAAAUUUGAAGUCUUAUUAUAUAAAGAUUCAAGAGUUAUUUCUUCUCAUUUCAUCCAUCUGUGUCUUUUAGGGUUAAAAGAGAUAAUACAAAGAAGAAGAAUGGCUUCCAAUCCUUGCUCUGCAUGCAAAGUCCUCAAAUCCGUGUGUACAGGUGAAUGCGUUUUUGCGCCAUCUUUUCCAUCGACGGAGCCUGAAAAAUUUGACCGUGUGCAUAGAAUUUUUGGAGCCGAAAAUGUUUACAAAAUACUGAGCAAUGAGACUUUCUCACCUUUACAACGUGAAUAUGCUGUUAAGGCUCUCAGCUAUGAAGCUGAAGCCCGCAUACAGGAUCCGUAACCGGUUGUGUUGGUAUGUCUUUGGCUUACGAAAAAAUUCUCAACAAUUUAAAAGAGCAAAUCAUCUCAGCAAAGAAUGAGAUCGUGGCCACCAUGGGAUCCGAUAAAGUACCGGAAUAUAAUGAUAUUCCUAUGCCUGAUGAUUUCCUCAUGACACAAAACCAACAGAUGGGUGAUAAUCAUCGAGCUGAUGAGGCAUCAACAUCUGCAACGCCACCGGCAUCUUCAAGAGGCACCAAUGAUACUCAACAGACCCCUUAAUUGCAUUAAAACCAGAACAAACCAUAAUAAAAUGCCUGUUGUGUUUAUUUGAUAUUUGCAUGCACCUCAAUUCCCGUGAUAAUUUGUUGUCCUCCUUUCUUCAUUUUAAUUUCAUCAUAAAUUCAUGUAGUUUCAUUAUAUAAAAAAUAAUUCAUGUUGUUUGAUCUAAAUCGAUUUUCAAAUUUGUUUUUUGUUUUUUUGUUUACUAGAGAAAAACUUAAAUACAUUUAAAGAUACAUUUAAAGAUUGAAACAAAUUUGAAUCUAGAUCUUUUGGAUGAUCAUAUAAUUUAAUAACAUAAAAAUUACAUGAAAAAUAAUUUACAUGCGUAAUAUAUGUUAAAUAUAUGGUAACUGAAAUAUGGGUAUAAUGGUAGGAUUUGUAUAAAUACUUAUUCUGCAUGUAAUGAUAUGCGAUUGAAAAUGUCGGUGGUCUAUAUAAAAGUCAUGGAGGAGAUAUGUCAAUGAAUACUAGUUUGUCUUAUUAGUUUGCCUUCCAAAGACUUCGGUCUCUUAUGUCGUUGUGGGUGUUCCCAAUUAAAAAAAAAAACUAGUUAGAUAUACGUAAAAAUAAAGUUAAUAAACAAAUCAUUCAGUAAAAUUAUAUUCAUGGAAAGUCCUAACUGACUUCUACAUUCUAUUCUCAACAAGAAAGCCCCUUUUAAACUCUAGUUGUCAUUAUAUCUCUGAUCGCUUUUGGGUAAGGAGGAGAAUGGUCAAGCGAUAUUUAGAAUCUAAAAUUUGGGGAUAAUUAUUUGGUUCCUGAAAAUAAUGUUGUAACUUGUAUGAACAGUAAAAAAAAGAUUUCAUCUUGAGUUGGGACUUGGGUCAAAAAAUUGUUGUCGAGGAAUGGUAAUGUUGUAACUCAUGCCAACAUCACUUUGGCGCAAGUUGAACAUGGCUAUAAGCCUAUAACGCAAUAUUGAUACUGAGAUGAGUCCGAUUUUUUUUGUAAAAUGGUAGUUUAGUUUUUAUGUUGGCUCAAAAAAAUAAAUAUAGGUUGGUGAUGAUUCAGCACAGGUCUCUAGAGUUUUAGUGAUUAUCAGAUCCUAAAAGAGAAUCCGCGCUACGCUGCGGGAUUAUAGACUAUCAACUUUAAAUUUCUUAUAUUAUUUUAUAAUUUUUUUGAUAAUCUUAAUGAGCUUAUUCAUCCAUUGUUUUUCGAGGUUUUUUUAUCCAAAUCAUGAUUUAGUGUUAAUUUAUUAACUUUCUCAAAUUAUGAAUUUUAGGUUUUUUCACAUACACAUAUAUAUAUAUAUAUAUAUAUUUAUCACUAAUUCCAUUUUUGUUUUACUUAUAUCUUUAAUAUUUUGUAUAUUUAUUUUUUGUUGUAUUAUUAUUUUUUCUUCUUUGUCAUUUUUUCUAUAUUUUUAUAACUUUUUAUUUUUUCAAUUGUUUAUUGAAUGUUACUUUUGGUACUGUAGUUUUUUCUUAUUUUUUAUUCUUUAGAUAUUUAAAACUUGCUUAGCUUAUUAUUUUUAAUUUUGACUCAUAGUUUUUCUUCUUCUUUUGCACUGAGAUUAAAUUAUCUUUAUUAGUUCAAAAAUAAAGAUUAAAAUCACACUUAUAAUCUGUAUUAUUUUUUAUUCAUAUAUUUAUGAUUUUUUAAUUUAAAUUUAAAUUUGAUUUAACUUAUGCUUAUGAUGUUUUAAAUUAGAUUUAAAUUUGAUUUAAGUUAUGCUUAUGAUUUAAUGUUUGUAACACAGUUAAAAUUUAAAUUAAAUAGUUUAUAUAAGAAUAGUUGGGACAGAUUUUAAGUUAAGCUUCUAAUAUUUUAGUUCAACUUUUGAUUUCUCUUUUGAUUUAUUUUAUAUUUUUUUUUCCUUGAUGAUUGUAGCUGAUAAUUUUUUCAAUACAUUGUUUUUUUACUUUUUUACAUUGAAAUCUCCAUCUAGUGAUUAUAUAUGCUUUUUUCAAUUUACUAUUUUCAUGUUUUGUUUUCAAAUUUUUUCAAUUGGUUCUAUCUAUGUUCCUUAUGCCUCUAUAAAUUUUAUAUUUAUUUGUUACCAUAUUUUUUUUCUCAUUUUUUCAAAGAAUCAGAUCCUAAAUGCCCCAGAAGUUGACAAAUUAAAACAAAUCAAAACAAAUAAUAUGAAUUUAAACAACUAAUAUGAGGUUAAACAAAUAAUAUGAAGUUAUGUUCAAAUAAUAUAAAACAAAUAAAAACUUAAUUAAACUUCGAGGUUGAACAAUAUGAUUUUUUUCACGUUUUUCUUUUUAUAAAAUAUGAUUUUGUAGAGUAUAUACUGUUAAUAGUGAUAAGAACAGAAUGAUAAUAAUAAAAUUUAACAAAUUAUAUUCAAUCCAUCUCGCAAAUUUUAAAUUUUAAAAUAAUUUUAACAAUAGUAUUUUAGAUUUUUAAGUUUAUUAAGUUUUAAGUUUUCUCGUCCAAUUGAUUAUAUGUCUGUUUUUUUAUUCAACUAUUUUGCUAUUCAGCUAUGAUAUACCAGAUAAACCCUAACUCUCAAUUUUGAGGUAUUGAAAUAAUCAAAAAUAAAAAGUCAUGUAUAUUAAUGAAUCAAAAAAAAGUUAAAUGUACACAUUAAUGAUUGAUAAAUGUGAUAUUAUCUUCUUCUUUUUUUGAGAAAAGGUUAAUGUGAUAUUAUCUUUCCAAAAGAGAGAGUAUGUAGUCUACUCUAUCACGUUAUGGUAAUUGAAAAUAUGGAAGGUAUCUAACAAGUACUAGUCAAAAUUUAAACAAUUAUUAUAAUUGAACUUGCCUCUAAACAUACAUAUUCAAAGUGUAUAUAAAUGCUUAAAAACCAAGACUAUUUUCCUCAUUACAGGCAUCAGUCACAUUUUCAAGAUAUUCGAGGUAUAAUAGUCUUGAUCUAGGCCUUUUUUUAAAAUAAAAAAAAAAACAGUCUCAGUCUUUCUUUCAAUUCAUUUAGCAUAUUCAUUUGAUUUUGGUUUUGUGAUCUUUGAGUCAAGUAUCAAUACUUUGAUCUUUUUUCUGUAUAUUAUAUUAAAGCCCUAGAAAUAUUUUUCCCUAAAAGCCAGUAGGAGUUUUAGAAAAAAAAUUUCAGUAUCUCACAGUUUAACCAAAAACAUAUAUAUGUAGUCUAUAAUUAAAUUUGAAGUCUUAUUAUAUAUAAAGAUUCAAGAGUUAUUUCUCCUCAUUUCAUCCACUUGUGUCUUUUAGGGUUAAAAGAGAUAAUACAAAGAAGAAGAAUGGCUUCCAACCCUUGCUCUGCAUGAAAAGUCCUCAAAUCCGUGUGUACAUGUGAAUGCGUUUUUGCGCCAUAUUUUCCAUCGACGGAGCCUGAAAAAUUUGACCGUGUGCAUAGAGUUUUUGGAGCCGAAAAUGUUUACAAAAUACUGAGCAAUGAGACUUUCUCACCUUUACAACGUGAAUAUGCUGUUAAGGCUCUCAGCUAUGAAGCUGAAGCCCGCAUACAGGAUCCCGUAACCGGUUGUGUUGGUAUGUCUUUGGCUUACAAAAAAAAUUCUCAACAAUUUAAAAGAGCAAAUCGUCUCAACAAAGAAUGAGAUCGUGGCUACCAUGGGAUCCGAUAAAGUACCGGAAUAUAAUGAUAUUCCUAUGCCUGAUGAUUUCCUCAUGACACAAAACCAACAGAUGGGUGAUAAUCAUCGAGCUGAUGAGGCAUCAAUAUCUGCAACGCCACCGGCAUCUUCAGGAGGCACCAAUGAUACUCAACAUACACCUUAAUUGCGUUAAAACCAGAACAAACCAUAAUGAAAUGCCUGUUGUGUUUAUUUGAUAUUUGCAUGCACCUCAAUUCCCGUGAUAAUUUGUUGUCCUCCUUUCUUCAUUUUAAUUUCAUCAUAAAUUCAUGUACUUUCAUUAUAUAAAAAAUAAUUCAUGUUGUUUGAUCUAAAUCGAUUUUCAAAUUUGUUUUUUGUUUUUUUGUUUACUAGAGGAAAACUUAAAUACAUUUAAAGAUUGAAACAAAUUUGAAUCUAGAUCUUUUGGAUGAUCAUAUAAUUUAAUAACAUAAAAAUUACAUGAAAAAUAAUUUACAUGCAUAAUAUAUGUUAAAUAUAUGGUAAAUGAAAUAUGGGUAUAAUGGUAGGAUUUGUAUAAAUACUUAUUCUGCAUGUAAUGAUAUGCGAUUGAAAAUGUCGGUGGUCUAUAUAAAAGUCAUGGAGGGAUAUGUCAAUGAAUACUAGUUUGUCUUAUUAGUUUGUCUUCCAAAGACUUCGGUCUCUUAUGUCGUUGUGGGUGUUCCCAAUUAAAAAAAAAAAAACUUGUUAGAUAUACAUAAAAAUAAAGUUAAUAAACAACUCAUUCAGUGAAAUUAUAUUCAUGGAAAGUCCUAACUGACUUCUACAUUCUAUUCUCAACAAGAAAGCCCCUUUUAAACUCUAGUUGUCAUUAUAUCUCUGAUCGCUUUUGGGUAAGGAGGAGAAUGGUCAAGCGAUAUUUAGAAUCUAAAAUUUGGGGAUAAUUAUUUGGUUCCUGAAAAUAAUGUUGUAACUUGUAUGAACAGUAAAAAAACUAGAUUUCAUCUUGAGUUGGGACUUGGGUCAAAAAAUUGUUGUCGAGGAAUGGUGAUGUUGUAACUCAUGCCAACAUCACUUUGGCGCAAGUUGAACAUGGCUAUAAGCCUAUAACGCAAUAUUGAUACUGAGAUGAGUCCGAUUUUUUUUGUAAAAUGGUAGUUUAGUUUUUAUGUUGGCUCAAAAAAAUAAAUAUAGGUUGGUGAUGAUUCAGCACAGGUCUCUAGAGUUUUAGUGAUUAUCAGAUCCUAAAAGAGAACCCGCACUACGCUGCGGGAUUAUAGACUAUCAACUUUAAAUUUCUUAUAUUAUUUUAUAAUUGUUUAGAUAAUCUUAAUGAGCUUAUUCAUCCAUUGUUUUUCGAGUUUUUUUUAUCCAAAUCAUGAUUUAGUGUUAAUUUAUUAACUUUCUCAAAUUAUGAAUUUUAGGUUUUUUCACAUACACAUAUAUAUAUAUAUAUAUAUCACUAAUUCCAUUUUUGUUUUACUUAUAUCUUUAAUAUUUUGUAUAUUUAUUUGUUGUUGUAUUAUUAUUUUUUCUUCUUUGUCAUUUUUUCUAUAUUUUUAUAAUUUUUUAUUUUUUCAAUUGUUUAUUGAAUGUUACUUUUGGUACUGUAGUUUUUUUUCUUAUUUUUUAUUCUUUAGAUAUUUAAAACUUGCUUAGCUUAUUAUUUUUAAUUUUGACUCAUAGUUUUUCUUCUUCUUUUGCACUGAGAUUAAAUUAUCUUUAUUAGUUAAAAAAUAAAGAUUAAAAUCACACUUAUAAUCUGUAUUAUUUUUUAUUCAUAUAUUUAUGAUUUUUUAAUUUAAAUUUAAAUUUAUUUAACUUAUGCUUAUGAUGUUUUAAAUUAGAUUUAAAUUUGAUUUAAGUUAUGCUUAUGAUUUAAUGUUUGUAACACAGUUGAAUUUUAAAUUAAAUAGUUUAUAUAAGAAUUAAUAGUUGGGACAGAUUUUAAGUUAAGCUUUUAAUAUUUUAGUUCAACUUUUGAUUUCUCUUGUGAUUUAUUUUAUAUAUUUUUUCCUUGAUGAUUGUAGCUGAUAAUUUUUUCAAUACAUUGUUUUUUUACUUUUUUACAUUGAAAUCUCCAUCUAGUGAUUAUAUAUGCUUUUUUCAAUUUACUAUUUUCUUGUUUUGUUUUCAAAUUUUUUCAAUUGGUUCUAUCUAUGUUCCUUAUGCCUCUAUAAAUUUUAUAUUUAUUUGUUACCAUAUUCUUUUUCUCAUUUUUUCAAAGAAUCAAAUCCUAAAUGCCCCAGAAGUUGACAAAUUAAAACAAAUCAAAACAAAUAAUAUGAAUUUAAACAACGAAUAUGAGGUUAAACGAAUAAUAUGAAGUUAUGUUCAAAUAAUAUAAAAAAAAUAAAAACUUAAUUAAACUACGAGGUUGAACAAUAUGAUUUUUUUUUCUCGUUUUUCUUGUUAUAAAAUAUGAUUUUGUAGAGUAUAUACUGUUAAUAGUGAUAAGAACAGAAUGAUAAUAAUAAAAUUUAACAAAUUAUAUUCAAUCCAUCUCGCAAAUUUUAAAUUUUAAAAUAAUUUUAACAAUAGUAUUUUAGAUUUUUAAGUUUAUUAAGUUUUAAGUUUUCUCGUCCAAUUGAUUAUAUGUCUAUUUUGUUAUUCAACUAUUUUGCUAAUCAGCUAUGAUAUACGAGAUAAACCCUAACUCUAAAUUUUGAGGUAUUGAAAUAAUCAAAAAUAAAAAGUCAUGUAUAUUAAUGAAUCAAAAAAAAAGUUAAAUGUACACAUUAAUGAUUGAUAAAUGUGAUAUUAUCUUUUUUUUUUUUGAGAAAAGGUUAAUGUUAUAUUAUCUUUCCAAAAGAGAGAGUAUGUAGUCUACUCUAUCACGUUAUGGUAAUUGAAUAUAUGGAAGGUAUCUAACAAGUACUAGUCAAAAUUUAAACAUUUAUUAUAAUUGAACUUGCCUCUAAACAUACAAAUUCAAAGUGUAUAUAAAUGCUUAAAAACCAAGACUAUUUUCCUCAUUACACGCAUCAGUCACAUUUUCAAGAUAUUCGAGGUAUAAUAGUCUCGAUCUAGGCCUUUUUUAAAUAAAAAAAAAACAGUCUCAGUCUUUCUUUUCAAUUCAUUUAGCAUAUUCAUUUGAUUUUGGUUUUGUGAUCUUUGAGUCAAGUAUCGCUACUUUGAUCUUUUUCUGUAUAUUAUAUUAAAGCCCUAGAAAUAUUUUUCCCUAAAAGCCAGUAGGAGUUUUAGAAAAAAAAUUUCAGUAUCUCACAGUUUAACCAAAAACAUAUAUAUGUAGUCUAUAAUUAAAUUUGAAGUCUUAUUAUAUAUAAAGAUUCAAGAGUUAUUUCUCCUCAUUUCAUCCACUUGUGUCUUUUAGGGUUAAAAGAGAUAAUACAAAGAAGAAGAAUGGCUUCCAACCCUUGCUCUGCGUGAAAAGUCCUCAAAUCCGUGUGUACAGGUGAAUGCGUUUUGCGCCAUAUUUUCCAUCGACGGAGCCUGAAAAUUUUGACCGUGUGCAUAGAAAUUUUGGAGCAGAAAAUGUUUACAAAAUACUGAGCAAUGAGACUUUCUCACCUUUACAACGUGAAUAUGCUGUUAAGGCUCUCAGCUAUGAAGCUGAAGCCCGCAUACAGGAUCCUGUAACCGGUUGUGUUGGUAUGUCUUUGGCUUACAAAAAAAUUCUCAACAAUUUAAAAGAGCAAAUCGUCUCAACAAAGAAUGAGAUCAUGGCUACCAUGGGAUCCGAUAAAGUACCGGAAUAUAAUGAUAUUCCUAUGCCUGAUGAUUUCCUCAUGACACAAAACCAACAGAUGGGUGAUAAUCAUCGAGCUGAUGAGGCAUCAAUAUCUGCAACGCCACCGGCAUCUUCAGGAGGCACCAAUGAUACUCAACAUACACCUUAAUUGCGUUAAAACCAGAACAAACCAUAAUGAAAUGCCUGUUGUGUUUAUUUGAUAUUUGCAUGCACCUCAAUUCCCGUGAUAAUUUGUUGUCCUCCUUUCUUCAUUUUAAUUUCAUCAUAAAUUCAUGUAGUUUCAUUAUAUAAAAAAUAAUUCAUGUUGUUUGAUCUAAAUCGAUUUUCAAAUUUGUUUUUUGUUUUUUUGUUUACUAGAGGAAAACUUAAAUACAUUUAAAGAUUGAAACAAAUUUGAAUCUAAAUCUUUUGGAUGAUCAUAUAAUUUAAUAACAUAAAAAUUACAUGAAAAAUAAUUUACAUGCGUAAUAUAUGUUAAAUAUAUGGUAAAUGAAAUAUGGGUAUAAUGGUAGGAUUUGUAUAAAUACUUAUUCUGCAUGUAAUGAUAUGCGAUUGAAAAUGUCGGUGGUCUAUAUAAAAGUCAUGGAGGAGAUAUGUCAAUGAAUACUAGUUUGUCUUAUUAGUUUGCCUUCUAAAGACUUCGGUCUCUUAUGUCGUUGUGGGUGUUCCCAGUUAAAAAAAAAAACUAGUUAGAUAUACAUAAAAAUAAAGUUAAUAAACAAAUCAUUCAGUGAAAUUAUAUUCAUGGAAAGUCCUAACUGACUUCUACAUUCUAUUCUCAACAAGAAAGCACCAUUUAAACUCUAGUUGUCAUUAUAUCUCUGAUUGGUUUUUGGGUAAGGAGGAGAAUGGUCAAGCGAUAUUUAGAAUCUAAAAUUUGGGGAUAAUUAUUUGGUUCCUGAAAAUAAUGUUGUAACUUGUAUGAACAGUAAAAAAAAACAAGAUUUCAUACUUGACUUGGGACUUGGGUCAAAAAAAAUUGUUGUCGAGGAAUGGUGAUGUUGUAACUCAUGCCAACAUCACUUUGGCGCAAGUUGAACAUGGCUAUAAGCCUAUAACCCAAUAUUGAUAUUGAGAUGAGUCUGAUUUAAGUUUUGUGAAAUGGUAGUUUAGUUUUUAUGUUGGCUCGAAAAAAUGAAUAUUAGUUGGUGAUGAUUCAGCACAGGUCUCUAGAGUUUUAGUUGGUGAUUAUCAGAUCUUAGAAAAGAAUCCGCGCUACGCUGCGGGAUUAUAGACUAUUAACUUUGAAUUUCUUAUAUUAUUUUAUAAAAUUUUUUUGAUAAUCUUAAUGAGCUCAUCUAUCCAUUGUUUUUCGAGUUUUUUUUAUUUAAAUAAUGAUUUAGUGUUAAUUUAUUAACUUUCUCAAAUUAUGAAUUUUAGAUUUUUUUCAAAAAUACACACACAUAUAUAUAUUUAUCACUAAUUCCAAUUUUGUUUUACUUAUAUCUUUAAUAUUUUGUAUAUUUAUUUGUUGUUGUAUUAUUUUUUUUCCUCUUUUUUAUUUUUUCUAUAUUUUUAUAAUUUUUUAUUUUUUCGAUUGUUUAUUGAACGAUACUUUUAGUACUAUAGUUUUCUUCUUAAUUUUAUUCUUUAGAUAUUUAAAACUUGCUUAGCUUAUUACUUUUAAUUUUGACUCAUACUUUCUUCUUCUUUGGCACUGAGAUUAAAUUAUCUUUAUUAGUUCAAAAAUAAUGAUUAAAUCACACUUAUAAUCUGUAUUAUUUUUCAUUCAUAUAUUUAUGAUUUUUUAAUUUAAAUUUAAAUUUGAUUAAACUUAUGCUUAUGAUGUUUUAAAUUAGAUUUAAAUUUGAUAUAAAUUAUGCUUGUGAUUUAAUGUUUGUAACACAGUUGAAUUUAAAUUAAAUAGUUUAUAUAAGAAUUGAUAGUUGGGACAGAUUUUAAGUUAAGCUUCUAAUAUUUUAGUUCAACUUUUGAUUUCUCUUGUGAUUUAUUUUAUAUUUUUUUUCCCUUGAUGAUUGUAGCUGAUAAUUUUUUCAAUCCUUUGUUUUUUACUUUUUUACAUUGAAAUCUCCAUCUAGUGAUUAUAUAUACUUUUUUCAAUUUACUAUUUUUAUGUUUUGUUUUCACAUUUUUUCAAUUGGUUCUAUUUUUGUUCCUUAUGCCUCUAUAAAUUUUAUAUUUAUUUGUUAUCAUAUUCGUUUUCUCAUUUUUUCAAUGAAUAAGAUCCUAAAUGCCCCUGAAGUUGACAAAUUAAAACAAAUCAAAACAAAUAAUAUGAAUUUAAACAAAUAAUAUGAGGUUAAACAAAUAAUAUGAAGUUAUGUUCAAAUAAUAUAUAAAAAAUAAAAACUUAAUUAAACUACGAGGUUGAACAAUAUCAAUUUUUUUUCACGUUUUUCUUGUUUGAAAAUAUGAUUUUGUAGAGUAUAUACUGUUUAUAGUGAUAAGAACAGAAUGAUAAUAAUAAAAUUUAACAAAUUAUUUUCAAUCCAUCUCGCAAAUUUUAAAUUUUAAAAUAAUUUUAACAAUAGUAUUUUAGAGUUUUAAGUUACUUAAGUUUUAAGUUUUUUUGCCCAAUUGAUUAUAUGUAUGUUUUUUAUUCAACUAUUUUGCUAUUCAGCUAUGAUAUACCAGAUAAACCCUAACUAUCUAAAUUUUGAUGUAUUGAAAUAUUCAAAAAUAAAAAGUCAUGUAUAUUAAUGAAUCAAAAAAAUGUUAAAUGUACACAUUAAUGAAUGAUAAAUGUGAUAUUAUCUUUUAUUUUUUUGAGAAAAGGGUAAUGUGAUAUUAUCUUUCCAAAAGAGAUAGUAUGUAGUCUACUCUAUCACAUUAUGGUAAUUGAAAAUAUGGAAGGUAUCUAACAAGUACUAGUCAAAAUUUUAACAUUUAUUAUAAUUGAACUUGCCUCUCACCAUACAAAUUCAAAGUGUAUAUAAAUGCUUAAGAACCAAAACUAUUUUCCUCAUUACAGACAUCAGUCACAUUUUCAAGAUAUUCGAGGUAUAAUAGUCUCAAUCUAGGCCCUUUUUUUAAAAAAAAAACAGUCUCAGUCUUUCUUUCAAUUCAUUUAGCAUAUUCAUUUUAUUUUGAUUUUGGGAUCUUUGAGUCAAGUAUCAAUACUUUGAUCUUCUUUGUCUGUAUAUUAUAUUAAUGCCGUAGAAUUGUUUUUUCCCUAAAAGCCACUAGGAGUUUUAGAAAAAAAAUUUCAAUAUCUCACAGUUUAACCACAAACAUAUAUAUGUAGUCUAUAAUUAAAUUUGAAGUCUUAUUAUAUAUAAAGAUUCAAGAGUUAUUUCUUCUCAAUUCAUCCAUUUGUGUCUUUUAGGGUUAAAAGAGUUAAUACAAAGAAGAAGAAUGGCUUCCAACCCUUGCUCUGCAUGCAAAGUCCUCAAAUCCGUGUGUACAGGUGAAUGCGUUUUUGCGCCAUAUUAUCCAUCGACGGAGCCUGAAAAAUUUGUCCGUGUGCAUAGAAUUUUUGGAGUCGAAAAUUUUACAAAAUACUGAGCAAUGAGACUUUCUCACCUUUACAACGUGAAUAUGCUGUUAAGGCUCUCAGCUAUGAAGCUGAAGACCGCAUACAGGAUCCCGUAACCGGUUGUGUUGGUAUGUCUUUGGCUUACGAAAAAAUUCUCAACAAUUUAAAAACGCAAAUCGUCUCAGCAAAGAAUGAGAUCGUGGCCACCAUGGGAUCCGAUAAAGUACCGGAAUAUAAUGAUAUUCCUAUGCCUGAGGAUUUCCUCAUGACACAAAACCAACAGAUGGGUGAUAAUCAUGGAGCUAAUGAGGCAUCAACAUCUGCAACGCCACCUGCAUCUUCAGGAGGCACCAAUGAUACUCAACAGACACCUUAAUUGCCUUAAAACCAGAACAAACUAUAAUGAAAUGCCUGUUGUAUUUAUUUGAUAUUUGCAUGCGCCUCAAUUCCCGUGAUAAUUUGUUGUCCUCCUUUCUUUAUUUUAAUUUUAUCAUAUAUUCAUGUAGCUUCAUUAUAUAAAAAAUAAUUCAUGUUGUUUGAUCUAAAUCGAUUUUCAAAUUUGUUUUUUGUUUUUUUGUUUACUAGAGAAAAACUUAAAUACAUUUAAAGAUUGAAACAAAUUUGAAUCUAGAUCUUUUGGAUGUUCAUAUAAUUUAGUAACAUAAAAAUUACAUGAAAAAGAAUUUACAUGUGUAAUAUAUGUUAAAAAUAUGAGUAAAUGAAAUAUGGGUAUAAUGGUAUGAUUUGUAUAAAUACUUAUUCUGCAUGUAAUGAUAUGCGAUUGAAAAUGUCGGUGGUCUAUAUAAAGGUCAUGGAGGAGAGAUGUCAAUGAAUACUAGUUUGUCUUAUUAGUUUGCUUUCCAAAAACUUUGGUAUCUUAUGUCGUUCUGGGUAUUCCCAAUUAAAAAAAACUAGUUAGAUAUACAUAAAAAUAAAGUUAAUUACAAAUCAUUCAGUGAAAUUAUAUUCAUGGAAAGUCCUAACUGACUUCUACAUUCUAUUCUCAAUAAGAAAGCACUUUUUAAACUCUAGUUGUCAUUAUACAGUAAAACCUCUAUAAAUUAAUAAUGUCGGGACCAUGAUAUUUUAUUAAUUUAUUGUGAUAUUAAUUUAUCUAUAAAUUAAUAAUUAUUAAUUUAUAGAGAAGAUUUGCUUUCCGCAUAUAAUUUUCUAAAUAUUUCUUUGAAAUAAUGUUAUAUUUUAAAACUUUAACAAAUUUCGUAAUGUAAAUUAUGUUUAACAAUCAUAACUAUCGCAAUAAAAUAGUUUUUAAUACCAUAUUGAAUUAUCCAUGUAAAAAUAUACAUGUUCAUAAGUUUAAAAUCUAUAAAAAGACUAUGGUUACUAUCCGUAUUAUUGAUGACAAAAUUGAAGAUAACACUACAGUACAUUUAAAAACAUUUACAGAUAAGAAAAUCAAUUAUCACACUAAAAGUUAUCAUAAAUUUUGAAUGUAUAUCGUAAAACAUCAAUAAAAGCUACUGAUAUAAUAAUUAAAUAAAUAAGAUCCAAUGAGAUUUCAACCUUAAGUAAAAGCAAACACAUUAGUCAUAUUUUAAAAUACUAUAUUUACAUAUAUUUGUAUAAAUAUAUAUAAGUAUUAAUUUAUGUUUUUGUUGGGACCAUAUAUUUACAUAAGGAUUUCAAAAAAAUUAUUAUCUUAUUAUCUUAUCGAAUUUGAUGAAUUUUUACAUUGGCCCAACUUGGGACCAGUAAAAUUUAUUAAUUUAUAGUGAUUAUUAAUUUAUCGAGUAUUAAUUUAUAGAGGUUUUACUGUAUAUCUGAUCGCUUUUAGGUAAGGAGGAGAAUGGUCAAGCGAUAUUUAGAAUCUAAAAUUUGGGGAUAAUUAUUUGGUUCCUGAAAAUAAUGUUGUAACUUGGGUCAAAAAAAUUUGUUGUCGAGGAAUGGUGAUGUUGUAACUCAUGCCAACAUCACUUUGGCGCAAAUUGAACAUGGCUAUAAGCCUAUAACCCAAUAUAUAUAUUGAGAUGAGUCCGAUUUUUUUGUGAAAUGGUGUAAUUUAGUUUUUAUGUUGGCUCGAAAAAAAUGAAUAUUAGUUGGUGAUGAUUCAGCACAGGUCUCUAGAGUUUUAGUUGGUGAUUAUCAGAUCCUAGAAGAGAACCCGUGCUACGCUGCGGGAUUAUAAACUAUCAACUUUGAAUUUCUUAUAUUAUUUUAUAAUUUUUUUGAUAAUCUUAAUGAGCUCAUCCAUCCAUUGUUUUUUCGAGUUUUUUUUAUCCAAAUCAUGAUUUAGUGUUAAUUUAUUAACUUUUUCAAAUUAUAAUUUUAGGUUUUUUUCACACAUACACACAUAUAUAUAUAUAUAUUUAUCACUAAUUCAUUUGUUUUACUUAUAUCUUUAAUAUUUUGUAUAUUUAUUUGUUGUUGUAUUAUUUUUCUUUUCUCUUUAUCAUUUUUUCUAUAUUUUUAUAAUUUUUUUAUCUUUCAAUUGUUUAUUGAACGUUACUUUUGGUACUGUAAUUUUUUCUUAUUUUUUUAUUCUUUAGAUAUUUAAAACUUGCUUAGUUUAUUAUUUUUAAUUUUGACUCAUAUUUUUUUUUCUUCUUUUGCACUGAGAUUACAUUAUAUUUAUUAGUUCAAAAAUAAAGAUUAAAUCACACUGAUAAUCUGUAUUAUUUUUUAUUCAUAUAUAUAUAUAUAUGAUUUUUUAAUUUAAAAUUAAAUUUGAUUUAACUUAUGCUUAUGAUGUUUUAAAUUAGAUUUAAAUUAUGCUUAUGAUUUAAUGUUUGUAACACAGUUGAAUUUAAAUUAAAUGUUUUAUAUAAAUUAAUAGCUGGGACAGAUUUUAAGUUAAGCUUCUAAUCUUUUAGUUCAACUUUUGAUUUCUCAUGUGACUUAUUUUAUAUAUUUUUUUUCCUUGAUGAUUGUAGCUGAUAAUUUUUUCAAUCCAUUGUUUUUUACUUUUUUUACAUUGAAAUCUCCAUCUAGUGAUUAUAUUUACUUUUUUUAAUUUACUAUUUUCAUGUUUUGUUUUCACAUUUUUUUCAAUUGUUCUAUCUAUGUUCCUUAUGCCUCUAUAAAUUUUAUAUUUAUUUGUUAUCAUAUUUUUUUUUUCUUUUUAGUUUUGAUAAUUUGUUAUUUUUUUAUUAUUUAAUGAAUGUUCUUUUGUGUGUGGUGAUUUUCUAGCUCUUAUAUAUUUUUUAAAAAAAACUUGAUCUUCAGUUUUUGGAAAUUUAUAAUUUUAUUACUUGUUUUUAUUUUUUUAAAUUGCUUUGCGAAUAAAUUAAUUUUGUUAUUUCAAAAAUAAUGAAUAUAACACACAGUGAUAAAGACCAAAUUAAAAUCUCAUAUUAGUUUUUUUAUUUAUAAAUAUAAAAUAUUGAAAUUAAAUUUGAGUUUAAUUUUUUAUUAUUUUAUGAUUUAAUAUUUAAACAUAGUAAAAAUCAGAUUAAAUGCUUGAUUCAUUUAUAUUCAGAAAAUAAUUUGUAUAUGUAUUAAUAAGAGGAAUAAAUGCUAAUUUCUUAUUGACUCUCAAAUUGUUGAAUUGUCAAUCCCUGGAGAGUUUCUUUCAUCUUUAUAUAUAGAUAGUUAUAUAGAUUAUUUAGAAGAAGAAAUUUGUUUUUUUUUUCAUGUAGUGAGUAGAGAGUUUUUUUUUAUUUGGUGUAGUGGCGAAAUUGAGAGAGGGUGGAAGCGUUUAUAUAGGAAAAGUAUGUCUCCAUUCCAACGGUUUUAAGACAGAUUCCGACGAAAUUUCUUUGAUUAUGCGACAAACCGACGGAAUCGACGAAAUACUCAAACAGCUAAUAACAGAUAUUAUUUUCAAACCGUUGCGAAAUCCGUCUUGAAUUUAUCGAAAAUCUGCUGGUCAUCAGAAAUCACAAAAUUUACGAUGGCUUUCUAUCAGAAUCUCAUUGAUUCCCGACAAUACGCAAACCCUAUAUUAUUUUUAAACCGUUGUGAAUUCCAUCUUAAAUCUGUCGGAAAUCUGUCAGAAAUUUUCUAACAUAAGUUUAUCAUCAGAAUGUCGUCGGAAACUUUUAUCGGAUUACCAAUGACAAGUAACCCAUCGCAAAGUUCCGAGUGAUAUACGAUGGGUGCUUUUUUCGCGGAACCGGUGUUGGAAAACUGUCAGAAAAUUUCUGAUGGAUCUUUUUGCCACGUUGGAAAUCGUGUCUGGAAAUCGGCAUGCUUUUUUGUAGUAUCUUUAUGAACAUUUAUCACCGAAAUUCGGUUCCGUUUGGUGUCAUCUAUACUAUUUAAGCAUACAAAUGAUGUAAAGCUUUGGUAGAUAUUUAUUAAUGAAAUAAACCUUUAGAAAUUUUCAGUUCGUCUUUAAUUCUUGUUAUCGGCAUUCAUCGCGAGGGGAAAAAAAAGUAUUUGCGGCCACCGUCGGCUCGUGAGGUCUGAUUCUUUUCCAAGCAUGACCAAUCGUGUUUAUGUCAAUCUUUCCGGCCUUAUCAUUCCCAAUUGAAUUGCAUUGUGGAUUUGGAGCUCUUCGUAGCACACAAUUGGUUCCAAUGCGUCGACAACUAUUUCGUUGAGUGGCGUUACUUGCGAAUUAAGCAAGCUAAUUCAUGUCGUUUUAGCUUAAUGUCGGUUUAACAUUGGUAGCAGAAAGAGAGUUCAUCCGCUCACAACAUCAUCGUUUAUAUUGGUCAGGUAGCUCGUGUUCGUUAUAUCACUUUUUUUUUGGACAAAUGAUCGUGUGUAAUAUGAUAAUCUUAACUUUUUAUUUUCAUAACAAAGAAAUACUGAACCGCAAAUUAAAAUCCAUGUCAAUAAUGACAUGGAUUUAUAUGUCUCAAUAUGUAAAAAAAAAAAAAAUCCCAAGAACUUAACGUGUACGGAUUAUUCAUAUUGGAUUCGUAAUUUGAAGACAAUUAUGGUAAAAACCGUUUCAAAGUAUUUGUAGCCUCUGUUCAAAAUUUUUUUUAUUAUAGAUUUUAAUAUAUACAAAAACUUAGGUUCCAAUUUAUAUACAUAUAUUGAAAAUUUUCUUAAGAAUUUUGUUUUCUUUUGAAUCGAGAUCCUGUUAAAUUGUUGCACUUGCACAUGUUAAACAACGACCUUGAUUAUAGUAUCUACAUUGGGGUAAGUAGGUUAUAUCGUAGUAUCGAGGUUUUCUUGCCCCUCAAGCAAAUGGUCAAUCAAAUAUAGUAUUCUUUUUUUGUUUGGUAAUUCAAUCAUAAUAUUCUUGACGUCCUAGUUUCCACUUCUGGCUGUAUACUCCUGCAACGAACUUUGAAAAAUCUCCGAAAGAUCACUAAAACUUGUGUAAGUAUGACUAGGUCAAGAUAUUUUCUUCUUGAGUCUUGACAAAGUAAAAUCAACCAGCCGCCCAUGUGAACGAACACUACAAGAAAAACAUCAUUUUACGACGGCUGAAAUGGUCGGUAAUUCGUCGUAAUAGGGCCAUUACGACGGAUUACCGACGAUUUCAAAAUCGUCGUAAACUCAUCGUCGUAAUAGACAAAUCGUCGUAUAAUAUACGACGACUUUGUUUCGUCGUAACAUCGAGGCAAACAAAAUCGUCGUAAAUGCGUCGUACAAUUUACGACGAGUUUACAUCGAAUUGCGUCCACUUGGUCUUCACCUAAACCGUCGUUAAGUGGUUGUUAAUGAUCGACGUAAGAUCGUCGUAAAAUGUACGACGCAAUAAUCGUCGUAAAUCAGUCGUAAAGUAUUUCUUCAUUGCGUCGUAAAAUCGUCGUAAAUCUCGGACGUAUAAUCGUCGUAUUUGUCGUCGUAUAUUAUAGUCGUAAAGUUGUCGUAAUAUGUACGACGACAUUACGACGGUUUGAAUAAAUCUAUUACGACGAUUAUACGACGAUUUAUAUAUAUGAAAAAUAAAAAAAAAAUUAAUUGAAAAUUUUAAAAAAAAAAUAAUUCGAAUUAAAAUUUAAAUAAAAAAAAUAAUUUACAAUUUGAAAAAUUUUAAUUUACAAAAAAAACCCUACAGGUCAUCUAAAUCUAAAUGUAUAUCGUCGAUCCCGUCACCGGCCUCCUGGACAUCGUCUUGGACGUGCUCCUUGCCGGGUCUUCGGUUUGAUGGUCCUGCCGCCUGAUCUCCGGCUCCGGCUGUAGGAGGGUCGACCCCGAGAGAUCAGAACAUCUCCGCGUCCGUCUGCACCGGCGGCGGUCGAGUCCUAGUAGAUGACCCGACGGCAGACGAUCCUCCGAGAACCCCAUCCGCCUUCAGCUUGUCCAGCUGCGCCAUGAGUACCGGGUUGUCGGCUCCCAUGAUCUCGAAAAGACCGUAGAGCAUGUCGAUCUUCGUCUCGUACCGGUCGAUCGUCGUCUCGUACUGGUUCCGCAUCUGAUCGAUCUCCUGGCGGAUAACCGGAUCCGCCGGAGCCCGGACGUGACCAGUCGCCGUAGCUCUCGGGGUAUCACGGAUGGACCCCAUCCCUAAUACCCGCCUCUUUUUCUUUGGGGCAACCUACAAACAUAUAAAAACAUUAUGGUUAGGAAUAUAAUUAAUUUAAAGCUAAAGUUACAUUAAUUAAAAAAAGUAUUCAUAAUUAAUUACGUACCUCUUCGAAGAUCUGGUCCAUCUCCGCAACCGUCAGCGCCGGGGUCGAUUGGACCGAGCUACCUCCGUCAGACGUUUGACGCGCCUGCUGAGUCAGCUGCGUCUGUCGCUCCUCGAUCGCCGCACAUGCGGCGUUGUAGAUCUCCUCCGCCCGAGGAUCCGUGAAUUCUCCGUUACGCUUUUUAUGCGUCUCGGCGAAAACCUUCGUCAUCGGAGGAAGUUCUCCUCCGUUAUCUUCGACCUACAAAAUAAAAAAGAAAAAAUUAAUUAGUAUCAAGAAAUAAGAGUUUAAUUAUUAGUUGAGAAAAAAAAUUUAAGAUUUUUCAAUGUGCUUACCAUCAUAAGCCGUCUUCCGGCAAAAGGAAUCUGGCCGGAAGUGUGCGGGACGUUCUUCUUAUUUCCCGCAUUGUCAGUAGCGUUCCUGAAAAAUAUUUUGAUUAGAAUCUAUUAAAAAAAGAAAAAAAUAAUGUAAAUAUUAAUGAAAUUAACUACGGCUUACCUAGAUACGGAACACUUGGCGGCGGUAGUCUGGUUGGUUGGAUCCGACCAGAACUGGACAAGGCCCUGCCAGACGAACUUGGACAUAGGCGGCGGAUUGGCCUUGUCGCCCUCGUCCUCCCACUUCCGUUUCCAGUCGGAAACGGUGUUGUUGAGGCGGAAUUUGACCUUCUCCUUGAAGGCCGUCUCCACACGUCCGUGUGCGGAUGGUUCCCAAUGCCAGUUUUGCUAGGAAAAAAAAAGAAGUUAGUAAUUAUUGUAAAAAGAUAAAAUUUAAAAAUAAAAUUAAAGGAAAGUACUUACCGCAAAACACUUGAACCAAGUGUCAAGUGUGGCCCGAUCCAGUUUCUUGUAGCUGGUAUGGGGUUGUACGAAAAACCCCUUGAUGAUAUCCGAAACGUUACGACCGACUGCAUUGUCGGUCGUAAACCUAGUCAAAUAAAAAAAUAAAUAGUUAAUUAAUAUCAAAUAUAUUAGACGAAAAAUUAAUUAAUUUAAAAAUAUUGUUGGGAAAAUUUACGUACCAAUAGGUGCCGGGGGCUCGAUCCGGGUCGAGUUUGUUCAUGCUCCCACGACCGAGUUGCGCCAGAAGAUCGUGUACCGUAUACUGGGCAUACGGUAUAGGCGGGAUAGGAUCAUCGUGAUCAGGCUCGGCCUGUGCGGGAGCCGCUGGUUCGACUGGUUGUGGUGGAGGCGGUGGUGGCUGCGGAACAACGACCGGUUGGGAAACCGUCUGUUGUGUUCCCGAGGACUCCGGGAUGGCUGAGCCGGUCGCCGAGGUAGACGGAACCGAAUCGUCAGAAUCGAAGAGCUGUCGGUAGUGAAAUCUCUUUUUCCGAGGAGCCAUAUCGACAAAAUCUAUUAAAAGGAAAAAAAAAAUUUGUUACUAAUUUUAUUAAAAUUAACAAAAUCCGGAUAAAUCUAAAUUCCGAACCUAAAUCUAAAUUCCGAACCUAAAUCUAAAUUCCGAACCUAAAUCUAAAAGAAUAUGUAAUGAAAUUAAUUUAGAAAAAAAAACUUACAAGUAAUGGCUGGAGAGCAGGGAGAGAAGGAGUGAUUUUUUUUUAGAGAGAGAAAGUAUUGUAGAGAGAGAGGGGAGAAGAGAGGAAUGAGCGACGAAAUGGGGAGGACUCGCGUCCCUUAUAUAGAUUUUGUGAUCGUCGUAAAACCGUCGUAACAUUACGACGGUUUUACGACGAUUUGGUUGUAUAAGAAUCGGUCCACUGCAUGACACGACACGUGUCGUGAUGUCAUCGUCGUGAAGUCGUCGUAACUUUACGACGGUUUUACGACGAGUAGUCCAAAAUCGUCGUAAAACCGUCGUAACGUCUAAACUUUAAUAACCUCGUACCUCGGAUCAAGAGCCUAUCCGGUUCAAACGUUACGACGGUUGUACGACGAUUUUGGGUUUAAUCGUCGUUCGACCGUCGUAUAGUUACGAUCAUAUUACGACGGUUUUACGAUGUUUUUUAAAAAAGUGAGUAAACCCUAAAUCUUAUAAAUGGGAUAUUGCAUAAAGAAAAAUGCAGAGGUUAUUGUAUCCUAACAUAUCAUAAAAGGUUUACAACUUUGCAUGUAUGAUGAAUUUAUGACAUGAGAUAGUAAAAAAUGAAAUUCCGUAAUCAAAUAUAUAACCUUUCACUUAACAUUUACGAAAACAUGCACGACCUUAUAAAUAUGUAUGUUUUUUUUCAAAUUUUUAAUUUUGAUCAGAUUGAUAGCAUUUCAUAUAAAAUAAGAUAACCAAUCAAAAACAAUUGUGAAAUACCUUACAACCAAUAAGAUAUAAAAGAUUCAAAUUCUUGGAUUUCAACAUUACGACGGUUUUACGACGAACUAGUGUACUCGUCGUAAAACCGUCGUAACGUUACGAUGACAUUACGAUGGUUCGUCGUAAAGACGUCGUAAUGUCUAAACCCUAUUCAUUCAGGGCAUUAAACCCUAGACUGAGGGUUUAGGGUUUAGACAAAUCGUCGUAAAACCGUCGUAAAAUUGAGUCGUCGUAAAACCGUCGUAUAAUCAAAUUUAUGCUAAGAAACUCAUCGACCAAGGAGGGAACACUAUGGGUCGAUGAGUUUCUUAGCAUAAAUUAUUAGUGUGUUCUAAAAGUUCGAUAAUAACAAACAUUCACUAAAUGCAAUGCAUGAAAUUCAAUCAGAUUCAUCUUCCUCUAUUACUUCAUCACCAUCACCGUCUUCUUCCGCCAAAUCGUCAUCAUCGGUUUCAGCAAACUCAUCAUCACCUUCUUCUUCUGUAUCAUCGGGAAGAUCUUCAAGUUGCCUGUUUCGAGGGUCUAUUAAGAAAAUCUCCUCAUCAACAUCUGGUUCAGACAGAUCUACGCAUGUGUCCUGUUGAAGUGGAACAUCCUCAACCCCUACAAUCUUGCCCCUCGGAGCCACUUUAACUACAGCUAACCAUGAAAUUCCUGUGGAUCGAACUCUCGGGUAUGGCAGAAAUGUUACCUGUUCUGCUUGAGAAGCUAAUAUAAAUGGCUCAAACCUGUUGUACCGUCGUGAUUUGUUCACGUCAACAACUCCAAACUUGUUUAGACGUACCCCUCGUCCAACAGUUGGAUCAAACCAAUCACAUUUGAAGAGAACAGUUUUCAGCCUUAACAAUCCAGGAUACUCUACUUCAAUUAUUUCUUGCAGAACUCCAUAAAAAUCGAUUUCACCCCUCACACAAACUCCAUAGUUUGUUGUCGCCCGCUUUGCACCGUGACGGUAUGUGUGAAAAACAUAGCCCUGAGUGAAAUACAUUGAGGCUGUAGUUAUUUUUGCCAUCGGACCUAGUAGUAACUCAUGGAACCAUGUUGGAAAUUCAUCCGGGUCAUUCGGGUCCACCUAAUAAGAAAAAAAUUCUGCUUUGAUAUCUUGAUUUCGAUAUAUAGCAAAUUAAAGUAGUCUUUUAAUUAAAAUUUUCUAUGUACUUGUCCUUUUAACCACUGGGCAUAGUGUUGAUCUUUACGAUCAUUGAUUUCAGUUUCAGAAACCCCAGAUAUGCAUUCUUUAACCUCAUCAACAAAUGUGCUGCGAAAAACAACAAAUAGUAAUUAAUACUGACAACUCAUAUAAAGAUAUUAUUAAUUAAAAAGGUACCUUUCAUACGAUGACAACUCUUCACAAUUUAACAGGAUAUACGUAUGUGCACUGUGAUAAUCUUUUUCAUUGGACCACCAAACAUCUUUUAGUUUUCCACUAAGACGUCCGAUCGGCGAGAAUAUGUCAGGUACACCUUCAACGGCAUAUGUAUGGCCAACUCCUCCAUCAUCAUAUCGACGAGUUGCUCUUUUGCGUGUUCGUACUUUCGGUGCAAAAUAGUAUGACGUNNNNNNNNNNNNNNNNNNNNNNNNNNNNNNNNNNNNNNNNNNNNNNNNNNNNNNNNNNNNNNNNNNNNNNNNNNNNNNNNNNNNNNNNNNNNNNNNNNNNNNNNNNNNNNNNNNNNNNNNNNNNNNNNNNNNNNNNNNNNNNNNNNNNNNNNNNNNNNNNNNNNNNNNNNNNNNNNNNNNNNNNNNNNNNNNNNNNNNNNNNNNNNNNNNNNNNNNNNNNNNNNNNNNNNNNNNNNNNNNNNNNNNNNNNNNNNNNNNNNNNNNNNNNNNNNNNNNNNNNNNNNNNNNNNNNNNNNNNNNNNNNNNNNNNNNNNNNNNNNNNNNNNNNNNNNNNNNNNNNNNNNNNNNNNNNNNNNNNNNNNNNNNNNNNNNNNNNNNNNNNNNNNNNNNNNNNNNNNNNNNNNNNNNNNNNNNNNNNNNNNNNNNNNNNNNNNNNNNNNNNNNNNNNNNNNNNNNNNNNNNNNNNNNNNNNNNNNNNNNNNNNNNNNNNNNNNNNNNNNNNNNNNNNNNNNNNNNNNNNNNNNNNNNNNNNNNNNNNNNNNNNNNNNNNNNNNNNNNNNNNNNNNNNNNNNNNNNNNNNNNNNNNNNNNNNNNNNNNNNNNNNNNNNNNNNNNNNNNNNNNNNNNNNNNNNNNNNNNNNNNNNNNNNNNNNNNNNNNNNNNNNNNNNNNNNNNNNNNNNNNNNNNNNNNNNNNNNNNNNNNNNNNNNNNNNNNNNNNNNNNNNNNNNNNNNNNNNNNNNNNNNNNNNNNNNNNNNNNNNNNNNNNNNNNNNNNNNNNNNNNNNNNNNNNNNNNNNNNNNNNNNNNNNNNNNNNNNNNNNNNNNNNNNNNNNNNNNNNNNNNNNNNNNNNNNNNNNNNNNNNNNNNNNNNNNNNNNNNNNNNNNNNNNNNNNNNNNNNNNNNNNNNNNNNNNNNNNNNNNNNNNNNNNNNNNNNNNNNNNNNNNNNNNNNNNNNNNNNNNNNNNNNNNNNNNNNNNNNNNNNNNNNNNNNNNNNNNNNNNNNNNNNNNNNNNNNNNNNNNNNNNNNNNNNNNNNNNNNNNNNNNNNNNNNNNNNNNNNNNNNNNNNNNNNNNNNNNNNNNNNNNNNNNNNNNNNNNNNNNNNNNNNNNNNNNNNNNNNNNNNNNNNNNNNNNNNNNNNNNNNNNNNNNNNNNNNNNNNNNNNNNNNNNNNNNNNNNNNNNNNNNNNNNNNNNNNNNNNNNNNNNNNNNNNNNNNNNNNNNNNNNNNNNNNNNNNNNNNNNNNNNNNNNNNNNNNNNNNNNNNNNNNNNNNNNNNNNNNNNNNNNNNNNNNNNNNNNNNNNNNNNNNNNNNNNNNNNNNNNNNNNNNNNNNNNNNNNNNNNNNNNNNNNNNNNNNNNNNNNNNNNNNNNNNNNNNNNNNNNNNNNNNNNNNNNNNNNNNNNNNNNNNNNNNNNNNNNNNNNNNNNNNNNNNNNNNNNNNNNNNNNNNNNNNNNNNNNNNNNNNNNNNNNNNNNNNNNNNNNNNNNNNNNNNNNNNNNNNNNNNNNNNNNNNNNNNNNNNNNNNNNNNNNNNNNNNNNNNNNNNNNNNNNNNNNNNNNNNNNNNNNNNNNNNNNNNNNNNNNNNNNNNNNNNNNNNNNNNNNNNNNNNNNNNNNNNNNNNNNNNNNNNNNNNNNNNNNNNNNNNNNNNNNNNNNNNNNNNNNNNNNNNNNNNNNNNNNNNNNNNNNNNNNNNNNNNNNNNNNNNNNNNNNNNNNNNNNNNNNNAUCUGAAUCUUUACGCAUAUACAUCCAACUUCUUAGCUCGUAUAUAGACAUCUUGAAAAUAAACUCAAAAUAAUAUCUCUUUUUAUUGAUUAGACAAUAACUAUAUAUAGGUGGUCUCUUGUGUCACGUCUAGCCACGUGAAUGAAGUAAAUUAACCUUAUAAUAUUAUUACUUCUUUGAUUCAAAGUAAUAUCUUAAUUCGGGUUUUCAGCAAUGGACAACCCAAUAUAUAAGGAUUUACAACACUAUACUAAAAUUUAAGAGACCUACAAUGGGUCUCCAAGAUGAAGAUGCUCUUAUGUUUGAAUGAUGAUGUGUUGUGAUUGAAUGAAGGAAUGAAGAUCUAUUUAUAGGAAAAUUUCGGGCUUUACAUCGCUUUUACGACGACUUUUUACGACGGUUUUACAUUCACCAAUCAUAUUACGACAAGUUUACGACGAUUUUGCGAUAAUCUACAAUUGUUAGGUACACAUGUUUUAAAUGUUUUUCACCUAACUCCUUUUUCGACGUACAAUCGUCGUAAUAUGUACAUCGAAACAGAGUCGUCGUAAAGUCGUCGCAAAAUUACGACGAAUAUACGACGACUUUACAUUUACUAGCGAAUCUCUCGUUAUCGAUGUAUAAUCGUCGUAAUUCGUCGUAAAUUGUACGUCGAGUUUACGACGAUUUUUUUAUACGACGGUUUUUAAAUUAGACGUAAAAUCGUCGUAAAAUCGUCGCAAAUUUACGACAAUUUCAAAUCCGUCGUAAUGGAUCGUCGAAAAACCAUUGUUUUCUUGUAGUGGAAGUAGAACUAGCUCAAAGCCAAAGCAGCCUCUUAGGUUAUAUUAGAUAAAGAGGCAGCAGGUAAUAAAGAUAUGUGGUGGAGAAACCAGCCAUCAAGUAUGAAUAGGCUAAGAUCUUAUCUUCCAUAUUGUCUACUAGAAGACACGGAAUAAUGUUCAAUUUGUGGGGUUGCCACGUUAUUGUGCGAUGCACAAGUAAUGACCAACCACCAGCCUUGCGCUAUAAAUAUAGGUUGAUGUUAGGCUUAUUUCCACACACUUCACAUUUCACACAUUUCACACAAACAGUACAAAAGGAAGUAAUAGUCAUGGCUAAGUUGGCUUCCUUCAUCGCUCUUCUCUUCGCUGCUCUUGUUCUCUUUUCUGCUUUUGGUGAGUAAUGAUCUUAUCAUAUGCAUGGCAAAACCAAUUGUUUUUAUUUUCAGAUUAACUGGUCAUUAACCAUGAUAUAUAUAUAUAUAUAUAUAUAUAUAAGCACCAGCAAUGGUGAAAGCUCAGAAGUUGUGCGAGAAGCCAAGUGGGACAUGGUCAGGAGUUUGUGGAAACAGUAAUGCUUGCAAGAACCAGUGCAUUAACCUUGAGGGGGCUCGACAUGGAUCUUGCAAUUAUGUCUUCCCAGCUCAUAAAUGUAUCUGCUACGUCCCAUGUUAAUCUACCAAAACAUUGGUGCUUGUGUGUUUAUUACGUUUUCUUGUGUGUUUAUCUACAUUCAAUAUGUCUGUGUCUGCUUGUGUGUUUAUUACGUUUUCUUGUGUUUUUGUCUACAUUCAAUAAGUCUGUGUCACUCUUUGAGUGACCUUAUGACAUGUACCAGACUACCAGUUAUGUAUGUUUAUGUUGUAAUAGUAUAAACUUUCAUGUACUACGUAAUACUGUUUCUAUAUUUUUCUGUAACACGACCACUAUUGGACGUAAGGACAGAGAACUUGAUUUUCUAGUGAUAAAAAUAAGUAAAUUCUGGGGAUUAAGCAAGAUUUAGAGAUUUAAAUCUCAAACGGAACCGUCGAGAAUGUUCUGGACAUGGGUUGAGCAUUACAAAUAGCCUGCAUCGAUGUCCCUAGGUGCAUCAUGCCUCCUUUUAUAUCCACAUUUUCUUUAUCAAUUCUCUCCCUAUAGAUACAUUGAACCAACGAUCCUAGAGGCAGUUUCAUGGCUAACCGCGAGCUAACCGUGAGCUAACCUGGACGGCUGGACCUAGGAGUCUACGACAAGCUGGUCGUCCGAUCCCAAGUAGAAUCAACUUUUGAUCUGCACCUUUUUGGCUCUUCCCAUAUAUAUAGAAUUUUGUGUUAAGUUUCCUGAACUUCCAACUUAAAAACCAAUUGGCGAUAAGUGGAGAGGCCCAAGUCUCUUAUAUAUUAGUGUUAGUCCCUUUAAUUUCCCGAUGUGAGAUUCUAACACGCCCCCUCGAGAUGAUGGCUCUUAUCAGCCCAUCUCGAACCGAAUCUCACUUUAAAACCGAUAAUAAAUCCUUUUUGGGCCACCCUUAUUGGGUCAACAAACGAGGCUCUGAUACCAUGUUAAGUUUCUUGGGCUUCCAACUUAAAAACCAAUUGGCAAUAAAUGAACCAGGCUCAAAUCCCUUAUAUAUUAGUGUUAGUCCCUUUAAUUUUCCGAUAUGGGAUUCUAACAUUUUGUGCAUGGCCCAUACGCUUACCAAUAACAUUGUUCCACGUCCAAUCCUAAACGCCACAAGGGGGAGAAGUGUUGGAGCUACCGCAUAAGGCCCUAAAGUUUAUGUUUUUUCUUAGUGAUUUAAAAGACAAGGUCUUCUUGAGCGACUCAAAGAACGCAACGGACCGAAAAAACAAAUAAAAGGACGAGUUCUUUCAAUGGGGAAAAAGAACCACCUUCCUAAAACCUUGGGACGCCAAAUCUUGAAUAUUCAUGUCGGAUACAAGCAUUAUAUUUGUGUGGACGUUAUCGAGAAUCUUAAAAUAAUGGCGAACAGAGGUAUAUGCGUACAGACAAGAAACGCAACAUUCUUCUCCUUAAUCCAAGAAAUAGGAAAAUUUGGCCACCUAUAGACACCUUAAAUGACAAGAAUAUCGGGAUUAUCACCUUAACGCUUAGUAUGGUAUUUUCCCUAGGAUGAUCAUGUUCAUAAAAAAUAUAAUUACUAAAGUUUCGAUGCUCAUAUUCUAAACAAUAUCAAGUUCCAUUCCACCCUUUUGCAUAUAGUCAAAUAUGACCAAUGCCUUCUCUAGCUUUUCGUUAUCACAAUAUCCAACUAACAAAUUGUGUUGGUCCAACUUAUUGGAAAUCACCCCGAAAAACCAUAAAUAACGAGUCUCUGUGUGAUUUCUAAAGAGAACAUUUAUUUUUUUUUGGACAUCUCUCAGGACAACAUACAUACACAUUAUACACUACGGAACCGAAAAUCUACUUUCGUAUGCUACAUAAUCGUAUAAUUGAGAUAGAGAUUAAUAAUGACGGUCUGAUAUGAGUGGACUAGAGGUUGAGUGUUUUCUUGUUUGUACGAAGCUCAUGUCAUUCUCGAAUGUUCUCUCUGAGACAUAAUAGCCUGGCUUUACAAAAGCUUCAUUUACCUCCACAGUACCUGUCAACAUUCCUACCACUUUUGACAUCAUUGGUCGCAUUUGUUGUAUCUGUUUGUGUGCAUAAGAAGGCCACACAGACUACACGUUUCACUUCUUCCUCGUCAAAUACGGUUAGAUCCGGAUCUACUAGCUCCACAUAACUAUUCUUUUGGUGUAGGCUCCAUGCCUGGAAGAUUAGAUAAAAAAGAGAGACUAAAGCUUCACCAAAUAAGAUUUCCAAAACAUACUAUAGGAUAUAAUACCCAUUCGAGAAGGCAUUUUUGGUCAUCAUCCAAGUCUGGUGAAGAGUUUGGCCUCCCACUGACAAUUUCCAGAGCCACAAUACCAAAGGCAAACACAUCCGUCUUCUCAGUCAAGUGUCCAAGCAUGGCGUACUCUGGUGAAAGAUAUCCACUACAUUGUUACAUCAAACAACGGUAACUAAAAAUAAAGAGUUUUUCAGAAGACAAACUGAUGUAGCGGAAGCUUUUAAAAAAAUAAAAUAAUGAUCCAUUGAUACUGAGAAUACCCAGAAAAAAUGUGAUAAUUGCGAGAUUAUUCGUUUAGUUUGAGAAUACCCAAAUAAAACAAGCUUUCUUAAAUUCAUUGAGAUCUUUGUAGAUCUACCGAAAACAAGGAACAAAGAGACAAAAGCUCAAUUUCAUUAAUUUAUCAAAAAUUGAAUACAACUUAAGCCUAAACGGCUUAUUUAUAAUAAAUCCAAAACACUAGAAAACUCUAAAAUAAUAAAAGGAAUAAUUUAAAUAAAAAAAUAAAAUAUUAAGAUAUUUGAAAUAUUUCUAAAUAUCUCUCUACAUCGUUGAGAUCUCUCUAGAUCUACCGAAAACAAGGAACAAAGAGACAAAAGCCCAAUUUCAUUAAUUAAUCAAAAACAGAAUACAACUUAAGCCUAAACGGCUUAUUUAUAAUAAAUCCAAAACACUAGCGGAAGCUUACUGAUGUAGCGGAAGCUUUAAAAAGAUAUAAUAGUGAUCCGUUGAUUCUGAAAAUACCCGGAAAACUAUGAUAAUCGCGAGAUUAUUCGUUUAGUCUGAGAAUACCCGAAUAAAUCAAGCCUUCUUAAAUUCGUUGAGAUCUCUCUAGAUCUACCGAAAACAAAAAACAAAUAGACAAAAUCUCAAUUUCAUUAAUUAAUCAAAAAAUGAAUACAACUUAAGCCUAAACAGCUUAUUUAUAAUAAAUCCAAAACACUAGAAAACCCUAAAAUAAUAAAAGGAAAUUAUCUAAAUAAAUAAAUAAAAUAUUAAGAUAUUUGAAAUAUUUCCAAAUAUCUCUCUACAUCAUUCUCUCCGACGACAAAAAGAUUCGUCCUUGAAUCUUAGCCGUAAUCUUCAAUUCCAAAAAUUCUGUCUUCUUGAAUUCAGUCACUUCUUUUUUUUUUCUAACCUUCCUCCAAUAAUAUUCUUCAAAUAAAAGAAUAUUAAUUUGUUCCACUUUAAGGAUUUUGCUCGUCCAAUAGUGAUCAACAAGACGCCACUUAAUGAGUUGGACUUUUUUGCUUAUAUGCUCCACGUUAUAUUCUUGAUUUGAAACCCUUAGGCUCUUUUUCUUAACGCCCUCACACACAUCUUUGAUUUUUCUGUUGAUUUUUUGGGAGACAUCGUGGCUUUCUUCCAAUGGAAUUAUCACACUUUGAGGAAAAACGUUAUUAGGACUCACGUUUUUCUUAUCUUUAACAAGGAAUAACACUUCUAUUUUCUUUUUGAAUAAACCUUCUUCAUCAGAAACAUCAAAAAUUGGAUCGCCACAAAUUUCUCUGAGAUCUUCACACAAACCUUCGGAUAUAACAAACGGAUAUGUAUCCGUAAAGUAAUUCAAACCUUCAACUGUCAUGGUGAUGGAAACAGAAUCGAACCUUGAUUGAGAAAUCAAAGUACUGGCUCUGAUACCAAUUGAUGUAGCGGAAGCUUUAAAAAAAGAUAAUAUUGAUCCACUGAUUCUGAGAAUAUCCGGAAAACUAUGAUAAUCGCGAGAUUAUUCGUUUAGACUGAAAAUACCCGAAUAAAUCAAGUCUUCUUAAAUUCAUUGAGAUCUCUCUAGAUCUACCAAAAACAAGGAACAAAGAGACAAAAGCUCAAUUUCAUUAAUUACUCAAAAACUGAAUACAACUUAAGCCUAAACGGCUUAUUUAUAAUAAAUCCAAAAUACUAGAAAACCCUAAAAUAAUAAAAGGAAAUUAUCUAAAUAAAGAAAUAAAUAAUUAAGAUAUUUGGAAUAUUUCCAAAUAUCUCUCUACAUCAUUCGUUGAUUCUGAUGUAGCAGAAGCUUUAAAAAGAUAGAAUAGUGAUCCGUUGAUUCUGAGAAUACUCGGAAAACUAUGAUAAUCGUGAUAUUAUUCGUUUAGUCUGAGAAUACCCGAAUAAAUCAAGCCUUCUUAAACUCGUUGAGAUCUCUCUAGAUCUACUGAAAACAAGAAACAAAGAGAGAAAAGCUCAAUUUCAUUAAUUAAUCAAAAACUGAAUACAACUUAAACCUAAACGGCUUAUUUAUAAUAAAUUAUCUAAAUAAAUAAAUAAAUAAUUAAGAUAUUUGGAAUAUUUUCAAAUAUAUCUCUACAUCACAAACAGAAUCGUUCUGCAAACCAAAAAGAUAUUUACAUGGUUCCAGCUACUCGGUUAGUCAUUUGCGUCUUAUUGUCAUCAUAUAGUUUGGCCAACCCGAAAUCAGAGAUUUUUGGAAUCAGAUCCGAUUCGAGAAGAAUAUUGCUUGCCUUCACAUCCCUAUGCACUAUACGUAGCCUUGACUCUUCAUGCAUAUAUGCUAAACCUUUGGCUAUUCCCAAGCAUAUCCCAAAACGGUCUGACCAACUAAGUUGCAAACUCUUUCCGUCUGCAACAAUUGUCAUGAAAAGUGUAAGUCAAAAGCUGUCAUUUACAGAAACAUAAGAAGAACAUCUUUCAAUAUUUAAGAUGUUCAUGAGCAUACCAAAUCGAGCUAGCUUGAUCUAGACUUUUGUUUGAGAGGUAUUCAUAUACAAGAAAACGCUGAUUGUCCUCAAUGCAACAUCCAUACAGUUUUACAAGGUUACGAUGCUGAACAGCUGAUAUAGUUGCAAUCUCCGCAACAAAUUGAUCCUUGCCUUGCCUGGAAGCAACUGACAAUUGCUUCACAGUCCAUCGUUGAGUUUUCCCUGUAGCACUUGAUAUUUUCAGAAUAUCAUCCAAGGAAAAAUCACAUAAUCUUAUAUAUUACAUAAUUUGUUGUAACGGAUGCAAGAAGAAAACAGUAAACGUAAAGAUCACACACAGAUUUAACGUGGUCAACCAACGAUGCGUUGGCUACAUCCACGGACAAAGGAGACUGAUUUUAUUACGGAGAAAGAAAGUUUUAGAAUACAUCAGAGAUUAGGUUAACAUGGUUAUUUAUAGCAUAAACCCUAGUUAACCCUAAUCACAAUUAGGCUCGCUAACUUAGGCCCAUGUAGGAACCUUCAUUCACAAACAGCGGCCUAAGUGCACACAGACUUCUACAUUGCUCAUGCAGGCUGUAGUCUUCGACAUCAACUUACAUAGCAUGUAGAUCUCAAUAUCAUCUUCAGGAUGCAGAACGCUGCACUCAACUAUUUUCUCAAACAGAUUGUAAGCUUCAACAUACAGCAUGUAAACUUACACAACCAACCUCAAGAUGCAGCAUGUAAGCUUCAACAUGCUGCAAGUAUCCUGCAUACUUGAUCGUGCAGCCUGCAUACUUGAUCUUGCAGCAUGUAUUAUUGAUCGUGCAGAUUGCAUCUGCACGCAUCAACACCAGGAAGCUUCUACGCUUCAGGAUUCAAGGCAUACCAACAAAUCUCCACCUUGACUUGAAUCCUCCAGAAAGCUUUUACGCAUUAGGAUUCAAGGCAUAUCAACAAAUCUCCACUUGACUUGAAUCCUCUAGAAAUCUUCUACGUAUAAGGAUUCAAGGCAUGCCAACAAAUCUCCACCUUGACUUGAAUCCUCCAGACAGAUGUAUCAGAUGCACCACCAUGGUUACCAGAUAUACCGGACUUCUCCUUUGCCUCAGAUUGUACGACAUGUACCAGAUGCACCAUCAUGGUGCCAGAUAUAUUGGACUUCUCUAAUGCCUCAGAAUGUAUGACAUGUACCCUCACGGUGCCAAAUGUACCAGACGUUUUUCAUAUCAGACAUACCAAAUGCAUUCUCAUAGUGCCUGACGUACUCAGAGAACAAGAUGUUCCUACAGACCAGACCAUAUGUCUUUUGGAACCAGAUACUCCAUAACGGACUCAGAUACGCUCUGCAAAACAGGACUCCCUUCACUGGGCUCAGUUAUCUGCUUCAUGCAGAAUCAGACGCCUACACCGGGUUCAAAUGCUUCAUGCGGAAUCAGACACCCUUCACCGGGAUCAAAUACUCCUUGCAAAACUAGACGCCCUUCAUAGAGCUCAGAUGCUUCAUGCGAAAUCAGACAUCCUUCAUGGAGAUCAGAUAUCCCUGCUGAACCAGAUUAUCUUCACAGAGCUAAGAUGUUUCAUCAGACACCUUUCACCAGGUUCAGAUGCUCAUUGCGGACCCAGACACUCCUCACUGAGUUCAGAUGCUAAUUUCGGACGCAGACACUCCUCACUGAGUUCAGAUGCUUUAUGCAGAAUCAGACGCUCUUCAACGAACUCGGAUGCUUCAUACAGAAUCAAACGUUCUUCUUUGGAGAUCACAUACUCCCUGCAAAACCAGAUGCUCUUCAUAAAGCUCAGAUACUCAGACUUCAUGCAGAAUCAGACGCCCAUCUCUGGGCUCAGAUGUUCACUGCAGAACCAGACGCUCCUCACUGAGUUCAGAUGCUUUAUGCAGAAUCAGAUGCUCUUCACUGAGCUCAGAUGCUUCAUACGGAAUCAAACGUUUUUCUUUGGAGAUCACAUACUCACUGCAGAACCAGAUGCUCUUCAUAGAGCUCAGAUACUUAGACUUCAUGCAGAAUCAGACGCCCUUCGGCUAACUCGGAUGCUCAUGAGAAGCCAGACAGACACCCUUCACAGGCUCAGAUUUUCGCAGAGCCAAACGUUCUUCAGCAGACUCAGAUGCUCCCCACAGAGCCAGACGCCCUCCCAAUGGGCUCAGAUGCUUUCUGCGUAGCUAGACCCUUUUUAAACAAACUCAGAUGCUACUGUGGAGCCAGACGCCCCACACUGGGCUCAGAUUCUCCAUGCUGAGCCAGACGCCCUUCUACAGGCUCAGAUGCUCCAUGCGGAGCCAAACGUCCUUCACGGGGCUCAGAUGCUCCCUGUGGAGCUAGACGCCCUUCAAUGGGCUCAGAUGCUCUUUGCAGAUCCAGACGCCCUCUUAACGGGCUCAGAUGCUCGAUGUAGAGCCAAACGCCCUUCACUGGGCUCAGGUGCUCCUUGUAGAGCCUGACGCCCUUCACAGGUUCGGAUUCCCCAUAGACCGACAGCAGUUGUUUCGUUAGAAACCUCGAUGAUGACAUCAUCUGCAAGACAGAGCAAAAUCAUUGAGUGUGCCUUCUCCUUCAGACUUGCCAUCGCAGCAGCGUCGCCCUUGUUGUCUUUCAACAGCGCCGCCCACAAGCCUUGUUGCUUUAACAACGCUUGCACCUUGAUCUGCCAGAGACUGAAAAUGUUCCUCCCCGUGAACUUGUUGAUACUCACGUUUAACCCAGACAUCUUCUUGCCAGACACAGAAACUCACAGAACCUGGAGCUCUGAUACCAGUUUGUUGUAAUAGAUGCAAGAAGAAAACAGUAAACGUAAAAAUCACACACAGAUUUAACGUGGUUCACCAACGAUGCGCCGGCUACAUCCACGGACAAAGGAGACUGAUUUUAUCACAGAAACAGAAAGUUUCAUAAUACAUCAGAGAUUAGGUUAACGUGGUUAUUUAUAGCAUAAACCCUAGUUAACCCUAAUCGCAAUUGGGCUCGCUCACUUAGGUCCAUGUAGGAACCUUCAUGCACAAACAGCGGCCCAAUAGCACACAGAUUUCUACAUUGCUCAUGCAGGAUAUAGUCUUCGACAUCAACUUACAUAGCAUGUAGAUCUCAACAUCAGCUUCAGGAUGCAGAACGUUGCACUCAACUAUUUGCUUAAACAGAUUGUAAGCUUCAACAUACAGCGUUUAAACUUACACAACCAACCUCAAGACGCAGCAUGUAAGAUUCAACAUACUGCAAGUAUCCUGCAUACUUGAUCGUGCAGCCUGCAUAUUUGAUUGCAUCUGCACGCAUCAACGCCAAGAAGCUUCUACGCUUCAGGAUUCAAGGCAUACCAACAAAUCUCCACCUUGACUUGAAUCCUCCAGGAAGCUUCUACGCAUUAGGAUUCAAGGCAUAUCAACAUAAUUUACAUUACGUUACCUGUUCAGUAUUACCUCAUAAACAGGUCCAAACCCUCCCUCUCCAAGCUUGUUUGAAGGAUCAAAAUCUUUCGUUGCAGUUUUGAGCUCAGAGUAGCUAAAUGUGUAGGGCUUUACGUCCAAACUAAGUAGCACUGGAAAAGAGAGUAUCAGUUUGAAAGUUACAAUGGCCCAGUAGACUUCACCAAUAUUGCCGCAGCUUUUACCUUCUUCGUUCGCAGCUCUUUUUCUUUUCUUACGGACGAUUAUAAUGAUAGCAAACACUAAGGUACUUAUCAUCCCUGCUCCUACAAUGGCCCCCACAAUAACACCAAUUUUUUUCUCGUUCUUGGAUGGCAACUUGUUACCUACCGUAGGUUGGAAAUCUGCAGAGAAAAAAUGCGAGGCGUGAGAACUGACAUUGAACUGCGACGAUCAUAAAAGUCACAGGUUCUACCUAGAGUUGCACUGAUUGCUGAGACUAACAGCCCAUAAGCCCCUGCAAAAGGAACACAACAUGUCCCUUUUUCAGCCCAGAAAAGAUGUAUUUCUAGAUGAUUUUCAGAUACAAUUGCCUUAUAUACUCUUUGAACUACUCGAAAAUCAGAAUGGUUAGCUGCUGUACGUAUAUCAAAAUCCUUUUCAACAAGUUUUCCCUGAUAACAAAAGAAACUCAGAGGUCAGACAUCAUAAAUAAAAGAAGAGAAGUUUGUAAUGAGUGUAGUCUGAGAAUGUUGAAUGUUAAGCAUUCAAUUGAACAAACCAAUAUUGCACAUUGCACUAUACAUCACAAUUAAGCAUAUACUUUCAUUUGUUUUUACUUGAUAACAGACACUGAUAAUUUUUAAUCUCACAAAAAAGUAGAGACCUGUAAGAACUAAGAAUAUGGUCGGUAGGUAAAUGUAAUAGAAGAGACCUGGACAUAUAUGUCGAAAACUCUUUUAUUAAGACUUCUCCAGGUAUUAGAACCUUGUAUUUUUGUUUCAAAAAAUUGAACUGUUACAUUGCAGCCACCAUUUUCGAGCCCCAGUCCAUAAUACCUCAGAGAAGAUGCAGACAGUCUCGCUGACUCGAAAGAUUGUUUACAAAUUGUAUAUUUGAUGAAAGAGCUAUGUACUGAUUACUGUUACUCCCAGUAAACAGUCCUACAUUGCUGACUGCCCAUCUCUUCGUUUUACUUACAAAAAAUGAAGCUGGUCCAAGCGCCUCCUCAUCCCUCUCAUAUAACGUUCCAUUGGAAGACCUGACUUCUGGGUCUCCACAAUUGACAGAAAAGUUGAAAUCUGGAAACCAAUAACAAGAGAAGCAUUUUGAGAACAUACUGACCAAGAUAUGCAUUCCUAACAUUGUCUAUUCAUUUGCCCAUAAAACUUAGAAGUAGAGUUAAAAUGUAAUAAGUUUCAGAGCACUAUUUUUUUUUGCGCUUACAUAUUCCUUUGCCUCGAUUGCAAUGGAAAUUCUUCUGGAGGCAGUCUAUAUUGAGGAGUAGGAUGUAAAUAUCAUAAAGUAUAUUCUCAUAUAUUGCAUUAUGUAAUCUUUCCUUUCUUCUUAGGUUAAGUUCACGAUGUGUACAUGUAUAUAUACCCUUUGAAUGGAAUAAGAACGACACAACAUUCCAUCAUCUCUUUGUCAUGGUAUCAGAGCGAUCCUUGACCUAAUAAGAGAAAAACACAGUUAAAACUUUGAGAGAGGAGAGAGUUAGCGAUGGGUGGUAAUAAAAACACCGAGAAAAGCGCGGAAGGCGCGACGAAAGUGACCGACGACGGCAACGCGUCGGCAGUGAUGGAGAAGGCGAUGUUGUCGCCUUUCUAUUUGCACCCAUCCGAUGGACCAGGGAGCUUAAUCACAACAGUUAAAUUGAGAGGAGAGAACUAUGAAGAUUGGGCCAAGCACGUGCGGAAUGCCUUGCGAACUAAACGCAAAUUGGGAUUCAUCGACGGGACGAUGAAGAAGCCAGAAACUGCAGAAGAGCUUGAGCAAUGGGGAGUUGUGAACUCAAUGAUUGUGGCAUGGAUCAUGAACACAAUUGAGCCGACGCUGAAGACAUAUGUGUCGAUGGUUGAUGAAGCUUACGAGCUGUGGGAAGACUUGAAGUUGCAGUUUUCGGUGGGGAAUGGACCACGGAUCAGUGAACUACAUGGUGAGAUUGCAAAUUGUCGACAGAAUGGAGACACAGUUAAUGUGUACUUUGGGAAACUUAAGAAGAUGUGGGAUGAAUUGGCUGUUUACAAACCAAUAAGGACGUGUAGCUGUGGUGAAUUGACGAAGAUAUUGGAAGAUGAUCGUAAUGAAGAACGAACAAACACGUUCUUAAACGGUUUAGAUACUGCGGGAUUUGGGACCGUACGCUCGACUAUUACCAGCAUCGAGCCACUUCCUAAACUCAACCAAGUCUAUCAACGGGUGAUUAGAGAGGAGAGACAGCAGAUGAUGUUGAGGAACAGAGAUACUCCGGAAGCAGUCGGGUUCGCGGUAAAUGCUGGGAACAAAUUUGGUGCAACUUCGUCACAUCCACAACGUGAGAAGGAGAUGACGUGCACAUAUUGUGGCAAAUAUGGGCACCCGAAAUCUGAUUGCUUUCAACUUAAUGGGUAUCCUGACCAUUGGGGUGAAAGAGGAAGAUAUUACAAUGACCGAGGGAGAGGAAGGUCAGGCCGUGGUGGACGAUUUGGUAGAGGUGGUGGAGCAGCUGGCCGCGGAGGUGGAAGAGGACCGACGGUCAGAUCGAAUGCAGCACAAGGGCCACAGGUAACUGCAGCAGCAGUAGCAGCGGCUAAUGCAACACGAAGAGAAGGUGACUUUGAUCGCCAGUCCUUACCACAACUAAGUGAUGAACAAUGGACGUCACUUCUUAGCUUCAUCUCUUCUCAGAGAACGGAUCCAAAUGAAAAACUCAAUGGUAAGACAGAAUGUGGAGAGUUUAUUAUUGACACAGGUGCUUCACAUCACAUGACAUGGAAUCUUGAAUAUCUAUGUAAUGUGAGUGAAAUUCCUUCGUGUAUGAUUGGGUUACCUGAUGGUGAUAAUGCGGUGGCGACGAAACAAGGCGAUCUAUGUUUAGGGGGAGACAUGUGGUUAAGAGGAGUGUUGUACUCGAAGGAGUUGACUUGCUCACUAAUCUCUGUUGCAAAACUGUUAAAAGUUUGUAAGGGAUUUAUUACGUUUACUGAUGAGCUGUGUGUGUUGCAGGAACGUACUACGAGGAAGGUGAUUGGAGCGGGUGAAGAGUGUGGGGGAGUGUAUGUGUUUCGAGGCGUCAUUGGCACAAAGACACACAAAGUGGUGAGCUCGGAGACUUGGGAUUUAUGGCAUCGUCGUCUCGGUCAUCUAUCUAGUCAAGUUAUUUUGUUUUUAUCGAGUAGUCUGAAUUUUGAGAAAAAGGAGAAUGUCAAAACAGUUUGUGAUAUUUGUUUACGGGCGAAACAAACUCGAGAUUCUUUUCAUGAAAGUUCUAAUAAAACUGCUGGUAUUUUUGAUUUAAUUUAUUGCGAUAUUUGGGGUGCGUAUCGUAUUUUAUACCCAGCUGCUUACUUUCUUACGAUUGUUGAUGAUUAUUCACGUGCUGUGUGGGUGUAUUUGUUGAUGGAGAAAAAAGAAGUAGGCACAACACUUAAGAAUUUUUUCAGGAUGGUCGAGAGGCAGUUUGAUAAGAAAGUGAAAAUUGUACGCAGUGAUAAUGGUGGCGAAUUUCUGGCUCUAAAAUCGUUUUUCUUAUCAGAAGGAGUUGUUCAUCAAACGUCGUGUGUCUACACGUCACAGCAGAAUGGCAGGGUUGAACGAAAACACAGACAUAUCCUCAAUGUCGCUCGUUCACUCAUGUUUCAAGCAGGGAUGCCGAUUCGUUUUUGGGGAGAAUGUGUACUCACGGCGUGUCACUUGAUUAACCGAACACCAUCGGCUCUUCUUAAAGGACUAACGCCAUAUGAGAUAUUGUAUGGAGCUUCGCCAGAUUUAACCUCAUUAAGGGUGUUUGGUAGCUUGUGUUUCGCGAGGAGAGUGGUCCGAGACAAAGACAAAUUUGGCAAGAGGAGUAGGAAAUGCAUAUUUAUGGGUUACCCCUUCGGACAAAAAGGAUGGCGAGUAUUUGAUAUUGAGAAGAAUGAAUUUUUCGUAUCCAGGGAUGUGGUCUUUCAAGAGAUGAUUUUUCCAUUUCUCUCUUCUGAUCACUAGUCCCAACCCGUUACAGUUAUGGAAUCGAAUCCUAUUAUUGACGAUGAUGAGGAUUUUGUUGAAUAUACUCGAAAUCAGUCUGCAGCAAGGGGGAGUUCAUUGAUGCCUGCAGAUAGGGGGAGUUCACCCACGCCUGAGGUGACUCCUCAGGGUGAUAGCAGCUUGUCGCAGGGAGAGAUGGUUGGUUCAGAGGAAGAAAUUGCUCCUGCAGCAGAACCUCAAUUGGGCAGGGGUCAACGAGAACGGCGACCAUCUUCUAGACUAAAUGACUUUGUCGUGUAUACGACAAGGUGCAACACAGAUACUCCCACACUCUCACCCGCGCACCCUCCAUCAUCAUCCUCUCCACAAGGUAUGGUCCAAUAUCCAAUUGCACAUUAAGUGAAUUGUGAUAAUUUUUCUCCAUCGCACCGAGCAUUUCUUGCAGCGAUUACGGUAGGUGAGGCACCAACAUCAUUUAAAGAAGCAAUGAAAGAUAAGAGGUGGAGGAAUGCUGCAACAAUGGAGGUUAAAGCAUUGGAAGCUAAUCACACUUGGGACGUUACAGACCUUCCCCCAAAUAAGAAAGCAAUCGGAUGUCGAUGGGUUUUUACGAUCAAGUAUCGAUCAAAUGGAGAAGUGGAGCGUUAUAAAGCGAGACUGGUGGCUUAUGGUAAUCGACAGGAAUAAGGGCUAGACUAUGAUGAGACAUUUGCUCCAGUGGUAAAGAUGACUACGGUUCGGAUGUUUUUAAAAGUGGCUGCGGUUAAGGAAUGGGAAGUUCACCAGAUGGACGUACACAAUGCCUUUCUUCAUGGUGAUCUUCAUGAAGAAGUUUAUAUGAAGAUGCCUCCAGGGUUUGAAUCCAAGGACAAGUCGAAGGUGUGUAGACUUAGAAAGUCUUUAUAUGGACUUCGACAGGCGCCGAGAUGCUGGUUUUCUAAACUGACGGCGGCUUUACGAGGUUAUGGUUUUACUCAGAAAAAACCAGACUAUUCCCUGAUUACAUUGGUGCGAGGGUCUACGCGAUUAUAUGUGCUGAUUUAUGUGGAUGAUUUGUUGAUCGGAGGUAAUGAUCCAGAGGCUAUCAAGAAAUUCAAAGGUUAUCUCAACCAAUGCUUUCACAUGAAAGACUUGGGUCCAUUGAAAUAUUUUUUAGGUAUUGAGGUAGCGAGAUCAGCUGAAGGGAUUUAUUUGUCGCAGCGAAAAUAUGCGUUAGACAUUGUCAAGGAAUGCGGUUUGUUGGGCUGUAAACCUGUGUCUACACCAAUGGAACAAAACCAUACAUUUGCUAAAGAUGACGGUGAAUACCGCAGUGAUCCCGAACAGUAUCGUAGGUUGGUUGGGCGUUUGGUGUAUCUUACUUAUACGAGACCGGAAUUAGCUUAUGCUGUGCAUAUGCUUGCUCAGUUUAUGCAGCAGCCUCGAUCGAAACAUUGGGAUGCAGCGAUCAGAGUUGUGCAUUACCUAAAGGGCUGUCCAGGACAAGGAAUUUUGUUGAGUUCGAAAUCUGAUUUGCAAAUUACGGCAUAUUGCGAUUCCGACUGGGCUACAUGUCCGAUGACUCGAAGAUCUCUUACGGGGUUUAUCGUGAUGUUGGGCAAUUCACCCGUAGCUUGGAAGACGAAGAAACAAGAAGUUGUAUCAUGUUCUUCGACAGAGGUAGUGUAUAGGGCAAUGAGCUUUACUACACGGGAAUUGAAAUGGAAUCGAGAAAUUCUUUCAUGUUUUGGAGUAUCUCAUUCACAGCCAAUGCACCUUCACUGUGAUAGUAAAGCUGCAUUGCAGAUUGCUGCAAAUCCCGUCUUUCACGAACGAACGAAACAUAUGGAAGGUGAUUGUCAUUUUGUCAGAGACGAGAUUCAGAUUGGAUCACUCACUACGGCACACAUUCGUACAAAUGAACAGUUAGCCAAUAUCUUUACAAAGGCGUUGGGUUCAAAACAGUUCACGUAUCUUCGCAGCAAGUUGGGCAUUAAAGACCUACAUGCUCCAACUUAGGGGGAUUAUUGAGGAGUAGGAUGUAAAUAUCAUAAAGUAUAUUCUCAUAUAUUGCAUUAUGUAAUCUUUCCUUUCUUCUUAUGUGUACAUGUAUAUAUACCCUUUGAAUGGAAUAAGAACGACACAACAUUCCAUCAUCUCUUUGUCAGUCUAGUCCCCGGGAAAAUUCUUUUAACAAGACCAAAAGGUACAUAAUGAGGAAUAUAGCAUGUACAUAUACAUAUUUAUGCUUGAUAAAUAGAAACAUAGUAGAACUUCAAGAAGGAGAACACAAAAUUCACGGAUUUACCUUCUGUUAGAAGCUCCCAAUGUAAAGUGGUUGGCAAUCAGGUUACUGCAUAAAAAAACACAAAAACUUGUUUUCAGCACAAUAAUGUAUAUUCGGACUAAUUUGAGCACACAAUCCCUAACUUACAGUUGCAGGUUUGGUAGGCUAGCCCAAGAAGGAAGACUCCCCGCUAAAUCAUUGUACGAGACAUCUCUACACAUAAGCACGCUGAAUUAUCUUGACAGGUUUUCAAUAAAUGGUACCUAAAAAGAACCUGCACUCCCUGACCAUAUAUAUCUUACUCACAUAUUGCUUAGAGAAGAACUCUUUUGAGUGGGUAAAGAACCGUUCAACUAGUUAUUAUCAAGAAACCUAAAAAAGUUUACAAUAUUAAACUCAGUAAGUCCGUGAAUUCUCAAUAAAAGUUAAUUAUGAGGAAAAGAAAACUACACUUACAAGUGAGUAAGUUGGCUAGAGUUAAAAAGAGAAGCUGGAAUUUGCCCAAUUAGGUUGUCGAAACUCAAAUCACUGGAGAACAAAUAAUGUAGAUUGUUUUGUAAUCAUAUGUAGUCUGUGCUUUAAGCAUGUCAUCUCAUUUUAGUAACAAAGAAGACAUGGACAGUUUUCGGAGCAUCUAAAUAUCCAGAACAACAUUUUUGUCAUCUUGUCCCAUACUUACAGUUGUCUCAGAUGCACAAAUUCUCCAAUAUUGGAAGGUAUGGUGUCCCUAAGAUUAUUGUUCCUUAAUACUCUGCAAGAUGUUUCAUAAAUGUAAAGAAAAUAAAGAGGAUCCAUCAAGGCUAGGAAAAAAACUGAAUAGAAGUGCCUUACAAGACACUGAGAGAUUUCAUGUCCCGGAUGAAUUCGAGAGUGGAGUUACCAUUAGAUAUAUCACCUAGUCUCCUGUAUUUCGGGUUGUGGUAAAAAUCCAGAACAAGAGAAUGAAAAAAUAAAGAGAAAAGAGCAUAUAUUUAACACUUACAAUUCUGUCAAAUAAGUUAAGCUGGCAAAUGACGAUGGAACUGGACCAGUCAAAUUAGUCUAUAGAAUUCUCCUGCAGUGAAGCUUGUGUCAAAAUGUUGAGUAUGAGCUUAUGGCCAUUAACAUAUAAAAUGAUCACUAUCAAGUGUGUGUUGAUUGUUUACAGUAAUACUACAUGUGGAGAUUUGGUCAAGAGAAAGAAGAGUGAAAACAGAACAACAAAAGAGCUGCAAUAUUAAAUUUCUUACAGUGCCGAAAGAUUGGUCCACUUUCCUAUAAAUUCCGGUAUCCGACAUGUGAGUUGGACAUCAUUCGUCCAACUUACACAACAUAAAAAAAAACUAAUAAAAAGUCAAUCCAAUUAUGAGUUAUACUUCAGUAUAGAAAUGAGUAGCCAAAACUCGAAAAUAAUCCAGAACAUAUUAUAUUAAGAUAAUUCUUACGCCUCUUCUAAUUCCACGAGAUUAGCAAAUGAUGAAGGGAUCUCACCGGUAAGUCCUGAACUUGCAAUGUAACUGUCAUAAACAUGAGUCUCAUCAAUCCUACUACAUCUCGGAAGCAGUGCUGUGCUUAGACUCAUAGAGGCUUUAGGCAAAUCGGAAAAAUGUGACUUUUAUUUUUAUAAAUAUUAAAAAAUAAUAUUGUCAUUAAACACACAAUAAUACUAUUUUAACAUAUUUUUUUAUUUUUUUAUCAUAUCAUGCAUUAUUAUAAUAUUUGUUAAAAAAAUAUGGAUCCAUAUCUAUAAAAUUGAAAGAUACCAAUAACAAUACUAUUGUUAUAGGGUUUCAAAGGAAUAUCCUAACCAUAUUUACCAAAUUAUAUAUAAAAAAAUUUAGCUAAAAAAAUUGUGGCCUUUUUAUUUUUUUUUAAUUUUGGUAUCCUUAGGCAAGUGCUUAAUUUUUAACACUAUAAACACGGCUCUGCUCGGAAGCACUCAAGGGAAUCCAAACGUUAAAUAUCGUGAAAAAUGGAAAGCAAGAGUCUGAUGAACGAAUAAUCAGUCAGGUGACUCCCCUAUCUUAACUUCACAUGACGAAUCCUCUAUCCAUUUGAACAAACCAGUGAACCAAACACUCUUAGCCUUACAAUAUGGUUAUAAAAUUCUUUUACAAAAUGUUCAAAGAGGAAGAAGGCAGACACAAACCUUCUUCGGGAUGAGUAGUUUGGUUUUGGGCUUGAACCAUUUGAACCGUUCCAGAAUUACACACGAACCAUACCGUCAAAACAGACAUAGAGAGAGCCGUAGCCUCAGCAUCGUCGUCGACCAAAACAAAACAACGGUGGUGAUGACGAUGUGAGAAAGCUCUGUCAAAUUCAGACCGUCUUUCGUUCAAAAACUUAAGUCACGUUGACUAUAUUAUGGUGAUUUAUUUGAUUACAGAUUAUCUAUUAUAUAAAGAGUGAGUUGUGUCUCGCAAAUGUGACACAUCAUCACCUCUUCUUUUGACACAUCAGCUUUGAAAAAUAAAUAAAAUAUUUAGCAGGAGAAAAAAUUGACGGUGGUGAGAGAUUAAUCAGAACUUCUCCUCCCAACAAUCUCGAAAUUUGAAUAGGCGCAAGCUUUCUUUUAUCAGCCCCAUUAAAUCUCAUCUAUAUUUUACAUGUUUGCAAGUGCUUUCAAAUUACGACUGAUGAAUUGGCUUAAAGAAUCUUCGAAAUCCCUCUACUUCCUCCUAAACCCAAAAUAAAUGCAUCAUCCCUCAUGGCAGAUCGAUUCUUUUUCUGAUAGAUUGGUCGGCGAUGUCUGUGGUGGUGGGUAAUAAAGCUGGAGAGAGGCUGAGAAUGAAAGGAGCUGAAGGAGAAAAAGAAGAAUAGAGGAGGAAGGAGGUUGCAAGGAAGAAAGACGAAAAGUAUAUAUAGCUAAAAUGAUUCAGACUCUUCAUAUGUAUUUAACUUGUUUCUAAGACGUUGUUUAGAUUAACGAGUAUGACUCUCAUUCUCAUAUUCUCCCAUGAUUUUUACUUAUGUUCUCUUACUACUCUGUUUCUUUCUAUGGAUAAGAUUUUAAGAUACUACUCUUACCCUGUAGAUCUCCUACAAGUACCAGAUUCUAGGAAGGCAAUUGUUUAAAUAUAAGUUUAAAGGCUUAUAAGAAGAUAGACUAUGAUGAGAACAAGAACAACUCCUGUAUCUUAAAAUAUUACUAUUGAGCUCCUUAGAGACGUUUUAUCAUGAAAUAGGGGAGCUGUGUAUUGUUCCAUCUUCACUGUUAUAGUGGAGGGUGUUUGUUUUGUCGCUGAAACUUCACCAUCAGCUCCCUUUCUUCCUCCUCCAUAUCAUGAAAGACCAACUUAGUCUUGGGUUGAUACCUAGCUUACUUCAUCUUCCCUUCAAGUUUCUCUAGGUUCUCAUAUAUUAUUUUUGCAUGUGGAUGUGACUGAUCACAUGAAGUAAAGACAUGAAACGUUUCAAUGAUUUUUAUUCAAGUAUGUUCAGAAGCUUUGACUAGAAGAAGAUUUGAAAAUAUUUUUUAUCCUUGCUGAUAGGCUAACAUGUUUAGAGAAUAUUUCUCUUUAAGGUUUCUUAGGAGGAUAAAAGAUAGAGGGCGUGAACCAGAGACGUGAUUCAAAAUGGUAUCCAUGGAUCCAAGCAUAAGCAAAGCCCUCUUUGUCGCUUGAGAAGCAAAGCCCUCUUUGUCACUUGAGAAGCAAAGCACUUGUCAAGGAGCUCUCUUUGUGGUUCUUAAACUCUGAUGUCAAAGUUAAAAAUGCAAGAUGGGAACAAAUUAAGAGUAUUUAACCAUGUUCUAUGUUAUAUCAUUUUAUGUGCAUGAAAUGGAGCUUGUAGCUUGGUUUAUCUUCAUCAGGUCUUGGAGCUGGGAAUAUUAGUUCUCACAGCAGAAAGCCACGAGAGCAGCAUAAGUCAAAUCCAAUGAUGAAAAUGGAGAAAGACAUAUUUGGCUACACGUGAUGCAAAAUAUAAUCUCUGAGGUAUAAAAUACCAAAGGCCGCCAUGCUAUAUUCAUUUACUAACUUAUCUAACUUCAGUGGAGAUUGUGAAGGUCUUUGCCAAUAAGAAUAGAAAAAUUGCAUAGAAGUUUAUCCAUUUAUUUAAAGAAUAUGUCUAUUAGGUUCCUAAUAAUAAUAUUUAGUAUUUGCUAGAUUAUCAUAUCUAGAUUUGUUAUGAUGUUCCACGAUUAAUUGAAGAAAUUAAUGGUUUUUAGUAGAGGAAGUGUUUGAUAAAAUUUCAUGAAAACAAAAGAAAAAGUCAAUUAAAAAAAACUAACCAAAACAAAAUCACUUUAAGAAAACAAAUAAACAAUUAAUAAUCUCACUCAACAUGUAUAUGGCCAUCAAAAAAACAAAAAAUCUAAACUAAACUUAAAUUUUAAGCAAUAAAUAAUAUAUUAAAAAUAAAACCCACGCAUGUGCGUGGGUAUUCAUCUUGUUUAUGUUGAUUGAACACACUCCUCAUUUCAUUUGUGACCACGCCGAGUGGAGCUUGACUUAUAUUGUACGUUUGCUCUUUCAAGAUUUUUCAAAAAUGGCGGUUGUGCUUUCAUCACCAUUCACCACCGUGGACCUUGUCACCAAAGACAUGGACAGUUUUCGGGAUAUAAUACCCAUUCGAGAAGGCAUUUUUGGUCAUCAUCCAAGUCUGGUGAAGAGUUUGGCCUCCCACUGACAAUUUCCAGAGCCACAAUACCAAAGGCAAACACAUCCGUCUUCUCAGUCAAGUGUCCAAGCAUGGCGUACUCUGGUGAAAGAUAUCCACUACAUUGUUACAUCAAACAACGGUAACUAAAAAUAAAGAGUUUUUCAGAAGACAAACUGAUGUAGCGGAAGCUUUUAAAAAAAUAAAAUAAUGAUCCGUUGAUACUGAGAAUACCCGGAAAACUGUGAUAAUUGCGAGAUUAUUCGUUUAGUCUGAGAAUACCCGAAUAAAACAAGCUUUCUUAAAUUCGUUGAGAUCUUUCUAGAUCUACCGAAAACAAGGAACAAAGAGACAAAAGCUCAAUUUCAUUAGUUAAUCAAAAACUGAAUACAACUUAAACCUAAACGGCUUAUUUAUAAUAAAUCUAAAACACUAGAAAACCCUAAAAUAAUAAAAUGAAAUUAUCUAAAUAAAUAAAUAAAAAAUUAAGAUAUUUAGAAUAUUUCUAAAUAUCUCUCUACAUCGUUGAGAUCUCUCUAGAUCUACCGAAAACAAGGAACAAAGAGACAAAAGCUCAAUUUCAUUAAUUAAUCAAAAACAGAAUACAAUUUAAGCUUAAACGGCUUAUUUAUAAUAAAUCCAAAACACUAGCGGAAGCUUACUGAUGUAGCGGAAGCUUUAAAAAGAUAGAAUAGUGAUCCGUUGAUUCUGAGAAUACCCGGAAAACUAUGAUAAUCGCAAGAUUAUUUGUUUAGUCUGAGAAUACCCGAAUAAAUCAAGCCUUCUUAAAUUCGUUAAUAUCUCUCUAGAUCUACCGUAAACAAGAAACAAAUAGCAAAAGCUCAAUUUCAUUAAUUAAGCAAAAAAUGAAUAGAACUUAAGCUUUAACGGCUUAUAUAUAAUAAAUCCAAAACACUAGGAAACCCUAAAAUAGUAAAAGGAAAUUAUCUAAAUAAAUAAAUAAAAUAUUAAGAUAUUUGGAAUAUUUCCAAAUAUCUCUCUACAUCAUUCUUUCCGACGACGAAAAGAUUCGUCCUUGAAUCUUAGCCGUGAUCUUCAAUUCCAAAAAUUCUGUCUUAUUGAAUUCAGUAACUUCUUUUUUUUUUCUAACCUUCCUCCAAUAAUAUUCUUCAAAUAAAAGAAUAUUAAUUUGUUCCACUUCAAGGAUUUUGCUCGUCCAAUAGUGAUCAACAAGACGCCACUUAAUGAGUUGGACUUUUUUGCUUAUAUGCUCCACGUUAUAUUCUUGAUUUGAAACCCUUAUGCUCUUUUUCUUAACGCUCUCACACACAUCUUUUUUUCUGUUGUUUUUUUGGGAGACAUCGUGGCUUUCUUCCAAUGGAAUUAUCACACUUUGAGGAAAAACGUUAUUAGGACUCACGUUUUUCUUAUCUUUAACAAGGAAUAACACUUCUAUCUUCUUUUUGAAUAAACCUUCUUCAUCAUAAACAUCAAAAAUUGGAUCGCCACAAAUUUCUCUGAGAUCUUCACACAAACCUUCGGAUAUAACAAACAGAUAUGUAUCCGUAAAGUAAUUCAAACCUUCAACUGUCAUGGUGAUGGAAACAGAAUCGAACCUUGAUUAAGAAAUCAAAGUACUGGCUCUGAUACCAACUGAUGUAGCGGAAGUUUUAAAAAAAGAGAAUAAUGAUUCAUUGAUUCUGAGAAUACCCGGAAAACUAUGAUAAUCGCGAGAUUAUUCGUUUAGACUGAGAAGACCCGAAUAAAUCAAGCCUUCUUAAAUUCAUUGAGAUCUCUCUAGAUCUACCAAAAACAAGGAACAAAAAGACAAAAGCUCAAUUUCAUUAAUUAAUCAAAAACUGAAUACAACUUAAGCCUAAACGGCUUAUUUAUAAUAAAUCGAAAAUACUAGAAAACCUUAAAAUAAUAAAAGGAAAUUAUCUAAAUAAAGAAAUAAAUAAUUAAGAUAUUUGGAAUAUUUUCAAAUAUCUCUCUACAUCAUUCGUUGAUUCUGAUGUAGCAGAAGCUUUAAAAAGAUAUAAUAGUGAUCCGUUGAUUCUGAGAAUACUCGGAAAACUAUGAUAAUCGUGAUAUUAUUCGUUUAGUCUGAGAAUACCCGAAUAAAUCAAGCCUUCUUAAACUCGUUGAGAUCUCUCUAGAUCUACCGAAAACAAGGAACAAAGAGACAAAAGCUCAAUUUCAUUAAUUAAUCAAAAACUGAAUACAACUUAAACCUAAACGGCUUAUUUAUAAUAAAUUAUCUAAAUAAAUAAAUAAAUAAUUAAGAUAUUUGGAAUAUUUUCAAAUAUAUCUCUACAUCACAAACAAAAUUGUUCUGCAAAUUAAAAAGAUAUUUACAUGGUUCCUGCUACUCGGCUAGUCAUUUGCGUCUUAUUGUCAUCAUAUAGUUUGGCCAACCCGAAAUCAGAGAUUUUUGGAAUCAGAUCCGAUUCGAGAAGAAUAUUGCUUGCCUUCACAUCCCUAUGCACUAUACGUAGCCUUGACUCUUCAUGCAUAUAUGCUAAACCUUUGGCUAUUCCCAAGCAUAUCCCAAAACGGUCUGACCAACUAAGUUGCAAACUCUUUCCGUCUGCGACAAUUGUCAUGAAAAGUGUAAGUCAAAAGCUGUCAUUUACAUAAACAUAAGAAGAACAUCUUUCAAUAUUUAAGAUGUUCAUGAGCAUACCAAAUCGAGCUAGCUUGAUCUAGACUUUUGUUUGAGAGGUAUUCAUAUACAAGCAAACGCUGAUUGUCCUCAAUGCAACAUCCAUACAGUUUUACAAGGUUACGCUGCUGAACAGCUGAUAUAGUUGUAAUCUCCGCAACAAAUUGAUCCUUGCCUUGCCUGGAAGCAACUGACAAUUGCUUCACAGUCCAUCGUUGAGUUUUCCCUGUAGCACUUGAUAUUUUCAGAAUAUCAUCCAAGGAAAAAUCACAUAAUCUUAUAUAUUACAUAAUUUGUUGUAACGGAUGCAAGAAGAAAACAGUAAACGUAAAGAUCACACACAGAUUUAACGUGGUCAACCAACGAUGCGUUGGCUACAUCCACGCACAAAGGAGACUGAUUUUAUUACGGAGAACGAAAGUUUCAGAAUACAUCAGAGAUUAGGUUAACAUGGUUAUUUAUAGCAUAAACCCUAGUUAACCCUAAUAACAAUUAGGCUCGCUAACUUAGGCCCAUGUAGGAACCUUCAUUCACAAACAGCGGCCUAAGUGCACACAGACUUCUACAUUGCUCAUGCAGGCUGUAGUCUUCGACAUCAACUUACAUAGCAUGUAGAUCUCAAUAUCAUCUUCAGGAUGCAGAACGCUGCACUCAACUAUUUUCUCAAACAGAUUAUAAGCUUCAACAUACAGCGUGUAAACUUACACAACCAACCUCAAGACGCAGCAUGUAAGCUUCAACAUGCUGCAAGUAUCCUGCAUACUUGAUCGUGCAGCCUGCAUACUUGAUCUUGCAGCAUGUAUUAUUGAUCGUGCAGAUUGCAUCUGCACGCAUCAACACCAGGAAGCUUCUACGCUUCAGGAUUCAAGGCAUACCAACAAAUCUCCACCUUGACUUGAAUCCUCCAGAAAGCUUUUACGCAUUAGGAUUCAAGGCAUAUCAACAAAUCUCCACUUGACUUGAAUCCUCUAGAAAGCUUCUACGUAUAAGGAUUCAAGGCAUGCCAACAAAUCUCCACCUUGACUUGAAUCCUCCAGACAGAUGUAUCAGAUGCACCACCAUGGUUACCAGAUAUACCGGACUUCUCCUUUGCCUCAGAUUGUACGACAUGUACCAGAUGCACCAUCAUGGUGCCAGAUAUAUUGGACUUCUCUAAUGCCUCAGAAUGUAUGACAUGUACCCUCACGGUGCCAGAUGUACCAGACGUUUUUCAUAUCAGACAUACCAAAUGCAUUCUCAUAGUGCCUGACGUACUCAGAGAACAAGAUGUUCCUACAGACCAGACCAUAUGUCUUUUGGAACCAGAUACUCCAUAACGGACUCAGAUACGCUCUGCAAAACAGGACUCCCUUCACUGGGCUCAGUUAUAUGCUUCAUGCAGAAUCAGACGCCUACACCGGGUUCAAAUGCUUCAUGCGGAAUCAGACACCCUUCACCGGGAUCAAAUACUCCUUGCAAAACUAGACGCCCUUCAUAGAGCUCAGAUGCUUCAUGCAAAAUCAGACAUCCUUCAUGGAGAUCAGAUAUUCCCUGCUGAACCAGAUUAUCUUCACAGAGCUAAGAUGUUUCAUCAGACACCUUUCACCAGGUUCAGAUGCUCAUUGCGGACCCAGACACUCCUCACUGAGUUCAGAUGCUAAUUCCGGACGCAGACACUCCUCACUGAGUUCAGAUGCUUUAUGCAGAAUCAGACGCUCUUCAACGAACUCGGAUGCUUCAUACAGAAUCAAACGUUCUUCUUUGGAGAUCACAUACUCCCUGCAAAACCAGAUGCUCUUCAUAAAGCUCAGAUACUCAGACUUCAUGCAGAAUCAGACGCCCAUCUCUGGGCUCAGAUGUUCACUGCAGAACCAGACGCUCCUCACUGAGUUCAGAUGCUUUAUGCAGAAUCAGAUGCUCUUCACUGAGCUCAGAUGCUUCAUACGGAAUCAAACGUUUUUCUUUGGAGAUCACAUACUCACUGCAGAACCAGAUGCUCUUCAUAGAGCUCAGAUACUUAGACUUCAUGCAGAAUCAGACGCCCUUCGGCUAACUCGGAUGCUCAUGAGAAGCCAGACAGACACCCUUCACAGGCUCAGAUUUUCGCAGAGCCAAACGUUCUUCAGCAGACUCAGAUGCUCCCCACAGAGCCAGACGCCCUCCCAAUGGGCUCAGAUGCUUUCUGCGUAGCUAGACCCUUUUUAAACAAACUCAGAUGCUACUGUGGAGCCAGACGCCCCACACUGGGCUCAGAUUCUCCAUGCUGAGCCAGACGCCCUUCUACAGGCUCAGAUGCUCCAUGCGGAGCCAAACGUCCUUCACGGGGCUCAGAUGCUCCCUGUGGAGCUAGACGCCCUUCAAUGGGCUCAGAUGCUCUUUGCAGAUCCAGACGCCCUCUUAACGGGCUCAGAUGCUCGAUGUAGAGCCAAACGCCCUUCACUGGGCUCAGGUGCUCCUUGUAGAGCCUGACGCCCUUCACAGGUUCGGAUUCCCCAUAGACCGACAGCAGUUGUUUCGUUAGAAACCUCGAUGAUGACAUCAUCUGCAAGACAGAGCAAAAUCAUUGAGUGUGCCUUCUCCUUCAGACUUGCCAUCGCAGCAGCGUCGCCCUUGUUGUCUUUCAACAGCGCCGCCCACAAGCCUUGUUGCUUUAACAACGCUUGCACCUUGAUCUGCCAGAGACUGAAAAUGUUCCUCCCCGUGAACUUGUUGAUACUCACGUUUAACCCAGACAUCUUCUUGCCAGACACAGAAACUCACAGAACCUGGAGCUCUGAUACCAGUUUGUUGUAAUAGAUGCAAGAAGAAAACAGUAAACGUAAAAAUCACACACAGAUUUAACGUGGUUCACCAACGAUGCGCCGGCUACAUCCACGGACAAAGGAGACUGAUUUUAUCACAGAAACAGAAAGUUUCAUAAUACAUCAGAGAUUAGGUUAACAUGGUUAUUUAUAGCAUAAACCCUAGUUAACCCUAAUCGCAAUUGGGCUCGCUCACUUAGGUCCAUGUAGGAACCUUCAUGCACAAACAGCGGCCCAAUAGCACACAGACUUCUACAUUGCUCAUGCAGGAUGUAGUCUUCGACAUCAACUUACAUAGCAUGUAGAUCUCAACAUCAGCUUCGGGAUGCAGAACGUUGCACUCAACUAUUUGCUUAAACAGAUUGUAAGCUUCAACAUACAGCGUUUAAACUUACACAACCAACCUCAAGACGCAGCAUGUAAGAUUCAACAUACUGUAAGUAUCCUGCAUACUUGAUCGUGCAGCCUGCAUAUUUGAUUGCAUCUGCACGCAUCAACACCAGGAAGCUUCUACGCUUCAGGAUUGAAGGCAUACCAACAAAUCUCCACCUUGACUUGAAUCCUCCAGGAAGCUUCUACGCAUUAGGAUUCAAGGCAUAUCAACAUAAUUUACAUUACGUUACCUGUUCAGUAUUACCUCAUAAACAGGUCCAAACCCUCCCUCUCCAAGCUUGUUUGAAGGAUCAAAAUCUUUCGUUGCAGUUUUGAGCUCAGAGUAGCUAAAUGUGUAGGGCUUUACGUCCAAACUAAGUAGCACUGGAAAAGAGAGUAUCAGUUUGAAAGUUACAAUGGCCCAGUAGACUUCACCAAUAUUGCCGCAGCUUUUACCUUCUUCGUUCGCAGCUCUUUUUCUUUUCUUACGGACGAUUUUAAUGAUAGCAAACACUAAGGUACUUAUCAUCCCUGCUCCUACAAUGGCCCCCACAAUAACACCAAUUUUUUUCUUGUUCUUGGAUGGCAACUUGUUACCUACCGUAGGUUGGAAAUCUGCAGAGAAAAAAUGCGAGGCGUGAGAACUGACAUUGAACUGCGACGAUCAUAAAAGUCACAGGUUCUACCUGGAGUUGCACUGAUUGCUGAGACUAACGGCCCAUAAGCCCCUGCAAAAGGAACACAACAUGUCCCUUUUUCAGCCCAGAAAAGAUGUAUUUCUAGAUGAUUUUCAGAUACAAUUGCCUUAUAUACUCUUUGAACUACUCGAAAAUCAGAAUGGUUAGCUGCUGUACGUAUAUCAAAAUCCUUUUCAACAAGUUUUCCCUGAUAACAAAAGAAACUCAGAGGUCAGACAUCAUAAAUAAAAGAAGAGAAGUUUGUAAUGAGUGUAGUCUGAGAAUGUUGAAUGUUAGGCAUUCAAUUGAACAAACCAAUAUUGCACAUUGCACUAUACAUCACAAUUAAGCAUAUACUUUCAUUUGUUUUUACUUGAUAACAGACACUGAUAAUUUUUAAUCUCACAAAAAAGUAGAGACCUGUAAGAACUAAGAAUAUGGUCGGUAGGUAAAUGUAAUAGAAGAGACCUGGACAUAUAUGUCGAAAACUCUUCUUCCAAGACUUCUCCAGGUAUGAGAACCUUGUAUUUUUGUUUCAAAAAAUUGAACUGUUACAUUGCAGCCACCAUUUUCGAGCCCCAGUCCAUAAUACCUCAGAGAAGAUGCAGACAGUCUCGCUGACUCAGAAAGCUUGUUUACAAAUUGUAUAUUUGUUGAAAGAGCUAUGUACUGAUUACUGUUACUCCCAGUAAACAGUCCUACAUUGCUGACUGCCCAUCUCUUCGUUUUACUUACAAAAAACGAAGCUGGUCCAAGCGCCUCCUCAUCCCUCUCAUAUAACGUUCCAUUGGAAGACCUGACUUCUGGGCCUCCACAAUUGACAGAAAAGUUGAAAUCUGUAAACCAAUAACAAGAGAAGCAUUUUGAGAACAUACUGACCAAGAUAUGCAUUCCUAACAUUGUCUAUGCAUUUGCCCAUAAAACUUAGAAGUAGAGUUAAAAAUGUAAUAAGUUUCAAAGCACUAUUUUUUUUUGCGCUUACAUAUUCCUUUGCCUCGAUUGCAAUGGAAAUUCUUCUGGAGGCAGUCUAGUCCCGGGAAAAUUCUUUUAACAAGACCAAAAGGUACAUAAUGAGGAAUAUAGCAUGUACAUUCAUAUUUAUGCUUGAUAAAUAGAAACAUAGUAGAACUUCAAGAAGGAGAACACAAAAUUCACGGAUUUACCUUCUGUUAGAAGCUCCCAAUGUAAAGUGGUUGGCAAUCAGGUUACUGCAUAAAAAAACACAAAAACUUGUUUUCAGCACAAUAAUGUAUGUUCGGACUAAUUUGAGCACACAAUCCCUAACUUACAGUUGCAGGUUUGGUAGGCUAGCCCAAGAAGGAAGACUCCCCGCUAAAUUAUUGUACGAGACAUCUCUACACAUAAGCACGCUGAAUUAUCUUGACAGGUUUUCAAUAAAUGGUACCUAAAAAGAACCUGCACUCCCUGACCAUAUAUAUCUUACUCACAUAUUGCUUAGAGAAGAACUCUUUUGAGUGGGUAAAGAACCGUUCAACUAGUUAUUCUCAAGAAACCUAAAAAAGUUUACAAUAUUAAACUCAGUAAGUCCGUGAAUUCUCAAUAAAAGUUAAUUAUGAGGAAAAGAAAACUAAACUUACAAGUGAGUAAGUUGGCUAGAGUUAAAAAGAGAAGCUGGAAUUUGCCCAAUUAGGUUGUCGAAACUCAAAUCACUGGAGAACAAAUAAUGUAGAUUGUUUUGUAAUCAUAUGUAGUCUGUGCUUUAAGCAUGUCAUCUCAUUUUAGUAACAAAGAAGACAUGCACAGUUUUCGGAGCAUCUAAAUAUCCAGAACAACAUUUUUGUCAUCUUGUCCCAUACUUACAGUUGUCUCAGAUGCACAAAUUCUCCAAUAUUGGAAGGUAUGGUGUCCCUAAGAUUAUUGUUCCUUAAUACUCUGCAAGAUGUUUCAUAAAUGUAAAGAAAAUAAAGAGGAUCCAUCAAGGCUAGGAAAAAAACUGAAUAGAAGUGCCUUACAAGACACUGAGAGAUUUCAUGUCCCGGAUGAAUUCGAGAGUGGAGUUACCAUUAGAUAUAUCACCUAGUCUCCUGUAUUUCAGGUUGUGGUCAAAAUCCAGAACAAGAGAAUGAAAAAAUAAAGAGAAAAGAGCAUAUAUUUAACACUUACAAUUCUGUCAAAUAAGUUAAGCUGGCAAAUGACGAUGGAACUGGACCAGUCAAUUAGUCUAUAGAAUUCUCCUGCAGUGAAGCUUGUGUCAAAAUGUUGAGUAUGAGCUUAUGGCCAUUAACAUAUAAAAUGAUCACUAUCAAGUGUGUGUUGAUUGUUUACAGUAAUACUACAUGUGGAGAUUUGGUCAAGAGAAAGAAGAGUGAAAACAGAACAACAAAAGAGCUGCAAUAUUAAAUUUCUUACAGUGCCGAAAGAUUGGUCCACUUUCCUAUAAAUUCCGGUAUCCGACCUGUGAGUUGGACAUCAUUCGUCCAACUUACACAACAUAAAAAAAAUAAUAAAAAGUCAAUCCAAUUAUGAGUUAUACUUCAGUAUAGAAAUGAGUAGCCAAAACUCGAAAAUAAUCCAGAACAUAUUGAUGUAGGAACAAGAGAUACUUGUCCUUGCUUGGAUGGAAAGGUGGUGAAUCUCUAGUUGGCCGUACGGCUCUCUCUAGAUGACUCGAUAGAAAGGGAGUGAUUAAACGAUGAGACCGGGUAACAAUGGAUCGAGAGACUCCACACAGAUGAUGGAAGAGUCUGUGAUAAGUCUUGUUCUUCAGCUUCAAAGGAAUCGCACCCAAGAAGAGGAAGGGAACUAGCUGCGGCUAGGGUUUUUGCUUUCAAAGAAAACUCGGUUAUUUUAUUGAUAGGUUAAAAGUUUACAUGCUGAGAAGGAACCUUAUAUAAUGGUUCGACAGCGGGGUGGCUUCUCUUGGCCGAAAAAUACAGAAAAGGAAACUACAAAGCUCAUCGUUUAACUAAAGCAACAAAAUGGAAAAAUUCUAAAAACUAAGAAAAACGACUAAGGCAAAGAAAAGCUCCUGCAAAACAAACAAUAAACUCGUGAAAUAUAAUCCAAUUGUAAACACUUACAUUGGUUCGAUGAGUGGCAUUUCCACUUGCUUGGAGAUGACAAACGUAGUAGCGUCCUUGAUGCCUUGUAAAACAGGUAAGAAUGAUAUGGCUUGACGCUUGAGUUGAGAGUAGUCAUUGCUCGGUGUCUCUUUGACUUUCUUGGAUUCUUGAAGGUCUUGGCUUGAACCGGCCGAGUCUUCCACGUCGUCUUGUUGGGUCUCAAGCGUGCUGAACUCGGUUAGAGGCUCCAUUGGUGUCUCUCGGGUGAUCUCCCCUUUGAGUAGCUUCUCUUUGAGUUCCCCGUGCUCUAUAAGUGUGAUCAGCCCUUCUAUUGACUUGUUGAACUCCUCUCUUAGACUCUUAGUUCCUGACCUUGUCCUUGGUGCAUGUCUCAUGGUGGGUAUGUUGAUUGGUUCUUCAUCAGCUAGUGUUAGGCUUGCCUCGAUGACCUCAUCACAUAUUAUAUUAAGAUAAUUCUUACGCCUCUUCUAAUUCCACGAGAUUAGCAAAUGAUGAAGGGAUCUCACCGGUAAGUCCUGAACUUGCAAUGUAACUGUCAUAAACAUGAGUCUCAUCAAUCCUACUACAUCUCGGAAGCAGUGCCGUGCUUAGAGUCAUAGAGGCUUUAGGCAAAUCGGAAAAAUGUGGCUUUUAUUUUUAUAAAUAUUAAAAAAUAAUAUUGUCAUUAAACACACAAUAAUACUAUUUUAACAUACUUUUUAUUUUUUUAUCAUAUCAUACAUUAUUAUAAUAUUUGUUAAAAAAUAUGGAUCCAUAUCUAUAAAAUUGAAAGAUACCAAUAACACUACUAUUGUUAUAGGGUUUCAAAGGAAUAUCCUAACCAUAUUUACCAAAUUAUAUAUAAAAAAUGUUUAGCUAAAAAAAUUGUGGCCUUUUUAUUUUUUUUUUAAUUCUGGUAUCCUUAGGCAAGUGCCUAAUUAUUAACACUAUAAACACGGCUCUGCUCGGAAGCACUCAAGGGAAUCCAAACGUUAAAUAUCGUGAAAAAUGGAAAGCAAGAGUCUGAUGAACGAAUAAUCAGUCAGGUGACUCCCCUAUCUUAACUUCACAUGAUGAAUCCUCUAUCUAUUUGAACAAACCAGUGAACCAAACACUCUUAGCCUUACAAUAUGGUUAUCAAAUUCUUUUACAAAAUGUUCAAAGAGGAAGAAGGCAGACACAAACCUUCUUCGGGAUGAGUAGUUUGGUUUUGGGCUUGAACCAUUUGAACUGUUCCAGAAUUACGCACGAACCAUACCGUCAAAACCAGACAUAGAGAGAGCCGUAGCCUCAGCAUCGUCGUCAACCAAAACAAAACAACGGUGGUGAUGACGAUGUGAGAAAGCUCUGUCAAAUUCAGACCGUCUUUCGUUCAAAAACUUAAGUCACGUUGACUAUAUAUAAUUGUUAUGUUGAUUUAUUUGAUUAGAGAUUAUCUAUUAUAUAAAGAGUGAGUUGUGUCUCACAAAUGUGACACAUCAGCACCUCUUCUUUUGACACAUCAGCUUUGAAAAAUAAAUAAAAUAUUUAGCAGGAGAAAAAAUUGACAGUGGUGAGAGAUUAAUCAGAACUUCUCCUCCCAACAAUCUCGAAAUUUGAAUAGGCGAAAGCUUUCUUUUAUCAGCCCCAUUAAGUCUCAUCUAUAUUUUACAUGUUUGCAAGUGCUUUCAAAUUACGACUGCUGAAUUGGCUUAAAGAAUCUUCUAAAUCCCUCUACUUCCUCCUAAACCCAAAAUAAAUGCAUCAACCCUCAUGGCAGAUCGAUUCUUUUUCUGAUAGAUUGGUCGGCGAUGUCUUUGGUGGUGGGUAAUAAAGCUGGAGAGAGGCUGAGAAUGAAAGGAGCUGAAGGAGAAAAAGAAGAAUAGAGGAGGAAGGAGGUUGAGGAAGAAAGACGAAAAGUAUAUAUAACUAAAAUGAUUCAGACUCUUCAUAUGUCUUUAACUUGUUUCUAAGAUGUUGUUUAGAUUAACGAGUAUGACUCUCAUUCUCAUAUUCUCCCAUGAUUUUUACUUAUGUUCUCUUACUACUCUGUUUCUUUCUAUGGAUAAGAUUUUAAGAUACUACUCUUACCCUAUAGAUCUCCUACAAGUACCAGAUUCUAGGAAGGCAAUUGUUUAAAUAUAAGUUUAAAGGCUUAUAAGAAGAUAGACUAUGAUGAGAACAAGAACAACUCCUGUAUCUUAAAAUAUUACUAUUGAGCUCCUUAGAGACGUUUUAUCAUGAAAUAGGGGAGCUGUGUAUUGUUCCAUCUUCACUGUUAUAGUGGAGGGUGUUUGUUUUGUCGCUGAAACUUCACCAUCAUGUCACGGCCCGAUUCCUCCUUGAACCAAACCGUGCGGCCUUAACGCUUUACUGUUCCGCGCACACGCUAAGUCAGCCGUCUAAACUCGGACCCUGGUGCUUAGAGAGAGAAAGUGGCGUGUUUUAGGAAGAGAAAGGGGAAGAGAACUCUUAUUAGAGAAAACUUGGAUUCUGAGAUCUACCUACAACUGAGGGAGCUCCUCUCUUUAUAUAGAGAUUUCACUCAACUACCCUAAUAAAUGUAUCUACCCAACUACUACAUUUAUUCUACUUCCCAACUACUAUCUACUCUCUCUAGACCCAACCAAAAAGUUCCACAAGGUUCUAGAGAGUUCCGGAAAUACAUAAAGGAAAGAAAGCAUAGAAAUGACUAAGUGUUGGGUCAUAACCCCCUGGUUUCGGCCCGUCUCGUCCCAGCACGGCCCAUCACGGUCUAAGCAAAAUAUGGGCGUGACAAUCAGCUCCCUUUCUUCCUCCUCCAUAUCAUGAAAGACCAACUUAGUCUUGGGUUGAUACCUAGCUUAUUUUUGCAUGUGGAUGUGACUGAUCACAUGAAGUAAAGACAUGAAACGUUUCAAUGAUUUUUAUUCAAGUAUGUUCAGAAGCUUUGACUAGAAGAAGAUUUGAAAAUAUUUUUUAUCCUUGCUGAUAGGCUAACAUGUUUAGAGAAUAUUUCUCUUUAAGGUUUCUUAGGAGGAUAAAAGAUAGAGGGCGUGAACCAGAGACAUGAUUCAAAAUGGUAUCCAUGGAUCCAAGUAUAAGCAAAGCCCUCUUUGUCGCUUGAGAAGCAAAGCCCUCUUUGUCACUUGAGAAGCAAAGCGCUUGUCAAGGAGCUCUCUUUGCGGUUCUUAAACUCUGAUGUCAAAGUUAAAAAUGCAAGAUGGGAACAAAUUAAGAGUAUUUAACCAUGUUCUAUGUUAUAUCAUUUUAUGUGCAUGAAAUGGAGUUUGUAGCUUGGUUUAUCUUCAUCAGGUCUUGGAGCUGGGAAUAUUAGUUCUCACAGCAGAAAGCCACGAGAGCAGCAUAAGUCAAAUCCAAUGAUGAAAAUGGAGAAAGACAUAUUUGGCUACACGUGAUGCAAAAUAUAAUCUCUGAGGUAUAAAAUACCAAAGGCCGCCAUGCUAUAUUCAUUUACUAACUUAUCUAACUUCAGUGGAGAUUGUGAAGGUCUUUGCCAAUAAGAAUAGAAAAAUUGCAUAGAAGUUUAUCCAUUUAUUUAAAGAAUAUGUCUAUUAGGUUCCUAAUCAUAAUAUUUAGUAUUUGCUAGAUUAUCAUAUCUAGAUUUGUUAUGAUGUUCCACGAUUAAUUGAAGAAAUUAAUGGUUUUUAGUAGAGGAAGUGUUUGAUAAAAUUUCAUGAAAACAAAAGAAAAAGUCAAUUAAAAAAAACUAACCAAAACAAGUUCACUUUAAGAAAACAAGUAAACAAUUAAUUAAUCUCUCUCAACAUGUAUAUGGCCAUAAAAAAAACCAAAAAUCUAAACUAAACUUAAAUUUGCUUUCAACAUGUAUAUGGCCAUAAAAAAAACCAAAAAUCUAAACUAAACUUAAAUUUUAAGCAAUAGACAAUAUAUUAAAAUAAAACCCACGCAUGUGCGUGGGUAUUCAUCUAGUUUAUGUUGAUUGAACACACUCAUCAUUUCAUUUGUGACCACGCCGAGUGGAGCUUGACUUAUAUUGUACGUUUGCUCUCUCAACAUUUUUCAAAAAUGGCGGUUGUGCUUUCAUCACCAUUCACCACCGUGGACCUUGUCACCAAUGGCGAUCUUCAUUUAAUUGCUUUUGUUUUAAGAGAAUAUAAAAUUAAUGGUGAAUAUAAAUAUAUUAUAUUAGUACCUUAUAAAAAUAAAGUCAGUAAAUCAGACUAAAUUUUUGUUGUCAUCUAAAUAUGUAGUACUAAGGGCAUCUCCAUGACAGGAUGAGUCGAGUCUUUUAGGUAGGCCCGACGUCAUUUUUAGGUUUAAAAUUAAUAAAAAAAAAGCUCAAAUCCAUUCAUACAGUAUCUUCUUAGUGAUACUUAUGAACCUGUAUCAAGAGAGUAUCAUCGAUAUGUGGCAGCUUCUGAUUCGGUUUUUGAGAAAUGUGGAGACAAAUUUACUGUUCCAAAAAAAACAAUUAUUAAAAUAAUCCAUGAACCCCAAUAAAGGAAUCAGCGAUGGAGAUACCCUAAAAGCAUGUACAUUGGUGAUACUUAAUUUGGGAUUGUUAGCAUUUAAAUAUUAUUAAUUUUUAGAAGUAUGAACAGUGAACAAACCGAGCUCGUUUUGGCAUCCAUUGGUGAUACUGCUUUUGGGAUUGUUAAUUAGCAAAAAAACAUCCAAAAGGUUUUCCCCAACAUCCAAUCCCCUACUGCCACAUUUUGUAAUUCGUAAGAGAUUGGUUGUUAAAUCUCUAAUUUAACAUACAGGUUCAUUGGAAAAAACCUUUUUUCUUUUUAAAAAAAAAACUCGUUAGGCCUAGGUUUUCGAGCCCAAAAUGGGUUAACAUACCCUGAUGAACAUGGUCUAAGGUUCUGUUCGUUUGCUCAUUUGUCAUUUGCAUCUAGAUGAUCCAUUUAAAUGAUUCAUCUGAAUGAGUCAUCUGAAUGAUGCAUUAACAUACCCCGAUGGACAUGGUAUAAAGCUCUGUUCGUUUACUCAUUUGUCAUUUGCAUCUAGAUGAUCCAUUUAAAUGAUUCAUCUGAAUGAGUCAUCUGAAUGAUGCAAAUAACAAAUGAGCAAACUAACAUUAAAAUGAGCAAAACACAAAUGAGCAAUGGACCUUUAUUUGUUUGGUCAUUUUAAUUGGACGAUAUAUAUCUUUAUCUUUAUGUUUUAAUAGCAAAAUUAUUAAAAUAUUUAUUUAUUCUAAUUAUAAGUUUAUAAAUCUAAUCGAAUCUUAAAUAUAUUAAAUUUACAUUUUUAAAUUUUUGGUAAAAACAAAUAUUUUGUUUUGUAUAGAAAACAUAAUAUUUAUUUAUGGCAAAAAACAGGAUUUUAUGUUUUUGGCGAGAAAACGAGAUUUUACGUUUUGACGGAAAACAAGAUUUAAUGUUUUUUAUACGAAAACGAAAUUUUACGUUUUGACGGGAAAUUUUUUUUUUUAUGUUUUUGAAGGAAAAACAAAAUUUUACGUUUUUUCACGGGAAAAUAAGAUUUUAGAUUUUUGACGAAAAAACGAGAUUUUAUGUUUUUGACGGUAAAAUAAAAUUUUAUGUUUUUUGAAGAAAAAACAAGAUUUUACAUUUUUUACGGCAAAACAAGAUUUUACGUUUUUUCACGGAAAAAUGAGAUUUUACAUUUUUGACGGUAAAAUAAGAUUUUACAUUUUUGACGGAAAAAUGAGAUUUUACUUUUUCUAUGGUAAACUAAAUUUUUCGUUUUUGACGGUAAAACGAGAUUUUACGUUUUUGACGGGAAAAUGAGAUUUAAAUUUUUUUUACGGGAAAACGAGAUUUACUUUUUUGACGGUAAACAAGAUUUUUAUGUUUUUGACAGGAAAACGAAAUUUUACGUUUUUUGACAAGAGAACAAUAUUUUACAUUUUUUUACGGGAAAACGAGAUUUUACCUUUUUUAUGGUAAAACAAAAUUUUAUAAUUUUGACGAGAAAACAAGAUUUUACGUUUUUUCACGGGAAAAUGAGAUUUUAGGUUUUUGACGGAAAAUUUUUCUAAGAUUUACGUUUUUGACGUGAAAACGAAAUUUUAUGUUUUUUGAUGGUAAAACGAGAUUUUAUGUUUUGACGAGAAAACGAGAUUUUAUGUUUUUUCACAAAAAAACAAGAUUUUAGGUUUCUGACAGAAAAAACGAGAUUAGAAAAUGAGAUUUUACGUUUGUGACUGAAAAACAAGAUUUUAUGUUUUUGAUGGGAAAAUUAGAUUUUACGAGAAAACGAUAUUUUAUAUUUUUGAUGGCAAAAUCUAUUAUAUUAAAACAGAAGCACAUUUAGUACUUGCUUCCAAACACUUCUAAUUUUUUUUAAGUGUUUAAAAAUAAUUUUAAUAAUUAUUUAUAUUUAAUUUCGAAAAUUAGUUAUUAAUAAAAAUAUUUUUAGAGUUCCUUAAAUAUAGGUAAUUUAUAUUUGAUUUGAUUGGAUUAAAAAUAAUAAAUCAGAUAUUAAUUUAGAUUUGAUUUAAAGAUUCUAAUUUAAAUAAUUUCUAUACUAUUAAACAUUUUUAUCAAAAAUAUGUAGAAUUUUUGAAAAAAAAUAAUUCAUAUAUGAAAAAUAAUGGCCAUAUUUGAAAUAUAAAAUAUUUAUAAUGAUGUAAAUGAUAUGAUAUUUAUGUUGCUUAUAUAAUAUAUUUACGAUUAUGAUUUCUUUACAAAUCAAUAAUAAAAUAAUAGGUAAAAUUCAAAUGUAUAAUUCAAAUAUUAAAAUUAUUUUUUUUUAAAUUCAUAGAACUAAAUAUAUAUAUAAAAAUCGGGUUAAAAAUAUUUUGGUAACUAAAAUCACUAAUUUUGAAUUAUACAUGUAUAUCGAAAAUAUAUUUUUCAUACAAAAUAAAAACAUAAAAAAUUAAAAAUUAUUGCAUACACUAAAAUAUGGUUUGAAAAACCAGUUGUACACUCCCUUCGUUGAUUAAAUUUUCGAAAACUAUAAUGCUAAAUAAUACUAUUAAUACAUCUCAAACUUUUAACAAAUAUUUAUAUUAUACGGUAAUAUGAACGGAAAAAGUUAGAAUUAUGUUUUUAUAAUAGUUCAUUUUGAAUUAAUAUUAGCGGACGGGUUAAAAUUAUAUUUUUAUAAUCAUAAUUAAUUUUAAUACUAUAAAAAUAUAUUUAAACACAAAAAUCAAUAUUUUCACUUAUUAAAAAUAUAUUUAUAAAAAUAAUUAUAUCUAAACUCAAAAAUACAAAUUAUAUUAUAAAAUUUGUUAAACAAUAAAAAAUAUUCCCGUGCGGAUGCACGAGGUUAGAAUCUAGUGAGAUUUUAAAUAUUUGGCGAAAAAACGAAAUCUACAUUUUUUGAGGGAAAAUGAGAUUUAUGUUAUUACAAGAAAACAUAAUUUUAAGUUUUUGGUGGAAAUCUAGCGGAGAAAUAAAAUUUUAAGUUUUUACAAAAAUGUGAUUUUAUAUUUUUUUACAGGAAAUAUGGAUUUAUUUUUUUAGCGAAAUUUUUUAAAAUAUAUUUUUAAUGGGAACAAGAUUUUAAAUAAACAAAAAUUGUUAUUAAUAUUUAUUAUUUAUUAUUUCUUUGUAUUAUUUAUUAAUUUUUGUUAAGUAUAUUUUUGUCAUUUAAUUUUUUGGAUUGAAUCAUCUAGAUGCUUCAAAUUGAAUCAGUUGGAUGAGUUUCAAAUUUCUUCAAAAAUUUAUAAGUCAUCCAGAUGAUCCAUAUAGAUGAUCCAUUCAGAUGAAUCGAUUAAUGUAAUUAAACGAACAUCAUUUGACUGCUUCAUCUCGAUGGAUCAUCCAGAUGAGCAAAUGAAUAGACCCUAAAUAUUACCAACAGAAGCUUUAGAACAAUAACACAGUGAUUUCUGGGCAAUUUGGAUUGCCUCUUUUUUGGCUUUUCAUUAUCUUAAAUAGACAAAUACAAGGGAAAUAGAGGCGUAGCUCGGGAAAGUGGAGGAGAUGGUUUCUAAUCAAUAAGAAGACUGAUUCUCCAUUUGUAUGCCUGGUUUUUGCCAACUGUUGUAGCUCCUCCCAUAUUGUUGAUUCCUGUGUAAAAACGGCAUUCAAAUAAGGACUGUUUUUGCGGCGAGAGAGAGCAUCAGCAACUUUGUCAGUAGAUCCAGGUUAGUAAGUAAUGUCAUAAUCAUAACCAACCAGCUCACCACUUUUUUUGGUCUGGAAUGAGGAUACGCUGCCCGAGGAGGAAACAAAGACUCCACUGGUCUGUUUGAAUUGUGAAGUGCCUCCCUAAGAGAUAAGGGUGCUAAGUGCGAGCGGCGACUACAAUGGCAAGCAUCUCUUGAGCAUAAGUAUACCAAUUCUGCUUUGCCACCCCAAGGGAACAACUCAUGUCCGUUUUGAGUCAAUACCGCUCUGAUACCUUCGCCGGAUGCAUCUGUUUGAAUAAUGAAUGGAGAAUAAAAAUCAGGCAUGGCUAAUGUAGGAGUAGAAGACAUGGCUGAUUUAAGAUCCCCAAACGCCUUCUCUGCCUCAUCAGACCAAGAGAAUUUCCCCUUCUUCAAAAGAUUUGUAAGUGGUCGGGCAAUGGUGCCGUAAUCAGGCAUAGAUUUUCUGCAAUAUCCCUUUAACCCCAAAAAUCUUCGAAGAUCUGUGAUUGUUGCUGGUACAGGCCACUCCACCAUAGCUUGAAUUUUGGUUUGAUGCACCUUAACUCCAUCGCCUGAAAUUAUAUGAUCCAAAUACUCCACCUUGUUUUUUUCCAAAUUCACACUUUUUGCGUUUCACAAACUGGCUGUGUGUUUGUAAAAUCUCCAGAACAAGACGAACAUGCUCCAAAUGUUCCUCCCAAGAUCUGCUAUACACCAGUGUAUCAUAAAAAAAACAAGAACAAAUUUCUGGAGGUGUUGGCGAAAUACUGCAUUCAUCAAUGACUGAAUGUAGAGGGAGCAUUACAUAAUCUGAACAGCAUCAUCAAAUAUUCAUAAUGACAAUUGUCGGUUCGAAAAGUGGUUUUAUGAACAUCUGGUGGGUGAACUCGCACUUGGUGAUAUCCGGCGAUGAGAUUGAGCUUGGUGAAGACCAUAACAUAUGGUUAGGUUGAGAAUUAAGGUUCUUCUCAACAUAAGGAAAACUAUCUAUAUAGAAUUAGGAUUGGUUUGUGAUACAUGGAAGGAAUCAUGUCGUUCUUUUCUUAACCAGAAGAGUAAGAGAAGAAAAGGGACUCGAGCUCGGACUAAUCAAACCAGAUUGAAGCAUUGUUGAGGCGUGCAUUAUAGUUAUUAAACCAUUAAGGCGACACAAAGGUCAAGUGGGAGAAUGUAAGAAUAUUUAUAUUUUUAUGUGACCUAUGUGUCUUUUCGGUUUAAUUGUAAAGAUCAAGUUCAUAUUAAAGUUUACGGUUCUAAUAUAAAAGAUGAUACCGUGAUGGAUCGGUUUCGAUUAAAGACAUUAGAAUCUGGGUGUAUUGAUAACCCUCCUCCCUUACCAUAUUAAAUUUUAUAAGUGUUAUUCUCUUAAAUGGUUAUAUAUAUAUAUAUAAUAUGAAAGCAUAUAUAUGAAAGUACACGAUGGUUGGAAAAGCAACUCAAUUAUCUGUACAUAUAUAUAUGUUGGUGGUUAAUGUUGAAGGGUGUGGAAAACAAUUACGUGUCUCUUCACUUAGAAGAGAAACAAUUUAGUUUCCUUAAAACAGAAAACCAUCGAUCAAAGAGAAGAUAAGAUUCCUUGUCCAUCAAAAGGAAUCAUAAAGGAAUUAGAGGUCAAAGGGAGGAAGAAAUCAAUUGGUGAAUAGAAUCCAUAUCAAGUCUUAUCAAGCAUGGAUCAAGGUUAGUCUUUCUUCUUCUGCAAGUAUUUGUUUGUGGUUGAAUUAAAUUAAAUCUAAAUCAUCUUGGGAAUUAGAUUUCAUAAUUGAAAUAAUUAAAGUAAAUUUACAGACAUUAAUUGGAUCGCUCCACUCUUUGAGUAUGAUGUGAUGCUGAAUUUCCAGAGAUUGUGGAAUUUGAGUCGGUGUUUGAAAUACACCAUCGAAUUGUUUGAGAAGAAGCUCCAUCUCUGCAGGUACGAUGGAAACAAUAUCGUCUUUCUCCAAUACUAGAUGAUUGUCCACGCAAUAUGUGGAUUGUGUAUUUAUUAGUAUUUUGUUAUUUUUUAGACUACUUAUAAUAUGAUAAAAUAAUAUAUUUUUGUUCAUAUAGAAUAGAGAAUGAAGUUUGUACAUCAAAAUCAAUGAAUUAUAGUUUGUCAAAAUUUUAUAUAUACUAGAUUUUGCAUCCAAGCUACGUGUGGAUAUUUUGUUGAUAAAAAUUAUAUUAAUCAAUUUUAUUUAUUAAGAUAUAAAUUUUAUAGAUUAGUGUUUUAAUAAUAUAUUAAAAAUAUUAUGGUGUUAAUCUAAUAAUUUUAUGGAAAUUGUGAGGUUUUAACGGCUUUGUUUCAAAUUUGUAUACACAAUAUCAUAUUUCAAAAACGUAUUAUUUGGUCAAACUCUUAUAAGUUAAUAUAUCCGAACCAACUAAAUCUUUUACAAAUUAAUCAAAUACUACUUUUUAAACAUAGUAUUGACAUAAUGAUUAAAUAUUAUACAUUAACUUCUUUAAAUCAAAAAGAUAAUUUUUGUUCAUCAUUUACUUUUAUUCUAAUUAUAUAUUUGUUCUUUUAAAACAAUAAAAAACAAUAAAAUUUAUAGUUUAAUCUUUUUUUUUCUCUUGUUUAACCAAUACAAUUUAUUAUAUAUUAAUUAAACAAUAAAUUAAUAGAAUAAAAAUGUUUGCUUUGAGAUUAAUAACAAUUUUAAAUUUGAAACCAAAACAAUAGUUAAAUAUGAAAUGAAAUAAUGAAUAAAAUCACACAAAGUUUGUUAACUUUUUUCUUGUGAAUUAAAUAUAUUUUUGUCAAUUAGUUGGGUAAACUUUUGAAUAGUUUUUCAAUGAUUAUACAUCAUCUCUUCUAGUAAGAAUGAAAUUUUUUUUCAUCAUGUUCAUUUUUAUUCUUGUUAUAUCUGUUUUUCAAUAAAUAUAUAUUUAUUUUAAUAAUUUUUGUGUAAAUAUAUUCAGUUCAUCAAAUUCAUUCUCACUUCUUCUAAUUAUAAUUAAACAAUUUAAUACAUACAAAUUUCGAGAAAUGAAAUAACAAAUUGAACAACUCAAAACUAAGAACUUCCACAUUAAUCUAUUGCAAUUCCAAGUUGAAUAUACAAAAUAUAAUUGUUCUAUCAUUUUUCGCUAAGGUAUCCCAGCCUCAACCGAUCCUCGGAAGACCACGACCCGCAUACCUUACAAGCUUCUAUCAAAUCUUCAGUGCUCGGGCCAAAAUCCUGAUUGACUCCCAAUCGCUCCCAGAAAUCUUGCAUCUCCUCAGUUAUCUCAACCACCGGAUCCUCGAGGUUGUCCACGUACUCGCAAUUCAAGCCAGUAAUAUGUUCAAACUCAUUCAAAGAAAAGUGGAUCGGGAUUAGACCUACGAGGCUCCAAAUCUCAACUUUUUUCUUGCAAACUAGCUGCAUGCCGAGAAUGUAAUGCACCAGUCUAGAUGCCCAGCCAAAAUCCAGCUGACUGAACUUCAAGAACACUCCCAGUUUAGAGUUCAAUAUCUCUUCCCACUCAUCUUGUGUGAGUGCUUCCUCGAGUGCAGUCAUCAGCUUCGUCUCACCUCUAUAGUAACCGAUGCUUUUCAGCGGAGACGGCUCAUCGCCUUUCGAGAAGAGACGCGGGGGGAACUCUGGGUUUUCCAUUGGCUGUUCUGACGUCUGCAAAACGAAGUCAAAUAUUCAAAAAAUCUACUUAUGAAGACUUACGAAGAAGUCUGCACACGAAGUCAGCCAACUAAGUCUGCAAUUGAAGUCUGUAGACCUAAUAGUGUAAUUAAUAAAGUUUCUAAAAAAUUAGCCGCCGACAAAGUUCUCUAAAAAAACACAACCCGUUUUGAACUUCGUUUUACGAGAUAAUACUUCCAAAAUAGUUUGCCUAACACUAUACAAGUCCGUUUAAUAAAUAAAAAAAAGUACAGAUAUCUGUAACACAGCAACUAGAAACUUGGAAACGGGUAUUCGAUUUUUGUCCGACUUUGGAAAUAUCUACUCGGUGUUGUCCGAUUUUUAGAAAAACCGAUGUAGAAACCCAAACGACUAGGAACUUGGAACCCGUAAAGAUAUUUAUUUACAAAUUAUAAGAAACUAGGUGAAUAUCCGCACGUUACGUGCGGGUUUUUCUUUUCAAAAUUUUCAAACUUUUUUUUAUAGUUUUAUAAAAAUUAAUAUAAUCAUCACUUGUUACUUACUUACUUGUUAAUAUUUUAUUCUAAAAAAUUAUAAAAUAUUAAUACAUAUUGAAUAUUAUUUAAUAAUUUAAAGUUAUCUUAAGAUUAAUAAAUAUCAUUCAAUAUUUUUAAUUAGUUAUAACAUAAAUUUUUGUUAACAUUUACAGAAAUAUUAGUUGAUAGUCAAUUAACUAAAAAAUAAAAUUAAUAUAAUCAUCAUUUCAUCUGUUACUUGUCAGUAUUUUAUUAUAAAUAAUUUUAAAAAAUUAAUUUAAAAUACAUCUUGAAUAUUAUUAAGUAAUCUAGAUAUUAUUAACUAAUCUACAGUUAUAUAAAUAUUAAAUACAUAUCUUUUUUUGGUCGAAUAUCUAUCAAUAUUUUUAAUUAGUUAUAACAUAAAUUUUUGUUUAACAUUAAUAUAAAUUUUAAUUAAGAGUCAAUUAAUAAAACAAACUUUUCAUAUUCUUUAAGUGCUUUAAAAUUUAAUAUUAAAAUUUAUUAAUUAAAAUUUAAGGACAUGUGUCAACCUAUCCAAUGCUGAUGUGUCAAUCAUAUGGAGAAAGUUGAGCAACUUUUAUAUAUAAGAUUAGUACAGCCAAAUACCUUUCCACGACCAACGGCGGAAAUGAACAGUUACGGACGGCGGCGACACCAGAUCUGGAAUAGAAAGCGAAGGAGAUUAGGGUUCGUGAAUAACACAGACGACUUCGAUCCAAAAGAGAAGUCGGCAUUAAUUUUGACUUACCUUAAACGGUAAACGGAUGUACAGUAAAAACCGGCGACAAGUUCCGAAAAAAGUUUUCCAAACGACAGUAGUUUUUUGUUUACCGAUUUGUGUUAAUACAGUGUCCGUAGAAACUCUUAUAUAUGACCGUAGAAACCUAUUAAACCGUCGUACCGGUUCAAACGUCGUACCAGUUCAAUAACCGUCGUACUAGUUCAAUAACCGUCGUACCAGUUCAAUAACCAUCGUACCAGUUCAAUGUGGUUUAUCGAUUUUGUUAUUUAAAGCGCAAUUGGUUUAGCCUUAAAUUGGUAUAGCUGGUUAGCAAUAUAAUUUUAAAACUGUCUGGUUUAGUUUAUUCGACGAAUUAAGUCUGCAUAUUAAGUCUGCCUAAGAAGUCUGCCUAAGAAGUCUGCGUAUUAAGACUGUUUAAGAAGUCUGCCUAAGAAGUCUGCAUAUUAAGUCUGUUUAGGAAGUCUCCAAUGAAGUCUGCCUACGGGCAUCCUCAGUGCAGAUACCCUCAUGGGUCUCCAAAUGUGUUUUUUAUUAAUAUCAUAUGAAAAGUAGUUUUAGAGAUUGUAUGUAGAGACCCUUAACUCACGGCCUGCAUAUGUAAACAAUACACAAAGUGCACAUAGAUUCCACAGUAUACGAACAAUGUAUAUGCAACAGUCAACACCAGCAUUAAUCACCAUAGAAGUCAAAUACAUAUGCAAGCAACAGUCAACACCAGCAUUAAUCACCAUAGAAGAUAAAUACCUAUGCAUAAUCAACUACUUUCAAUUAAAACUGUUUUUCUUGGUUGUUUUCAGGGCAGCGAUGAGUAGCUUGCCGGAUAGGCUUUUCGCCUUAGGCAAUGAACCUGAGAAUAAGAAGGUCAACACUUACUUUCAGCUGAAUUAUAUUGACACAAUCACUUGCGCUUUGGAAGAAGACCAUUUGGAGAAGCUUUCCUCUUCCCAAUUUGGCAAAAUUAUAGAGACUGGAAACAAGAUUGCAUCUUCAGUGAGAUUCCUGCAUUUCAUGUUAUCUAGGCAGUUGGUUACAGCAAAAAAGAAAGAGUUGUGGUGUCUCUUUGCUGGUCAGCCCAUUCGGUUCUCAAUUCGUGAGUUUGCAAUUGCAACCGGCUUGGAUUGUUCGAAGUUGCCUCCACAGCGUGAAUUAAACGAGAGGAAGCUGAGUAAGCAGAAGAAGAAGUUAUUUGGGUCAAGUGCGAAUGCAACUCCUGGGUGGAUAGCGAGCACACUUUCUGGCAGACCAUACAAGGACAAGGAAACCAGAUUUAAGCUCGCAUGCCUACUCCUCAUAGAUGGUGUGUUGUGUCCCACGUCUAGAAACGCUAGGAUAAGUGGCGACCACAUCUUAAUGGUUAAAGAUGUUGACAACUUCCUUGAAUAUCCUUGGGGUCGUAAAUCAUUUGAUUUGACCAUGGACUGCAUCAGAAGUAAGACAGAUACCCAUUCGAGAAGGCAUUUUUGGUCAUCAUCCAAGUCUGGUGAAGAGUUUGGCCUCCCACUGACAAUUUCCAGAGCCACAAUACCAAAGGCAUACACAUCCGUCUUCUCAGUCAAGUGUCCAAGCAUGGCGUACUCUGGUGAAAGAUAUCCACUACAUUGUUACAUCAAACAACGGUAACUAAAAAUAAAUAGUUUUUCAGAAGACAAACUGAUGUAGCGGAAGCUUUUAAAAAAAUAAAAUAAUGAUCCGUUGAUACUGAGAAUACCCAGAAAAAAUGUGAUAAUUGCGAGAUUAUUCGUUUAGUUUGAGAAUACCCAAAUAAAACAAGCUUUCUUAAAUUCAUUGAGAUCUUUGUAGAUCUACCGAAAACAAGGAACAAAGAGACAAAAGCUCAAUUUCAUUAAUUUAUCAAAAAUUGAAUACAACUUAAGCCUAAACGGCUUAUUUAUAAUAAAUCCAAAACACUAGAAAACCCUAAAAUAAUAAAAAGAAUAAUUUAAAUAAAAAAAUAAAAUAUUAAGAUAUUUGAAAUAUUUCUAAAUAUCUCUCUACAUCGUUGAGAUCUCUCUAGAUCUACCGAAAACAAGGAACAAAGAGACAAAAGCCCAAUUUCAUUAAUUAAUCAAAAACAGAAUACAACUUAAGCCUAAACGGCUUAUUUAUAAUAAAUCCAAAACACUAGCGGAAGCUUACUGAUGUAGCGGAAGCUUUAAAAAGAUAUAAUAGUGAUCCGUUGAUUCUGAAAAUACCCGGAAAACUAUGAUAAUCGCGAGAUUAUUCGUUUAGUCUGAGAAUACCCGAAUAAAUCAAGCCUUCUUAAAUUCGUUGAGAUCUCUCUAGAUCUACCGAAAACAAAAAAUAAAUAGACAGCUUAUUUAUAAUAAUUACUCAAUUUCAUUAAUUAAUCAAAAAAUGAAUACAACUUAAGCCUAAACAGCUUAUUUAUAAUAAAUCCAAAACACUAGAAAACCCUAAAAUAAUAAAAGGAAAUUAUCUAAAUAAAUAAAUAAAUAUUAAGAUAUUUGAAAUAUUUCCAAAUAUCUCUCUACAUCAUUCUCUCCGACGACAAAAAGAUUCGUCCUUGAAUCUUAGCCGUAAUCUUCAAUUCCAAAAAUUCUGUCUUCUUGAAUUCAGUCACUUCUUUUUUUUUUCUAACCUUCCUCCAAUAAUAUUCUUCAAAUAAAAGAAUAUUAAUUUGUUCCACUUCAAGGAUUUUGCUCGUCCAAUAGUGAUCAACAAGACGCCACUUAAUGAGUUGGACUUUUUUGCUUAUAUGCUCCACGUUAUAUUCUUGAUUUGAAACCCUUAGGCUCUUUUUCUUAACGCCCUCACACACAUCUUUUAUUUUUCUGUUGAUUUUUUGGGAGACAUCGUGGCUUUCUUCCAAUGGAAUUAUCACACUUUGAGGAAAAACGUUAUUAGGACUCACGUUUUUCUUAUCUUUAACAAGGAAUAACACUUCUAUUUUCUUUUUGAAUAAACCUUCUUCAUCAUAAACAUCAAAAAUUGGAUCGCCACAAAUUUCUCUGAGAUCUUCACACAAACCUUCGGAUAUAACAAACGGAUAUGUAUCCGUAAAGUAAUUCAAACCUUCAACUGUCAUGGUGAUGGAAACAGAAUCGAACCUUGAUUGAGAAAUCAAAGUACUGGCUCUGAUACCAACUGAUGUAGCGGAAGCUUUAAAAAAAGAUAAUAUUGAUCCACUGAUUCUGAGAAUAUCCGGAAAACUAUGAUAAUCGCGAGAUUAUUCGUUUAGACUGAAAAUACCCGAAUAAAUCAAGUCUUCUUAAAUUCAUUGAGAUCUCUCUAGAUCUACCAAAAACAAGGAACAAAGAGACAAAAGCUCAAUUUCAUUAAUUACUCAAAAACUGAAUACAACUUAAGCCUAAAUGGCUUAUUUAUAAUAAAUCCAAAAUACUAGAAAACCCUAAAAUAAUAAAAGGAAAUGAUCUAAAUAAAGAAAUAAAUAAUUAAGAUAUUUGGAAUAUUUCCAAAUAUCUCUCUACAUCAUUCGUUGAUUCUGAUGUAGCAGAAGCUUUAAAAAGAUAGAAUAGUGAUCCGUUGAUUCUGAGAAUACUCGGAAAACUAUGAUAAUCGUGAUAUUAUUCGUUUAGUCUGAGAAUACCCGAAUAAAUCAAGCCUUCUUAAACUCGUUGAGAUCUCUCUAGAUCUACUGAAAACAAGAAACAAAGAGAGAAAAGCUCAAUUUCAUUAAUUAAUCAAAAACUGAAUACAACUUAAACCUAAACGGCUUAUUUAUAAUAAAUUAUCUAAAUAAAUAAAUAAAUAAUUAAGAUAUUUGGAAUAUUUUCAAAUAUAUCUCUACAUCACAAACAGAAUCGUUCUGCAAACCAAAAAGAUAUUUACAUGGUUCCAGCUACUCGGCUAGUCAUUUGCGUCUUAUUGUCAUCAUAUAGUUUGGCCAACCCGAAAUCAGAGAUUUUUGGAAUCAGAUCCGAUUCGAGAAGAAUAUUGCUUGCCUUCACAUCCCUAUGCACUAUACGUAGCCUUGACUCUUCAUGCAUAUAUGCUAAACCUUUGGCUAUUCCCAAGCAUAUCCCAAAACGGUCUGACCAACUAAGUUGCAAACUCUUUCCGUCUGCAACAAUUGUCAUGAAAGUGUAAGUCAAAAGCUGUCAUUUACAGAAACAUAAGAAGAACAUCUUUCAAUAUUUAAGAUGUUCAUGAGCAUACCAAAUCGAGCUAGCUUGAUCUAGACUUUUGUUUGAGAGAUAUUCAUAUACAAGCAAACGCUGAUUGUCCUCAAUGCAACAUCCAUACAGUUUUACAAGGUUACGAUGCUGAACAGCUGAUAUAGUUGCAAUCUCCGCAACAAAUUGAUCCUUGCCUUGCCUGGAAGCAACUGACAAUUGCUUCACAGUCCAUCGUUGAGUUUUCCCUGUAGCACUUGAUAUUUUCAGAAUAUCAUCCAAGGAAAAAUCACAUAAUCUUAUAUAUUACAUAAUUUGUUGUAACGGAUGCAAGAAGAAAACAGUAAACGUAAAGAUCACACACAGAUUUAACGUGGUCAACCAACGAUGCGUUGGCUACAUCCACGGACAAAGGAGACUGAUUUUAUUACGGAGAAAGAAAGUUUUAGAAUACAUCAGAGAUUAGGUUAACAUGGUUAUUUAUAGCAUAAACCCUAGUUAACCCUAAUCACAAUUAGGCUCGCUAACUUAGGCCCAUGUAGAAACCUUCAUUCACAAACAGCGGCCUAAGUGCACACAGACUUCUACAUUGCUCAUGCAGGCUGUAGUCUUCGACAUCAACUUACAUAGCAUGUAGAUCUCAAUAUCAUCUUCAGGAUGCUGAACGCUGCACUCAACUAUUUUCUCAAACAGAUUGUAAGCUUCAACAUACAGCGUGUAAACUUACACAACCAACCUCAAGAUGCAGCAUGUAAGCUUCAACAUGCUGCAAGUAUCCUGCAUACUUGAUCGUGCAGCCUGCAUACUUGAUCUUGCAGCAUGUAUUAUUGAUCGUGCAGAUUGCAUCUGCACGCAUCAACACCAGGAAGCUUCUACGCUUCAGGAUUCAAGGCAUACCAACAAAUCUCCACCUUGACUUGAAUCCUCCAGAAAGCUUUUACGCAUUAGGAUUCAAGGCAUAUCAACAAAUCUCCACUUGACUUGAAUCCUCUAGAAAUCUUCUACGUAUAAGGAUUCAAGGCAUGCCAACAAAUCUCCACCUUGACUUGAAUCCUCCAGAUAGAUGUAUCAGAUGCACCACCAUGGUUACCAGAUAUACCGGACUUCUCCUUUGCCUCAGAUUGUACGACAUGUACCAGAUGCACCAUCAUGGUGCCAGAUAUAUUGGACUUCUCUAAUGCCUCAGAAUGUAUGACAUGUACCCUCACGGUGCCAAAUGUACCAGACGUUUUUCAUAUCAGACAUACCAAAUGCAUUCUCAUAGUGCCUGACGUACUCAGAGAACAAGAUGUUCCUACAGACCAGACCAUAUGUCUUUUGGAACCAGAUACUCCAUAACGGACUCAGAUACGCUCUGCAAAACAGGACUCCCUUCACUGGGCUCAGUUAUCUGCUUCAUGCAGAAUCAGACGCCUACACCGGGUUCAAAUGCUUCAUGCGGAAUCAGACACCCUUCACCGGGAUCAAAUACUCCUUGCAAAACUAGACGCCCUUCAUAGAGCUCAGAUGCUUCAUGCAAAAUCAGACAUCCUUCAUGGAGAUCAGAUAUCCCUGCUGAACCAGAUUAUCUUCACAGAGCUAAGAUGUUUCAUCAGACACCUUUCACCAGGUUCAGAUGCUCAUUGCGGACCCAGACACUCCUCACUGAGUUCAGAUGCUAAUUCCGGAUGCAGACACUCCUCACUGAGUUCAGAUGCUUUAUGCAGAAUCAGACGCUCUUCAACGAACUCGGAUGCUUCAUACAGAAUCAAACGUUCUUCUUU